AACCUCAUUAAAAUCCCCUAGCAGACACUAAGGCAGAUUGAUAAAAUUACACAGGGAACGAAGAUCAGUCCAAAGAGCUUUCCUCUCAGAGGGAGUAUUUAAACCAUAAACGAAGGUGACAAAAAACUGCAUGGUUAAACUGCCAAUUCCAUUUACUACAUAUGGCUUUGGAAACAGUAUUGGCUUUUGGGCAUUUGACUCUAGUCUCAACUAGGCCAACAAAAGAAAUACUAUGCUUAUACAAAAGAGCAAGGACACUAUCCUGCUUGGACUUCAUAUUUACACCUCUAAUAUUCAUAGAGCAAAAAUUAACCAUAAAAAGGUUAAGGUUAAAAUGGGGCAGGCCUCCCCCCUCCUUUGAUCUUUUUCUUUGAAGACUGGCCAGAUUCCGAAAGCUCGAGCUUUCGCCUUAAGAUCACGACCUGCCUUUUCAUCAACCAUUUUCAGCUUUCCCACAAGGGGAUUUGGAGAAGGGGAGCAGUCAGAAUCAGAAAACCCCUCCAUAGCCUCCCCACCAGCAGCAAUAGGCUUGAAGACAUUUGAGUUACCAACCAAAGAGAGAUCACAAUAGGGAGCCUACUGUUUAGGUCCUUUAGCCACCAAAGUCCAGUUGUCGGAAGAAUUUUCUGUAAUGGGCUUUGGGAGAAUAGGAGAAAUAGGGGCAGCAGCCAUAGAGUCUGAAGAAGAUUUUUGGACUUUAGGCAGCCAUUGGUAGUUUGCUUUAGGACAACGCAGAAGAGAGUGCCCAAACGUUUUACAGUGAGAACAGAUUUGAGGUCAAUUUUGGUACUCCACUCUGACAUUUACAAUCUUUUCAGAGUUAGUUUCCUCAUCAAGAACUACCACUUCCAGAGAGCUAGGCAAAGCCAAAGAGGGUGUUAUUUCAACACAAAUCCUAGCAAAAUUCAUAGGUUCUAGUUUUUCUGUGAUUUUAUCCACAAACAGUGGAACACCAACCCCACUAGCAAGGUAACUGAGCCCAGCUGGAGACCAAUAAGACAUGGGGAUGUUAAGGAAUUUAACCCAGAUAGGAGCUUUAGCACAGGAGUCAAAAUGAAAAUCCAUGCCUUCCUUCCAAAUUUUAAGGCAUAGUUGUUUAUUUGAUAUAUACUAGGGACCAAGGGCAAGCACGUUUUCACGGUCCUCGGGCUUUGCAAAUUUAAAGACAAAAAACCCCCCCUCUUGCAAGAAUACACUCUGUAGGCCAUAUUUAUCCCAUAAUUUAUGCACAUUCUCUUCCACUAUCUUAAAAGGCAUUUUGGAGUGGAGAAACCCACCCACCAGACAGGAGGACCAAAGAUUAUUACCUUGCACCAGAAUCUCUGAAGGAGGGCAAAUCAGGAUUGACCCAUUUUCCGUGCUAGGGGGGAAGGAGGAAAGAAAUCAAGCUUCAGUGAUGGAGCAGCCUGAGCCACUACCUUGCUCCAUGUUUUCGCUUCUGGGAUGCACUCAGUAAUAGCAAUAACUGGGGCAAUACCGCCAAAGGGGACCGCAAAAUCUGCCGGGCCAAGACAUUCCCCUUCUUCAAAAUCAGAUGCAAUACCUACCAAAAUCGGUUUGUGGACAGCUCCACACUGACCCAGAGCUGGAGACGACGACGCUGCCAAAGGUGGUUUCAGAGGACUUUUCUCAAACAUGUCAUGGUCAUUGACUGAACGAACAGAUUUCCCCUUGUUGUAGAAAUCAUUUACAUUUUGCAUAGUAAACCCCUUUGCUUUGAUAAAAUCAAAAAGGAAGCUGCUUUUCCUUCGUUCAUCAGCCGCAUCUAGGUUGCCCUGCUGCGAAAGAGCUUGAGCAGCUCUAAAAAUUUCCUUCAUGGAGGUACCUUCAUGUAACCCUAGGCUGGCUUCAGCAAGGCUAUUAGCUUCAGAAGCUUCAGAGCUAUCUGACACGAUAGCAGCAGCAACAGUUGGGACAACAGAGGAUUCUGCCAUUGCAGAUUCGUCAAUGACCGGCGAGCUAGGGCAAGAAACCCCAAACUUAGCGAACAGAUCUCGCGAGGGACUACUGAUGGAGUUCCCAGCCGAAAGGUGCGAGAAACUAACCAUAGAGAGAGAAGAAGAUGGAAAAGGAAAGGAAGAAGACCCAAAAUCGAAAACCCAAACUAGAAAAGAAGAGAGAAGGCAGAGCGAAACCUAGAGAGAGAAACUACAUGGUUCUGCAUUUGCUGUAGGUCUUUCUAUAAGUUAUGGGAGCAAGGAACAAAAAGCUACACAAUGGGACACUCAUUCCUCCGAGAUGUCUUGCUACUGAUGUAAUUAGUAUCAUUAAAUCUAGUCCAUCUUUCCUCAAAAGACUUAACUUAUCCUUUGCUUAAUCCUUAAGUCUACUUGCUCAUCACACAAAGUUCUUGAUCACCAAUUCACCCAUAUGAUCAUGGGUUGCCCCAUGGAUCCUCCUAAUCCAUAGGAUUCUUACUUUGGGUUUAAGGUUUAAUUAAUCCUAACUUAUACAUUGGGCUUGCAUUAACAAUUCCUUGGGCUUUAUCAUUAGCUUGCAUUAGGCUUACACAUCUCUACACUUGGGCCUUAUCAAUAUCUCUUUGAACUUUACAAUUUCUUACUCAAUCCUACAAGUCCAUUACAUUUGGCUUAAAGCCUUAUAACGUAUAAUUUACGUAUUAAUCUCGUAUUCUAACUCGUAUACUUAUUUAAUAUACGAUAUUCCAUCAUUCAUACAUACUUGUAUUCAUUACCUCGUACGAUACUUACGUAUUAUACAAUCAUUGCUUUAAUUCAUUAUACGCAUUUAAAUUCAUUCUCGAAAUUUAUUUUCCCUAAUCGUUAGGUUUUAAGUCCACAGGCGAAAAAAUGUGUUUGCCAUAACUGAAAUAUUAUUGGAUAUUCUAUCUCACCUCGAUAUUCUAUCAUUACGUAUUUCUCGGAAGUUCAAAAAUAAUUCCCGAGCAGAAAUGCGUAAAUAGUGUUUUUCGAAAAAUUUCUCGGAAAGUUUUUAUUUUCAUCCUGGAAAUUCAAACCCUUUAAUUCUACCACGUAGCCAAAAUACUACGAUGUUCCGAUAUGUCUAGGUCAUAGAACGACCUUCAAUUAGCUUACUCCCAUAUAUAAUUAAUUAAAUUCAUUUUUAAUCCACAUAAUCAAAUAAAAAUUUAAUUCUCAAAAAUCCAAAUUUUCUGGGGCGUUACACUCUUCCCCCUUUAUAAGGAUUCUGUCCCCAGAAUCUCGCUACACUUAUCUAACUAAAUGAGGAAAAUUUCUUCAUCAUUUUAAUCUCAAGUUUCCACAAUGCUUCUUCGACAUUGUAGUUCUUUCAUUUCACCUUCACCGAAGGUGUUAUCUUAAUUCACAUGACUUGUCACUUCCUAUCAAUACUCUGAGUUGGAAGCUAAACAUUUACUCACACAUUACGCUAUCUUCCUUUUAUUAGUCCUUCUUUUAACUCGAAAUUAUCUGAAACUCAAAUUCCUCCUUCAAAACGAGAUGAUACUUGAUCGUCUCUUUAUCCUGUAUCCUCUUCUUCAUUUGCUUGCACUCUUUGUUACCUAGUUGUACUUAAUUAACUCAUUCCAUUAUCAUGGAUUAAGUCUACUUUAUGAAUAACAUUUCUACUACUACAUUCCAUAAUUUAACUUCUAACUCCGUUCUCGCCAUCUUCACUAUUAACUCAUUAUGAGUCGCUAAUAUCGAUAGCUUUUCCCUACCCUUCCUACUUAACACAUCAGCUUCUACGUUUACCUUCCAUGUAUGAUAUAACCUAUCACAGUCGUAACCUCUUAUCCAUUCUAAUCACCUUCUCUACUUCAUAUUCAACUUCUUCUGUGUGGAGAUAUAUUUCAAACUCUUAGAGUCCGUGUAUAUCUCACACUUCUCCUCGUAUAAAUACUAUCUUCUGGUUUUUAAUUCUAAAACUACAGCUGCCAAUUCUAGAUCAUAAGUAGGAUAUGCAUCCUCAUAAUUCUUUAACUGGCGUGAUGCAUACGUAAUGACAUUGCCAUGCUACAUGAGCACGCAACCCCGUCUUCUAUGUGAAAUAUCGAGAUACACUAUAAAAUCCCCCGCAUCACCUGAUAAAGACAAUACAGAUGCCUCACUUAACCUUCCUUUUAGCUCCUGAAAACUAUUUUCUCCCUUCUCAUUCCCAGCAUACUUCUCAAUAACAAAUUUUGUCUAUCUCUUUAAGCUACAAUUCACACGUAGUGAAUUCCAUAUCCAACUUCUCUCUCCGUAGUGUUUCUCACACUAUCUUCAAAUGUUCAACGUGAUCUCCUGUCGUCUUAAAGUAGACUAAAAUAUCACCAAUGAUCAUUACUACACCCUCGUCCAAAUAAUAUUUGAACACUCUGUGACGCUAAUGGUACUUUCAACCAUAGCACCUCACAAGAGUAUCUAUCGAUUUGCCACCGACUUGCUCGGCACCCCUUACGGAAAGUUUAACUUCUUCACAUUAGUUAACCCAAACGACAUAACCAGAAACUAGUCAUAACUAUAAUGAGUUAUGAACGUCAUCUUAGGUACCUCGUCCUUCCUUACAUUUUACUAAUAAUACCCCACACAUAAAUCUAUCUUAAAAAAAUAGUUUACCACUUUCGACUGAUCAAAUAGAUCAUCGAUCCUGGGCACUGUGGGUUAUUUACUCUCAACCGCUAACUUACUCCUCUUACGAUAGUCGAUACGCAAACGUAACAACUCAUCCUCUUCCUUAACAUCCUCCUAACUUGCGUCAUUGUUAGACAACAAGAGCGUCGUGGUAUUUUAUUACCGUAAAAUACUACCUUGGGUUACUUAGAAAACCGAAGAUUCAUACUUUUAUUCUAACAAUUUAUUAAAGUUCUAUGGUUAAUCAACUCAUUCAUACCGAGAAUUUCUUCAAAUUCUAUCAACUUUAUCGAUAUUUAUCUACCGAUACUUGCUUACAUUUCUUAGUCAUUUCCACGAAUAUAAUUAACGAAAGUUAUUUUCCCAUUCUCUACCUUAACGUAUAAAGGUAUUUAUAAUCCCUUCCUAGAAUGAACUUAAUCACUUAGCAAACUCUCAUGCUAUAAAAGAAAAGUAGCACUCCAAUCAAACAGCACAUAAGCAUUCAUUGUAUUGACCGGAAUGAUACCUGCUACUAAAUCCCCUGAUGUAACCGUACCAUGGCUAACUUACCACUACUAACACCUUUACUUUCCUCCGACCCCUUCUUUGGGCAAUUUCUUGUCAUGUGGUCCAACGACCCACAUACAAAACAACCAUGGUUUUUCUUAGGAUUAAGACAAUUGGGUAAUAUAUGACCCUCCUGUUCACAAUUAUAAUAAACCAAUUUCCCCUUCAAACAGACUCCUAGAUGAGUCUUUCCACAUGUCUUACAUACCUCGAUCCUACGCUUAGGAUCCCCUUGCUUCCUCCUCUAGUAUUCCCGGAAUUAAAAUUCUUUUUUUUUGCAUGCUAUCACUACCACUGGCUCCCUCUGCCUUGGUUCCUCCCUCUCCCUUGCUCUUAUUCUUCCUCUCUUUGUGGUAUUGAGUCAAUGCCUCACUACCACCUUGGCUAUAAUCACCUUCUCCAGAAUGGCCCCACAAGAAACACUCUGGAACACAAAAAUCCUACUAUAGAGCCAGGGUUUCAGGCCCUGCUCAAACCUACUAGCCUUCUCCUCCUCAGUGUCCACUUGAUGUGGAGCAAACUUUGCCAAUUCAUUGAAUCGGGUCGCGUACUGGGGAACCGUCAUGUCCCCUAGUUUAAGUUCUAAGAACGUAAUCUCCAUCCUCCCUUGCAUAUUUGUAGGGAAAUAAUUCUCGAAGAAAACCUUCUUGAAUUGUUCCCACGUUACCGUAUCUAUUCUAGCCCCACCCUGGUGAGCCUCCCCCCAAAAGUUGGCUUCCUCUUUCGUCAUGUAAGUCACAAAAGAAAUCUUGCGCCUCACUUAUGUUUUGUAAUAAGAAACGCCUUCUCUAUUUCUAUUACCCAUGUCUGGGCUUCUAAUGGGUUCGUCGUUCCUUUGAACUCCGGCGGACCUACACUUUUAAAUUCUUUAAAAGUAGUCAUUUUGGCUAACCUAGGUUCGGCAGGUACUCUACCCCCGGUUUAGUUAAAUGCAGUCGUUAAUAAAUUAACGAACUCUUGCAUAGGGUUGUUUUGACCCCCUUAAUUUUCAACGUGAUUCCGCUUCCUGAUUACGUUGUCUUCUCCUUGACGGCAUUUAAAUAGAAUUUCAUUAUUAUUUAUUUACUUACUUCGUUAUUAUUCGUCUCAUAACAACUCAUACCAUAACAAAGCAUAUUAAAUGAAAACUUCAUUAUAUUCAUAUGUUUCUUCAUAGUCAAAACUAUUUACAAUUUGCUUACAUAGCCCAAGGCUAUUACAUUUCUAUCCCGCAAUUGAACUUCACAAAAGUUGAGAUUUACAAAGAGACUACCCUUUUUAUACAAAAGAGGGUUUUACGUCACUACACACAUAUUUAUAACUCUAGCUUUCUAAUAAUGCAUAACAGGGUCCUCGUGUUUCUCAUUCGCAAUCUUCGCUACAGUAUCCCGACUAAUAGUAUGUUGAGUCUGCCCCGACUCUAUAGAAUAACAAGCAACUUUAAGCUUAAAAUCCUUAUGAGCACUCUUAUGGAUGUAAGACAUCCAUGCUAUCUUCCAGUCCUUAUCCUCCAGUUUCCUACGAAGCUCUACCACCUCGUUCAUAUAAUCCCUAGCCUUAUUAUUUAUCAUGAGCACCUUCUCAUCAUGCUCUGACUCAAAAUCUACUUCUGCAGACUCCUUCGCUACAUAAAGAGCACUAAUCUCUUUAUUUUGAUUCUGCACAACUGUACUCAGUUGCACAUUCCUAUCAAGCACUGCCAAAUACAAUGAUCUCAUUGCAUCUGAAGGUGAUGACUCUAGUGCAGGUACCACCGUAUCAACAGAUGUUACCUCCAUCCCUUCCUCCACAUCGUUCAUCAUACUAAAGUAUGACGCUAUAUCCAUAUCCCCCUCGGAGUAGUCUUCCUCAGAAAAGUACUCCUCUAUCUUCGACUCCUCUAGAAUCAUUAAAGGGACCUCCGCCACCGGCAUAAGUACAGGCUCGCUGUUUUGUUGUUUUUUUUUUUGAUAACGUGGAGUUUCCCAACCGCAGUCGGACUAAGUCUCCCCACCUCGGACCAGACUUUGCGCACAGGCUCGGCCUAAGACAUGGCUCCACCCAGAAAUGUGCGAUUCGUGGCCACAUGGGCCAGUUUUUAAUUGGCCCUCACACUUGUUGCAGGCGGGGAUCGAUCCCAGGAUGCCCGGGUUUACGGUUCACCCCAGGUCGGAACUUACCGCUGCUCGCUAUGUAUAUCUCUAAACAUCAAGCUAUCGAUCGACAUCCUACAAUAACACAUAUGUUGAUUAGUACAUAACACACAAUAGUAUAAGCACAAAUCACAUUUAAUUUAUUUAGGGUUACUUUUUAUCUUUUAAAUCUUUCAGUACUGAGUUUCCUCAAUACUUUAUUAACUCAUUCCACUUAAGUAAAGCUCGAGUUUACUUCCUUCAGACUUUUCUUCCUUAACGAGGUUAUUAGCCUAAGGUAAUCUUCCCCCCUUAAGUUUUAUAACCUAAUGCUUUGAUACCAACCUGUGACUCCCCCAAAUCCGGGUAUCUUCCAACUCGACAGAUGGUGCUACACGGUACUCAUAACUGUACAUUCAUUCUAUUGAAACGACAUCAAAAUGUGUGAAUCAACGACAUUCUUAUUACAUUAAUAAUAUUACAUCCCGUCCCCAGGUUCUAAAACAUACAUUCUUUGUUCAUCAUACUAUAAUAUAUACAACUUACUAGUUUAUUACAAGGUAAACUAAUCGUUCAUCUUCGUCUUGCCUUUAUCCUUGUCAGAUCCCUCGGUUCGUUCGGUCCUAGCUGCAUUCAUAUAGUUCAAGCAAGAGUGAGCAUAACAAGCUCAGCAAAUACAACAAUUUCUUUUAAACAACAUGCUUGAAACACAUGAAUCGUAUAUCUUCAAUAACUGAACAAUAGUUAUGAAGUACUAUCGAUACUUCAAAAUAGCACUUAUUUUCCUUCAAAAUGUUUUACAAUAACAAUAUUCAGUAAAACAUCAAUUCUGGCUCAAGACCAUGAGCGUUUCAUAAUUUCUUUGAAAAGGACAACCCGACACUAAGUCCGUAAGUCCGGUAUAUCUUACGAGCACUUCUGGGUGAUCAGCCCAUAGUACUCUAUGUUGAUCAACACUACAUCCUGUUAAACGUAUGUACGUUUAAGUUUUGGCAACCUCGUGUGCCCAUCGAAUAAUCGAUGAAAAAUACAUUUGUUUAUUCAUACUCAGGCUUACCUUGAAUCCGUACCAAACAAUUGGCGUAGAAUAGCAUUAACUAUAUUGAAAGACUUGUAAAUAAAUCAAUCAACUCUUCAACAUUAGUCUAGCCGAGGUAAAACUGGCAUCGACCCUUUAGUAAAAUAGUUCAUGCAUCUCAUAACAUGAAUCACAGAAAACUUGGCUAACACGAAGGUUAGACAAGCGUUUAAGAAAAACUUGCCUUCAGCGUCUGCUACAGUAUAAUAACUUUUCCUUUCAGUCUUUACGGUCUCUACAACACAUAACCACAUAACAUACCACAUUAGGUCAUGAAUGAACAUAAAUGGUUUCUAAUGAAUCUUACCCUUCUUCUCAAUCUAAUCCUAUAUUAGAUUUGUUAUUAUUGGUUCCAGUUUAUCGUUAUAACUUACAUCAUUCUUACCAACUUCUUUCUCUUCUAUAACUUAACUGAAAUUAUUUCAUUAAUACAACUCGUUUCAAGCUAAUCAUCCUUCUUCACGGCUUACUUAUGUUAUCACAUCACUAACCGAGACUCAAUUGUUAUUGGUUACGUACACUUAUUGCUUACCAUUCACGUUCACAUUCAAUUGACUUAUAUUCAACCUUUAGUAUUAUACCUAAGGUUUAUAUCAUUAGCAAUGAUGUUACAUUAAGUUGAUUAAGGAUUUAAUUCAGCCUUCAUUCACUUCUCCUUUCAUUUAUAUUCCAAAAACAUCCUUCUCUAUGCUUUACUUAGUGCUGGCGCUGCGGUGCCGGCAUUCCUUCUCUGUGUCACGCCGCGGCGUGACUUAGCAGUGUGUAUGGUCCGGACUCGGCGCUGCGGCACGAGUCUCCUUUGUUAUGGCCGCGCUGCGGUGCCAAUUAGCAGUGUGUCAUGCCUUGGCCUCGCGCUGCGACGCGGGCCUUACUUCUUUGAGUCGCGUUGCGGCGCGGACUCUGUGCCUCAGAAAAAUUUAAUAGAUUUUCAACUUUGUGAGAUUCUCGGGCUCAUAACUUCUUCGUUAUAAGUCCGAAUUGGCUCGUUCAAAAGCCUACGGUUCACAAAUUACAUACUCUACGCGUUCAUGCAAGAAUUUUAUCUAUUUGACUUCGUUGCUAAAAAUUCACCUAUUAGUCCAUUUUUAACGAAAACGAUAAACGUUCGUGAACGUUCAACUCUCGUUUCUUCGUUCUAAGUCGAAAUCCGGUCAUUUUUGAGUCCGCAACUCUAAUUGAAAACUAAUGUUUCCAAGCUCAAUAUCAAAAUUCGACCUCCAUUCUGAGAAUUUUACGAAUUCGACAAUUAUCGUCCGAACUCGUGAAUUCCGCCAUAACUUCAUUGCUUAAGAUUUGUUCUUCGCUUUAAAUGGAUUCAAUCCAUCAUAUUAACAUCUUGGCAUACAUACUUCUUUAACUUAUAUACAUGAUAGGUUAUUACUUGUUCUUCAUAAGUCUAUAACUUGUAAAAGUAUGAACUACUUAUGAAUUCACUUUGCAUGACUUAUGAUAGCUUAAAUCUUUUAACCAUCAUCCUUACUUCUUAUUAUCAUACAACCUUAUUAUUUCUACAUAAAACAAGUUCCUACAAGUUCUUCCUUGUUUCAUAACUUAUAUGAUUACGAAUAGCUUAUUCAUGACCUAUACGGCUUAUUAAGACUUAAGCUCUUUGAUUACUCAUUCCUAUCAUUCCAUAGCAUACACGUUCUACCACUACCCAUUUCCCUACCAAUGGAAGAGAAAGAGAUUCAUGGUUUAAGUUCUUACCCUUGAAUAUCACUUGGUUAAUCUUUGUUCUUCUUCUUGCUUCUUGAAUUAUGAAGACUAGCUUUCUAGCUUUUCUAGCUUAUUCUCACUUAUUCUCUCUAACCAAUAAGCUCUCAACUUGUUAGAUGAAAUGAACAACCAACAAAAAUGAAAAUCAAGCUUGCUAUUUAUAGGAGUUGCUAGGUUAGGGCAUAAGGGUUAUUAAUCCAAUCCCACCUCCUUAACUCCACCUCCUUAAGCCACCUCCUUACUAUUCCUUUACUUAAUUAUUAAGUUAACUUGCUCACCACAUAUACUUGGCCACCACACUUACUUAACUCUUAAGUAUACUUGCUUAGCACAUAGCUUAUCCUUUACUUGCUCAUCACAACACUUAGCCAUUAAGUUACUUGGUCAUCACAUAAAAGCACUUUGCUUGCUCAUCACUCACAAGCACUUUACUUAGCCUUUAAGUUACUUAACUUAUCCUUUGCUUAACCCGUAAGUCUACUUGCUCAUCACACAAAGUUCUUGAUCACCAAUUCACCCAUAUGAUCAUGGGUUGCCCCAUGGAUCCUCCUAAUCCAUUGAAUUCUUACUUUAGGUUUAAGGUUUAAUUAAUCCUAACUUAUACAUUGGGCUUGCAUUAACAAUUCUUUGGGCUUUAUCAUUAGCUUGCAUUGGGCUUACACAUCUCUACCAAGCCUUAUCAACAUCUCUUUGAACUUUACAAUUUCUUACUCAAUCCUACAAGUCCAUUACAUUUCACUUAAAGCCUUAUAACGUAUAAUUUACGUAUUAAUCUCGUAUUCUAACUCGUAUAUUUAUUUAAUAUACGAUAUUCCAUCAUUCAUACAUACUCGUAUUAUACUUGUAUUCAUUACCUCGUACAAUACUUACGUAUUAUACAAUCAUUGCUUUAAUUCAUUAUACGCAUUUAAAUUCCUUCUCGGAAUUCAUUUUCCCUAAUCGUUAGGUUUUAAGUCCGCAGGCGAAAAACUGUGUUUGCCAUAACUGAAAUAUUAUUGGAUAUUCUAUCUCACCUUGAUAUUCUAUCAUUAUGUAUUUCUCGGAAGUUCAAAAAUAAUUCCCGAGCAGAAAUGCGUGAAUAGUGUUUUUCGAAAAAAAUUUCGGAAAGUUUUUAUUUUCGUCCUGAAAAUUCAAACACUUUAAUUCUACCACGUAGCCAAAAUACUACGACGUUCCGAUAUGUCUAGGUUAUAGAACGACCUUCAAUUAGCUUACUCCCAUAUAUAAUUAAUUAAAUUCAUUUUUAAUUCACAUAAUCAAAUAAAAAUUUAAUUAAAUUCAUACUUCUAAUUAUUUUGUUUUUCUUGAUUUCUAAUUUAUUCAUGACUGACAAUUGUGUUGUCCGUAGGCUGCUUUAGCUUAGUUUAUACGCGUUUCACAUGUUUCCAUAAUUUAAUUUAUAGAGCUCUUAAUUAUAUUCUUUUUUUGACAUUAUGUAAACAAACAAAACAUCAAAAAGCAGUAGGUAUAAAGUCCAGCUCAAUUUAGGAAUAUUGAUGAGCUAGCUCCUUGGAGUUGAGGAUGGACAAAUUUUCAUCAAGUUCAAUAGUAAAAGGUUGUAUUUGUAAAAAUUAAAUCCACUUACAUUUCCUUCAAUUAAUGAGUUGCAACUUUGUAGUAUCCGAUGCGGUGAGACGAGACACUUUUAAAUGUAAUUUUUUUUAUAAUAGUGAUUUUAUAGGAAAGUUAAAGUGUCGGGCUCCACAACUGUAAAAGUAAUUUUUUUAUAAUACUUUUAUUUUUAAAAGUAUUUUUAUUUUUAUUUUUAUACAUAAAAGUAUUUUUAUUUUUAAUUUUAGGUAAAAAAAAAGAGAAAGAAAAUAAAAAAUAAAAUUAUUUUUAUUUUAAAAUUUUUAUAAGUAUUUUAAAACAUAAAAGUAUUUUUAUUUUUAUUUUUAAAAUAAAACAUACAUAUUAUAAAUAUUAUAAUAUUAAUUUUUAUUAAUAUUAUACAUAUUAUAAAUAUUUUUUAUCUCAUUUUUAACAUUUGCAUACCAUAUCCACGUGUGUUUGAUUAUUUGCAUUUUUUUAAUAUACAGUGGCUCAAUGCUUACAACUUGACUAACACAAUGGGGUAAAGGUAGGAGAAGUUGGCUGACUGGCUUGCCACGUAGGAAUUUCUUAACGCCCGUGAGCAAAAUUUGACGGAAUGACUUGAUUAAGCAUUUUUAAAAACCACAAUGAGCCAAUUGAAUUUUUUUAAAGUACAGUGGCUAAUUGCUUAAAACACGACAACCAUAGUGGAGUAAAAGUGUUUUUUCCCAUAUUUUUUUUUAAAAAAAACAAAUUAUAUAGGUAUGAACUUUUAACUUUCCUUCAACAAUUUAAAGAGAAAUUUGUAAAAAUCGCAAAUUGGUUAUUUAAUUUUUUUUUUAAAAGUUUUAGGCCAAAAUCUCUACGGACUAAAAGCAGUUGAGGGUCACUAAAUUUUAAAAUAUUUUCAUAUUUAUUCAAAAGUGAUUUUACUCUCCAGCAAACGAGCUCUUACUAUUGAACUUUACAAUGAAUUGAUCACCCUUAACUCUACUGAAUUAGGAUUCCUUUGAACCGGAUCAUGAUUCAUGAAGAAGUUAUAAUAUUGGUCUUAUGUACGUAAGUUCAUAAUCUUUUUGUUGUAUCCGUACUGAUAAAAUUAGCGUACACAACUUUUCAAAGAUAAUCUAUUAGUAUGAUAAUUUCAUAAAAUUCAAAUCCCUAUAUACCUUUACCUUUAAACCUAUAUAUACAUAUUCCAUAUAUACACACACUACACACUUUCACGAGACUAAUUAAGUGACCUCCAAACAUUUACUUACUCGAAUCCCCUUUAAAUUGUUACAUAAGCAACCACCAAUUCCUAUCAUCACCAACCAUCUCCCUCCCUCUCACAUACAAUGGCAAAUUCUGGUGUUGGAAUUGUGUGUUUGUUGCUGAUUUUGUUAACUGCAGUUCCAAGUUUAGCCGGACUCUAGGACAUAUUUAUAUGCAAGGAUUAUAAUGUCGAGACUAUAUUCUCAUGAAUUAUACUCCAAGAGUAUUAAACAUAUGAUUAAAUAGUCUUAGUCACAUGUUUGUUUUUUAUUAGAUUAUUUAUAGGAUAACUUAAAAUAAUAUCAUGUUAUGUUUGUUUUGUCCAAGAUUAUUUAAAGAAUUAGAUAAAAACUUAUGUUUGGACUAUCAUACACUUGCCACUACAUAUUCUCAUUAUUUUAGUAUAGAUAGAUAAGAUAAGAUACAUUGAUCUUUUUAAACAAAGUUUAAUGUUAAUUUUGUCCACAAAUUUUUAGUUCCAAAUAGUAGGGAUUAAAAUACCUAGUUGGACAUGGUAUUAAAUAGUCUUCCCUUUCAAGUCAUUGUAUUAUCUCGGGACUAAUAGUCUCAAGUCUAUUUUUAAAAACAAACAAUAGAUUUGAGAUUAAUAGUUCAAUCCCUAGUGUAAUCCUUGCAAAGAAAUUAGUCUGGAACUAAUUGGAGGAAUAUGUAAUUGAUGAGGGAAUGGAAUAGAGAAGGGAAUGAAAUGGUGAAUGGAAUAAUUCAUUCUAUUGUUGGAUAGAAUGAGUCAUUUCAUACCCUCUCAAGAAAUAAAAUUCACAAAUUUAGUAAGAAUGAGAAUGAUUUAUUUCAUUUCAAUAGAAUAAUCAAACAUAAUUUUUUUUUAUUUUAUGGAUGAGUCAUUCCAUUCUCGCCUUAAUUCCUACAAUUCAAACAUAACAUUAGUAUUGAUUAUACCACCCGGGCUAAAGACAAGAUAUUUAAAGUUGGAUAUAUUUUCUAAAAUAUAUUAUCAAACUAAUAAUAUAUAACUACUAAUUAAUAAACUUAAGUAACAAUUAAUAUGAAUUAACAUACUUCUAUCUUUUCUUGAUUUCUAAUUUAUGCAUGAUUGAGAAUUGGGAAGUCCUUCGGGUGCUUUAUGGCUCUUUAGCUUAGUUUAUACGCGUUACACAUGUUUCUAUUUCUGGAGCCCUUAAUUAUAUUCUUUAUCACAUGCUGUAAAGGAACAAAACAUCAAAAGCAGUAGGUAUAAAGUCCGACUCAAUUCAGCAGUAGGAAUAUUGAGCUAGCUCCUUUAGGGAUGGACACUUUUUUGUCAAGUUCAAUAGCAAAACUUUGUAUUUGUAUAAAAUACAGUUGUAUUUCCUCCGUCUUCAAUGGUCUUCCAUUAAUGGGAUGUAACUCUGUCUCUGUGUUAUAAAAAUGCUACUUCAUAACGCAAAGAGUAAUGUGAUGCGGUGAGGUGAAACACUUUUAAAUAUAAUUAAAGUUUUCGAUUAUAGUAAUUUUAUAAGAAAAUUAAAAUAGUGUUUGGUUCCACAAAUAUAAAUGUACGUGCUUUUUGGAAAAACUAAUUAAAAGAUUGAAUUAUACAUAAGUGUAUGCUAUGAAAUUUUAAUGUUUCUUCAACAACUUAAGGACAAGUUUGUAUAUUGAGUUUAGGCUAAAAGUAUUGCUAUCAAAAAAGCAUAAAUUUUUCACUUAUUUUAAAAGUGCUUAAAUCCAAAAUCUCUACUCACUAAAAGCAAUUAUAGAGGGUUCAUAUAGAUUCAAAAAUGGUUUUAUUACACUGCACCGUUCAGCCAAGUGCGCUCUUACAAUUAAACUUUACAAAGAAUUGACCAAACCUAAUUUUAGUAAAUUCAAAUUCCUAUUAACCUUAUGUAAGUAAGUUCAUAAUUUUUUGUUAUCUGACAAAAUUAGCUAAUUUUAUGUAAUCCAAAUCCUUCUCUACCUUUAUCUUUACACCUUUACCAUUACCUUUACCUUUACAACUAUACAUAUUCCAUAUAUAUACACAUUACCAUUAGACUAAGUGAACACCAAAACAUUUACUUACUCCAAUCCACUUUAUAUCAUUAUAUAAGCAACCACCAAUUCCCUAUCAUCUCCAACCAUCUCCCUCCCUCUCACACACAAUGGCAAAUUCUGGUGCUGGAAUUGUGUGUUUGUUGCUGAUCAUUUUGUCAAUGGCUGUUCCAAGUUUAGCCACAGACUAUACCGUAGGGGACUCAUCUGGUUGGGGUCUUAGUGUUGAUUAUACCACAUGGGCUAAAGCCAAGACCUUUCAAGUUGGAGAUAAUCUUGGUAAGUUUGCCAUUUUCAUUCAAUUAUAUAAUACAUGUAUCAACUCAUUUUACUAUUAAGCUAUAUUUCAACCACAUUGUUAAAAAAAAAUUAUGGCUUCGCCCUUGAUGUACAGUUUACAAUCUAUAUUAACGGGACAAAAAUUCUGAGUUAUGACAUUUAUUUUUUUUUGGGCAAAUUUACCCUUGAAAAAUAUUUUGGUAUGGUGAUUCUAGUAGUACAACAGACAAGGGCAUUUUGUCAAAAAAAAAUAAAUGAUAAAAAUGUCUGUCCAUUAUUUUACCUGAUUAAUUUUACCUCCCAUAUUUAACUUCGAAAAUCCAUGUUAAUAUAGUUUUUCUAUUGUUAUUUUUGAGAACGUAUGCCAUUACAAUUUAGUGAUUUUAGAGAUUCAUUUCAAUUUUAGAGGCCUAAGUGAAAUUGGAGAAGAAAAUCAGGAGAGGAACGUAGGGGAUAUUUAUUUUUAUUAUGCCGAGCGAGCAUUAUUUUAUUACUCACGAAUGGACUCGAACUAGUAAUUUUUAAUGAUUUUUAAGCUUUAACAACACUUAUUUCUGCUUGAAAUUGUAUAGUGUUCAACUAUGGAACAAGUCAUACUGUGGAUGAAGUGAAAUCCACCGAUUAUAGCUCAUGCACGGUCGGAAACUCCAUCAGCUCCGACAAAAGCGGCUCCACCACCAUCCCACUCAAGACUGCCGGCACACAUUACUUCAUUUGUGGUGCAAUUGGCCAUUGUAGUGGUGGUAUGAAACUAGCUGUAACCGUGGCUGCCGGAGGAGCAACCCCAACGCCGUCUGGAAGCUCACCGCCAUCCGGCACCGGUUCUACUAACUCCCCGACACCACCUACGACUCCGUUGGGCCAUGUCCCGGAUUCAUCUCCAUCGGGGUAUGUUUCUCCAUUUGCUGCUGCUCUGUUUAGUGCUUGUUGUCUUUUAAGUUUGGGGCAAAUGUGGUAACUCUAGCCAGGAUAGAGGCAGUGCUUUAUCUCUUUAUUUUUUCUCUCUUUCCGUUGGUUAUAAAAACAAUAGGAUUUAUGGAAUUAAUUUUCAGUAUACCCAAAUAAUUCAGAUAAAAUGCUUUAUUGAAUAGAAUUAAGUUCUUUUUUUUUUAAUUUAAUUUUUAAGUAUGCCAUCUUGUUUCAUUGUUUGUAUUAUGAUUGAGUAGCUCUAUUUGAGGCCAAUGAUGCCAUUUGGUUAAACAUUGACCUAACUUAUCUUAAUUAUUCAGUUUAGAGUGAAACAGAGCGAUUGAUGUCGCAGUAUCAAGUGUCGGUAGAACAAUAACACAAAAUAUCUCUAAAUGUACAUUUGAUCUAUAUUUUUGGGCAUUUUUCUAUUGUUGAGACUAAUUUCACUAUGUUCAAGUGAAAGAGAGAAAAUAUUAACCAUUAAAUUAGAUUAGAGUUAAUAAUAGUAAUUUAAACAUCUUUCCUUACUGAUUAGUUAUAACUUAUAAGCAAUUAAUACGUAUGGCAAAAAUGGAUGACUGAAAAUUUCAAGUUAUCACUUUCCCAGAUCUUAACAAGAAGAAUGCUAAAAAGGUUGCCACUAGUACCAAAUGCAGCAGCUAAAAAGUCUUUCAUUAUAAAUGCAUUUUGAUAGUCUUGAUAAUGUUUUUUAAAAAAAUAAAUAAAUAAAAUUGCCAAGAACAACCUUUUUCCAUGGCACCAUAUGUUUGGCCAUUAGAGAAUGAUGUAGCUAUCCUAACAAAAGCAAGUUGUUGUAACUAAAAAAGAAAGAAAAAGGAGCUGUAAAAGCAGAGUGGGUAGGUGAUGAUUUGCCAUAAUGAAGCAUUAUCUUCUCGUGCCUUAGUUGUCCCACGAUGUGAGUUCCUCCACCUACGACAACUUCGCACUCAUCUCCUUUCUUAUUCCAUCAAUGUGCUAAUUUUGAUCGAUAUAAUAUGGGAGGGCAACAAAUUGUAUUUGUAAUCCUAAUUGAACCGUAAUUAUAAGAAAUCGCAAUUGGUUGUUGAAGGAAUAUUUAAAGGAUGUUAUUACAAUUUACAAUUUACAUGUUUACACAUAAUAGAAAAACUAAAAAUAUAUAUGGUGGUGUAAAAGUCUUUAGUGUGGAAAAACUUUUCUAAUUGUACGCCCUCUAAAACUCAACGGUGUCUUCAAACUACGAUAUGAGAAUGGAGUUCAAAUUCACGGUUCGUAAUAAUUAGGGUUUGGUCUGUGUUGGGAGAGCUCUCUGAUAAUGGCAGUGUAUCUCUCUGUUUUUGGGUUUGGUAAAACUGAUGGAUUGUGAUCGACUGAGGAGACGUGUGUUUUAAUAGCCUUGGUGGUUGUUGCGGAGUUAUAGGGAUUGUCAGUUCCCUAAUUAUCCCUCUUUCUUUACAUAGUGUUAGAAUUUAAAUAGAAUCUAACACAUAAAUAAUACUUACAUAUGAAUCGGUAAGUAUUCACGAAGCGGAAACGGUUAAAUCGAAUGUCAAAUCUACAAGCAACACCAUGAACAUAGCUACAACGAUCCUUCGUACUUCUCGUCAAUAUAUAACUGUUACAAGCAAUCAAUGCGAACGAACUAAUUAAGUGUUCACAUCAAGUGUACCCAAGCUUAUUGAUGGAAGCUUGAAAAUACUAGAGAGAGAAUUUAGAGAGAAACUGUAUGAGAAAAAUAAUACGUUAUUUUUUCUUUUGCCCUAUACACAGUAGGCUUCAGUAUUUAACGUAAAACCCAAUCCGUAUGGGAAAAGUCUGUGACGUCCCCAAAAUAGGUAUACAUCACCCAUCUUGAGUCGCCAAAUACAUAUUGUCAUCUAGACAAUAUCAACACUCAAUGGAGUCCUCAUUAUAUUUAUUAUCGCACUAUUUUAUAGAAUAGUGAGGACUACUAAAACAACCAUCUGGACCGUCAAUCCGUUCCCCAACUCGUCCCAGCUAUAUUCUCAUUUCCUGAAGAGAACAGUGAAAGAAAGGGUGAGCUCAACUAGCCCAGUAAGAAAUAUUAUGGCUACGAUAAUGCAGAAUAAAUUAUCCUUAGCCUUCAACAGUAUAACAACUGAUAGAAUAUAAUAGACAACAAAUUUUAGAUCAACAACUACAGCGGAAUAAGCAAUCCAUUAGAAGAGUAGAGCAUAAAAUCUACUAUCUUCUAUGAUUUAAAAAGUUUUUCAUCAACUUUAUCGCUGAAACUCAGCUUAAUAAAUAAAAUCGAAUCAUCCCUGUAUCACGGCCAAGGAUAUUCAUGUAAUCAUCAAUGGUCAUGAUUAUACCGAAUAAUCUCUGGUCAUAAUCAUACCAACAACUGUCCAUCAAUGAACUACAGGCCAAUGAGGACUUUCAUCACAUUAUUUGUCACAUUACGGUCAUGAUUAUACCGAAUAAUCCCUAGUCAUAAUCAUACCAAGUCCAUCUAUGCACGUAAGCCAACGAUGACUUUCAUCACAAUAUAAGCAUGAGAAUGAUGACAAUGACAUAAUAAUUCAAUAAAACAAGUUCAAGGAUAAAUUUUAAAGAUUUAUAAUUUAAUUUAUCCAGGAAUCAAUAACGUCCAAUUUGUAGGGGUGCUCAUCAGUAAAAAAACCGAACCGGUACCGAAAAAACUGAACCGGUACUGAUUCAAAAUUACCGAAAAAACAAGAAUCGAAACCGGUACCGGUACCGAAUUACCGAUUUUGGUACCGAUUCGGUACAAAAUCGGUACCGAUUUUUUUGGUUCGGUUUUCGGUUAUACCGCAUGCAUGGUAAUAUAUAUAAUUAUUAAUAAAUAAUAAUAAUUAAAUAAUUUAUUUUAAUAUAUUAACAAUUUUUUUUUAAAACUAAGAAAAAGAAAUCAUCAACAAUUAUAUAUCAUAUACUGUUCGUCUUGUAAAAAUCAUAUACAAUUGUUGUUGUAGACUGUAGUUGGCUUGUUGUUAUAUGAUUAUAUAUUUAUAUCAUACUGUAGUUUGCUUGUUGUUCUACAUAUUUUGGUUUGAAUUUUGAUUAUAUAUACCUUACUUGACGUCUUCUAAUAACUUUUAUCGCUAGAAUAAAAACAUAAAAUUAAGUAAUUAGUAAUUCUACAUUACUCAACAAUUUGCAGCCCAUUAUUUUGUUCUCGUGAAUGUAAGCAUUAUGAAAUAGUGAUUAUUGUUAUUAACUCGAGUAAUAAAAAUGAGAUCCAACUACGUACUAAUAAUAUACCACAUCCGCUCUGAAUUAUAAUAUUGACUUUUAAAAUAAGGUAUUUUUAAAUUUAAAUUUAAAAUAAUUCAUUAAUAAUAAUAAACGAGUAAUAUGUUUUAUAUAUAGUUUAAAAUUUGUUUCGGCUAAAAUUAAAAAAAGAAAAAGAAGUUAUUUUGGAAGGAGUAUAUAAAAUUCAAAUACUGUAUUAAAACUAGCAGGUGUUCUCUAUCCUCCUCCUUAGUACAUGAGUAGACACUAGACAAUAGUAGACUAGUAGUGGAAUUAGCACUUAGCAGGUGUUUGACGUUCUUGCAUCAAAGCUGCUUGAGCUGACAAUAUAGUAUUGUUGACUAAAGAAGCAUCAAAUGCAUUGCAGUCAUGAAAUAGUGAUUAUUGUCUCUUCAGUCUCUCUCUUCCACUCUCCUCCACAGAACAAGAAUGCAAAUCCAUGCAAAUUUUAGUUUUUUUUUUCGAUUUUUUGGUUUUACCGAAUUCCAAAUUCUCAUUACCGCUACCUGUACCGAAAAGUAUAAAAAAACCGAAAAAUCAAAACCGAAAAAGAUCGGUACCGCCGGUACCGGUUUCAACCGGUUCGGUAAAAAAAAUCAAAAAACCGAAUUUUUUGAGCAUCCCUACCAAUUUGUCAACAUGAUACUGCUUUGUUGAGAAAAAUUCAAGAAUGCUCAGAAGAAUAUUUUCAUGAAAAGAUACUGGAUGAAGCGCAAAUAUUCAGGAUAUUCUACUAAUUUCAUGGAGUAUAGAAGUCAAAAUUUUAACCAACUGAGUAUAAUAGAAUAUAUGAAACUGCAAAUGGAUUUUCGCCCGCCAUGCGGUAAUCCACAUAGACAGAUCAUUUCCAUAAUUUAACAAGGAAUGAAUACGAAGGGUCAUUCACCAUGCAUGCGGUAGUCCACAUAGACAGGUUAUUCCAACAGAAUAAUAAAGAAUGGAAUAACAGAAGAAUUCACCAUGCAUACGUAAUCCGCAUAGACAGGUUAUUCCAACAGAAUAAUAAAGAAUAGAAUAACAGAAGAAUUCUUCAGGCAUGCGUAAUCCGCACAGACAGGUUAUUCUAACAGAAUAAUAAAGAAUGGAAUAACAGAAUAAUUCACCAGGCAUGCGUAAUCCGCAUAGACAGGUUAUUCCAGCAGAAUAAUAAAUAAUGGAAUAACAGAAGAAUUCACCAUGCAUGCGAUAGACCGCACAGACAAGUUAUUCCAAUAGAAUAAUAAAGAAUGGAAUAACAGAAGAAUUUACCAGGCAUGCGAUAGACACAGACAGGUUAUUCCAACAGAAUAAUAAAGAAUGGAAUAACAGAAGAAUUCACCAGGCAUGCGAUAGACCGCACAGACAGGUUAUUCCAACAGAAUAAUAAAGAAUGGAAUAACAGAAGAAUUCACCAGGCAUGCGAUAGACCGCACAGACAUGUUAUUCCAACAGAAUAAUAAAGAAUGGUAUAACAACCCUUACGAAUAUUGAAAAAAAUAACUCUCUUCAUGAAUACGAAAGAAAUAAUACCCCUUGCCUUAGAAGAAACUGGAUACUGGAAUAGUGAGGUAGCAGACUUCUCUAUUUCUUUCUCUCUAUAAUAAUUGUUCUUGUGAGACUUAGUGAAUUGGUGACAAAUGAAGGAAGAAUGAACUUCUAUUUAUAGAAAAAUAUAGUUUCAAUAAUUGCACAUUUUGGGCCUCAAAAUAUUACAGUAUAAUACCUCCCUCUUUUUCUUCAUUUUUAAUUUAGUCUUACAAGUAUUAUCAAACUUGCACCACCUCCCCUAAUAAUAAAUCAUGUGAAUUAAUAGUUCAUUCAUGUGACUGAAUAGUAUAAUCAUGUGAAAAACCUAAUUACAGUAUAGUACCUUCAACUAUAUCUCCAUUUUUUUAAUUUAGUCAUGCAAGUAAUAUCAAUCUUGCACCAACUCCCUUAAUAAUAAAUCAUGUGAAUCAAUAGUACACACAUGUGAACACAUAGUUAUAAGCAUGUGAAUUAAUAGCAAUUAAUUACUCAUUUAUUCGGUUAAUUACCCGAUUGGUCAAUAUAACCUCCAGACAUCAAUUAUUAUCGAAAUAAAUAUCGAUUUCCACUAACACUAAUAAUCCCAACACAAUGGAACUAUCAAUUUCAUCUUUAAUCAAUACGAAUUUAUUCAUCAUUAAUAUUAUAACUCACAAUAUUUAACAACCAGGUCAUUCUCAGGAAAGAGGGGGCUUUUCGAUAAGAAUUUCUCCUUAUUGGCGCGCAAUUAGGUGACCAAACCUCUCAUUGACAGAACUUUUAGACAUUGUCAAUAUUGCAAAUAAUAAUAUGAAUAACUUUUUCGUCUCAAUUAUUGAUUUAAUAAUAUUAUGUAGAUGAUACUGUGACAAUAAUUGAAUGAAUAAUAUGAGAGAUAUGAUGCAGCAAUUACUGUAGCAAUAAUUGAGUAUAACUGAGUAACUUCUUACGUAAACAUCAAUAAUCAAUACCGUGUGCUACUAUGCAACCACGCAUAUUACUGUACUUUUACUACCAGGUAGUUCAACAAUUUAACGGUAAAACUUUCACCGUUAUUUUUAUAAAAAGAUAAUUAUGUCAUUUUCUAAAUACGACAUUACUUCAGUUGUGGGGUCCACCAAUGAUUGUGCCGUCGUACAAAUAUUCCCUGUUAAGACAAAUAUUCCCCGACACAACGAAUAUUUUAUAACAACUUGCAUACUUCGCAAAAUUUUCACAUAUCACCCUUAACUUUAACCUUUUUUUAUCAAUUUAACCAUUUACGAAAUAAAAUAAUUAUUAUAAGAAAAUUGAAUACUUUCAUUUCAUAAAGUUCGGGGUCUUACAACCUCUCCUCCUUAUGAAAUUUCGCCCUCGAAAUUUAUGUACGUACCUGGUAUGCGGAAGAGGUGAGGAUACCUUGACUUUAUUUCAGAUUCUAACUCUUGAGUGUCGAAUAGGAUCCUUCUUAUCUAAGAUUUUAACAUGUAUCUCCUCAUACAUUAAAUCUUCUGCUAUCUCGUCUAGUUCCAAUUCAAUAAUGUGGUUCGGGUCGUCCACAUAUUUACGUAACAUCGAUACGUAAAAAAAACCUUAUGAACACGCGACAUACUUGGCGAUAAGGCGAGUCUAAAGGCCACAAUUUCUACUCGAUCGAGGAUUUCAAAAGGGCCAAUUAAAUCGAGGGUUGAGAUAACGCCUUCUUGAACCUUCUUCUUCACAUUCAUCAGAUUCGGGUGUGUAGCUUGAGCGGCUUUAACUUUAUCAAUUAAAGUCAAUUCUACUCGUAUAUUCGUUAUCUCCACGUGAGUCCCUAGAGUCUUUAACUAUCAUCAUUUGUAAGUUAUACGAAAUGGGUUUUUGUGUUAACAACAUCGCACUCGUAAAUGCAUACGAUCUUCUACUCAACGCGUCAGCUACCACGUUCGGAGCUUCCACGAUGAUAUUGAAUGGUAUAGUCGUAAUCUUCAACAGCUCGAGCCAACGUCUUUGGCACAUUAUACGUUCAUUUUUGGUGAAGAAAAUAUUUGAGGGUUUUAAAAAAAGGUUUUGUACUGGGGUCAAUACAAAAUUCGAUUUCACGCUCUAGGGGUAGGCUAAGAAGUCUUCAAGAAUACGCCAGGAAAAUUAUUAACAAUAAAAAUAUCAUUCAAAACUGUGACUCUCAUCCCAAGACUUGGAUAACACGUCACAUUGAUAUCUAUCAACUUGCCACCGUUAUUCACGGCGUCCCCUACGGAUAGUCUGACUUCGUUGUAUUCCAAGACUUGAAAGUCACCAGCGAAAGGCUCGGGGCUCUUUUUUUUUUUUUUUGCUAAAUUUUUGUUUGUAUAUUAACAUUGCAAAAAACUUUUGAUAUUACAAUGAAGAUCAGAGCAUAGUCCCCUUCUCCCGAGGGGACUAAAAACACCUAGCAACCUAAGAAACAAAAUACCUAACCUAAAUUACAUUUUCCUCACAACCCGAGGUUAAGCAAAAGAAACAACUAAAAAAAAUUAGUUUAAAAGCCAAACAGAUCAUAGGUAUAUAACAAUAUCAGCCCAAACCGUGGGCCCAAGACCCUCACGGUUAGUCUUCAAUGGAUCCAUUUGUUAACAUGUCAAGGACAUAGCCAGACAUCAUCAAUCCCAUCCCACGUGAAGGUAGGCAAAAAGCUGAUGUGCCCAAAUGAAAUUAGCUGGUUAAAUUUGAAAUUUAAACAACCCAAGUGAAAUGGGACCCAUUAACCAGCUGGCAACAACACAGUUACGUGAAUAGUAGAAUUUUCCUCUGAUUUGUCUCCCAAAUUCCUCCGGCAAAACAGUAGCCGCCGGAAAACCAUAAGCACAUGGGAUUUCAAAGCAAACACAAACACCAGCCAAGAGAGAUACCGAAUUGACAAGGAGCCCAGAACGGAAUUCAUCAAUGACUAAAACAAAUCAGAACUCCCAAAUGAUUCCAGAAAAAAAAGACAAAACAAGCAAAAAGAAUCAACGAGGAGAAACGCCAUGAGUCAGCCAAGCAAAGACAAGCCAUAGCUAUCAUAAGCAACACCAAUAAUUGACCGAAAAAUGAACAUUAAUGUAUAACAAAUCAAUUAAUGGAAAGAAAAAACAACCCAGCACAACCCCAUAAACCAACCUAAAACUGAAACAUUUAGAGAUUAGCAAUACAACCCAAAUCCAGAAUAGGGAAGAGGGGGCGGCUGAUACAAGAGCCUCCUUUUGCCGAGCCCAGAACCAUAGAACCAUAAUCGCCGGCCACCACUUCAGAUCAUGACUCCACUUUUUGCACCACAAGAACGAAGCCCUCUACUAAUCACACAGGAAAGACCCACAAUCUAGCAAACCCUUGGACUUGGCAAAGCUCAGAUCAAAAAAAGGAAUUUUGAAAAGGUCCAUGCUAUAGCCGCCAGAAAUGCUAUAACAGCACCUAGGCAAGGUUAGAGUGGUGACCGGAAGAAGUGGGAGGGAUGGUGGGCCGAAGGAAGGGAGGGAGGGGGAGUUGGGAGGGCCGGAUGAGAAAAAAGAGGCAGAAAUGGAAAAUGGAGGGGCCAAACCGAAACAUUCUGCAGCACAUCCAAAACCCCAUCCAGAUCAUAUCUAAACUUUCAACAAGAGUAGGUGGGCCGCAAGGGUGGUGGGUAGUGGUGGGUGCAGGAGAAUGACGGGGAAGAGAAGGCAGAAAGGACAGAGGUGGUUUCCUAGAGAGAAGGAAGAGCUUCUCUCUCUACCCUGCUUGGAACCCUCUUCCGCUCGGGGCUCUUUACUUGUAGCUUGAUAUGACAAUGAUUGACUUUUAUGGUUUGGUUGCUUGAAUUCCCAUAAUAGGUUGGUUAGGAAUAUGAAACCUAACAACCUUACGAAAACAAUCGAUUUUAGCAUGAUGAGUAGUUAACCAAUCAAUCCCUAAAAUCACAUCAAAUGCAAGUAUUUUCAAAGAAAUAAGAUCGACAAGUAACGUGCGAUUACCGAUUUGAAUCAAACAAGACUUAUAAAACAGUGGAUGCAAUGAAGGUUUCUCCCAACGGAGUUUCAACAGAUAAGUCAAAGUCUAAUUUCUCCGGAGUCAAAUUUAAACGUUGAGCGCAAGUAGGAGAAAUAAAAGAAUGGGUAGAACCGGUAUCAAAUAAGGUAUAGACUUCGCAAGAAUUUAUAAUUAACUAACCCGUGCUAACUUCGUUCGGGUUACUCGCUUUUUGAGAAGUCACAAAAAACGCUCUUCCUGAAACCACCGACUUUAUUUUGUCCAUAUUCGCCUUUGGUGCCACCGUCCCAUCUGGACUUGACUUUGGUGCACGACAAAAUCGGGCUAGGUGACCUUCUUUUCCACAAUUGUAACAUGCUUUGGACUGCAUCACGCAGUUUGGACUGAUAUGUCCCUUCCCUCCGCAUUUGAAGCAUACAAUUGGUGGUCGUUCUCCUUCCUUGAAAACGGGUGUUGGUACUGCUAUCUUUCCAUCGUUGUUGAACCUUCUCUUCUUGAAAUUUCCACUCCUAUUAUCUUGGCCAUGGUUACCACCGAAGUGGUUACCAUUUCUUAGCAUGAUAAUUUCCCCCAUGAUGGUUAUCAUUGUUCCGAUGGCCGUUGCCACCGGUACGAUUAUUAUCGUGUUGUUGGUCGUUGCCUUUUGGUUGUGCUAACUCAUUAUCGCGCUGCAAUAACUGAGUCCUAUUCACAACAUCUGAAUAUAAACAAAGUUUGUGAGAAAUGAGGUAUUGACGUAUAUCGGGUUUCAAACCCCUUAGAAACUUUCGCGUCAUUCGCUCCUCAUUAUCGACCAACUGGGAUGCAAACCGGGAUAACUCGGCAAGCUUAGCUUCGUACUGCGACACGGUCAUAUUAUUUUGCUCCAGCUUGAUGAACUCUACCUCCUUCAUGUGACGAAUACUUUCGAGAAAGUACUUGUCGUUGAACAACUCUUGGAACUUCUCCCAAGACAUCUUGAGUGCGUCAGGCUGGGUACGCUUUACAGAUUCCCACCAAUAAUCUGCCUCUUCACGCAACAUAAAGGUGGCGAAGGGAACCUUUUGCUCCUCUGAGCAUUCCAAGACAUCAAAUAUCUUGGUGAUUUGCUUUAUCCACGUCUCCGCCUUAAGUGGUUCUGGCUUUCCCAAAAACUCCGCCGGUCCCAGCUCCUUGAAAUGCUUAGCAGUGACCAGCCGUGGGUUGCCAUUGUUUCCACCUGCAUUAUGAACAGGAGUCUCUCUCGUCUGAUGUUGCAUGAAUUGCAUAAAGCCUCUGAACAUCUCAUCGUUCAUCAUUUCAUCGGUGUUAUUGUUUACCUGAGGAUUAUUAUCUUCCAACACAUUAUCCUGGAUAUUGAUCGUUAGUGACUCAACGGUCUCAUGUGCUUCAUUGCUGAUCUCAACAUUUUGAGAUGCCAUUUUCAAACACUGUCACAAAACAAGGGUUAAUUGACAUAUCACAUAUUAUCCCCAUACUUUGACCGACCAAUUAAAUACCAAAUAAACUUAGGUAGGUCAUACUAGCGAAGGAAUUUCCCGUCUCUCCCCUCCUAGUUUUUAUCUCACAUCUCAUCUAGGGAUCAUAUCCCUAAGUUUGAUACCAACUGUGACGCCCCCAAAAUAAGUAUACAUCACCCAUCUUGAGUCGCCAAAUACAUGCUACAAAAUUCAAAUACAACUUAAUUAUACAACAGUAGUGUAAAAUACGACAAAACAUAAUCUAAGAGUUUCAAUAAGAAUAUUGUCAUCUAGACAAUAUCCACACUCAAUGGAGUCCUCAUUACAUUUAUUAUCACACUAUUUUAUAGAAUAAUGAGGACUACUAAAACAACCAUCUAGACCGUCAAUCCGUUCCCCAACUCGUCCCAGCUAUAUUCUCAUUUCCUGAAGAGAACAGUGAAAGAAAGGGCUCAACUAGCCCAGUAAGAAAUAUUAUGACUAAGAUUAUGCAGAAUAAAUUAUCCUUAGCCUUAAAACAGUUUAACAACUGAUAGAAUAUAAUAGACAACAAGUUUUAGAUCAACAACUGCAGCGGAAUAAGCAAUCCAUUAGAAGAGUCAAGUAGAGCAUAAAAUCUACUAUCUUCUAUGGUUUAAAAAGUUUUUCAUCAACUUUAUCACUGAGACUUAGCUUAAUAAAUAAAAUCGAAUCAUCCCUGCAUCACGGCCAAGGAUAUUCAUGUAAUCAUCAAUGGUCAUGAUUAUACCGAAUAAUCCCUGGUCAUAAUCAUACCAACAACUGUCCAUCAAUGAACUACAAGCCAAUGAGGACUUUCACCACAUCAUUCAUCACUUUACGGUCAUGAUUAUACCGAAUAAUCCCUGGUCAUAAUCAUACCAAGUCCAUCUAUGCACGUAAGCCAAAGAUGACUUUCAUGAAAAUAUAAGUAUGAGGAUGAUGACAAUGACAUAAUAAUUCAAUAAAACAAGUUCAAAGAUAAAUUUUAAAGAUUUAUAAUUUAAUGUAUCCAGGAAUCAAUAACGUCCAAUUUGUCAACAUAAUACUGCUUUGUGGAGAAAAAUUCAAGAAUGCUCAGAAGAAUAUUUUCAUGAAAAGAUACUGGAAGAAGCGCAAAUAUCCAAGAUAUUCUACUAAUUUUAUGGAGUAUAAAAGCCAAAACUUUAACGAACUGAGUAUAAUAGAAUAUAUGAAACUGCAAAUGGAUUUUUGUCUGCCAUGCGGUAAUCCACGUAGACAGGCCAUUUCCACAAUUUAAUAAGGAAUGAAUACGAAGGGUCAUUCACCAUGCAUGCGGUAGUCCACAUAGACAGGUUAUUCCAACAGAAUAAUAAAGAAUGGAAUAACAGAAGAAUUCACCAUGCAUGCGUAAUCUGCACAGACAGGUUAUUCCAACAGAAUAAUAAAAAAUGGAAUAACAGAAGAAUUCACCAGGCAUGCGAUCUGCACAGACAGGUUAUUUCAACAGAAUAAUAAAGAAUGGAAUAACAGAAGAAUUCACCAGACAUGCGAUAGACCGCACAGACAGGUUAUUCCAACAAAAUAAUAAAGAAUGGAAUAACAGAAGAAUUCAUCAGGCAUGCGAUAGACCGCACAGACAGGUUAUUCCAACAGAAUAAUAAAGAAUGUUAUAACAACCCUUUCGAAUAUUGAAAGAAAUAACUCUCUUCAUGAAUAUGAAAGAAAUAAUACCCCUUACCUUAGAAGAAACUGGAUACUGGAAUAGUGAGGUAGUGAAUUGCUCUAUAAUAAUUGCUCUUGUGAGACUUAGUGAAUUGGUGAGAAUUGAAGGAAGAAUGAGCUUCUAUUUAUAAGAAAAUAUAGUUUCAAUAAUUGCACAUUUUGGGGCUCAAAAUAUUACAGUAUAAUACCUCCCUCUUUAUUUUCAUUUUUAAUUUAGUCCUGCAAGUAUUAUCAAACUUGCACCACCUCCCUUAAUAGUAAAUCAUGUGAAUUAAUAGUUCAUUCAUGUGACUCAAUAGUAUAAUCAUGUGAAAAAAAUAAUUACAGUAUAAUACCUUCAACUAUACCUCUAUUUUUUAAUUUAGUCGUGCAAGUAAUACCAAUCUUGCACCAACUCCCCUAAUAGUAAAUCAUGUGAAUCAAUAGUACACACAUGUGAACACAUAGUUAUAAACAUGUGAAUUAAUAGCAAUUAAUUGCUCAUUUAUUCGGUUAAUUACCCGAUUGGUCAAUAUAACCUCCAGACAUCAAUUAUUAUCGAAAUAAAUGUCGAUUUCCACUAACACUAAUAAUCUUAACACAAUGGAACUAUCAAUUUCAUCUUUAAUCAACACGAACUUAUUCAUCAUUAAUAUUAUAACUCACAAUAUUUAACAACCAGNNNNNNNNNNNNNNNNNNNNNNNNNNNNNNNNNNNNNNNNNNNNNNNNNNNNNNNNNNNNNNNNNNNNNNNNNNNNNNNNNNNNNNNNNNNNNNNNNNNNAUUGAUUUAAUAAUAUUAUGCAGAUGAUACUGUGACAAUAAUUGAAUCAAUAAUAUGAGAGAUAUGAUGCAGCAAUUAAUGUAGCAAUAAUUGAGUAUAACCGAGUGACUUCUUACGUAAGCAUCAAUAAUCAAUACCGUGUGCUACUAUGCAACCACACGUAUUACUGUACUUUUACUACCGGGUAGUUCAACAGUUUAACGGUAAAACUUUCGCCAUUAUUUUUAUAAAAAGAUAAUUCUGUCGUUUUCUAAAUACGACAAUACUUCCGUUGUGGGGUCCACCAAUGAUUGUGCCGUCGUACAAAUAUUCCCUGUUAAGACGAAUAUUCCCCGACACAACGAAUAUUUUAUAACAACUUGCAUACUUUGCAAAAUUUUCACAUAUCACCCUUAACUCCUUUUAUCAAUUUAACCAUUUACGAAAUAAAAUAAUAAUUAUAAGAAAAUUGAAUACUUUCAUUUCAUAAAAUUCGGGGUCUUACAAAGUCUAUAUCUGACUAAAUCAAGAGAAUUAUCUCAUAUAGAGUCCUAACCAUAUCACGUAUUAUUUAAAAUACUUCCAAGUGAUAUGGGACUCUUCCAAUCCUUAUUGGGUUAUCCAAUAUCCAUAUCCAAGUGGAUGUCCAUGAUCCACGAGUCUGACCCGAAUCAAUUACUAACACAUAGUUUUUUAAACUGAUCAGACAGAUACCUGCGGCCUCGGUCAGUUUGAAGCGUCUUAACACUUUUAUCUAAUUGUUUCUCAACCUCAAUCAAAUAAAAUCUAAAGCAUUUUAAUGCUUCGCACUACAAGAAAAAGGCCCAACAGCGACCAAGAUUAUCUGUGACCGCCAUUUUCUGUGGCUAAUGCUUGUUAAAGCGACCGAUAUAGCGACCACAUGUUAAUUUAGUCGCUAUUACUUUUCGUGACCGCAAUCGGUCGUUGAUAUGUACAUGUUUGGUUGCUGAAAGAUUUUCCCACCAAAAAAUUGGCAUGAAAGUGGGGCGGGAAGCCUUAUUGCGACUGGAUCGUAACAGCAACCGGAUAGAGGUCACUAAUACUGCCACUUAGUUAAAAAUUAGCCACCGAAUGCGGUCGUAGAAGGCGGUCGUUGAUCCUAUUUGAUAUAAUUAGGAACUAGACAGUUAGACAGAAACGAAAAAGAAGAAGAAAGAAAAGAGGAUUGGGAGAAUCGAGAGAAGGGAGGAUUGCCCCCACACCGGUUGGUCCACCCCACGCCACCCCAUCAGGUAUGGUUUCUCUAUUUUUUUUAUGUAUGUAAUUCUUCUAACAUUUAUUUCGUUAAAUAAUAAUUUCGUUCGAUUAAUUGGUUGAAAUGAAUUAUUAUUAUGAUGAAGCUGCUCUUGAAUUAAUAUGUUCAUUAGUUGAACUAUAAAUAUGUACAAUUUUCUUACAUAUGUUUAUCCUCUUUUUGUGAAAAAUAUAUUGUUAAGAUUUACAACCCCGGGAGAUCAAUUCAACCCUAGUGAUAACCCCGAGAGAUCAAAACAGAAACUCGAUGACAACCCCGGGAGAUCAAAUCAAACCCCGAAGACAACCCCGGGAGAUCAAAUCAAACCCCGGUGAACACCAGAGAUCAAAUCAAACAUCAAAGACAACUCUGGGAGGUAAAAUUAAACCCUGAGAGAUCAAGUCAAACCCCAGUGACAACUCCAAGAGAUCAAGCCAAACCCCGGUGACAACCCCGAGAGAUCAAAUCAAACCUCAACGACAAUCCCGAGAGAUCAAGUUAAGACCCGGUGACAACCCCGUGAAACAACAAACUAACCUCAGAGACAACCCUGAGGACUGACAAAAGUCAACAGUAAUCCAAUCUCGGAGACAACCCUAAGAAAAGACAGUUAUAGUUGCAUCAAACCUGGAGAGGAAAAAUAGUAAUUUUGCCAACUCAACAUCAAAUCAAGUCAAAUCAUCGCUAUGAAGGUCAUGCAGAACAAUAACAUCAAUCCCGAGUGAAAAUAGCACAAGAUAGCUCAACGGACGAAUUGUGAAGACUUGAAGAUCUGGUCAUGGACCCAUCUUCCUAGAUUUGGAAAAGGUCAAAUCUCAUUUCAUUGUGUAGCUCUCGGAAAGGGCCUUCCGGAAAGGUAUAGCACGCCUCCAUCAGACUCCCGGAUUGAAAGUUAUGAAGGUUCGAACAGACUGCGCGUUGGUCUGAGUGCACGUAUGUUGGGUGUAAUCUAAUUAAGCACGACACACAAGUAUACGUGAUCAACAAGUAAUAUAAUGAUAAGUUGAGUAUCGUUCCCACAGAGACAGAAAUAAAUUUUAAUCUAACAAUUACCAACUUUGUAUUUUCUCAAUUUUAUUAAACUAACCGAUUUAAUGAUUGAAAAUAAUGAAAAACUAAUAAACAAAAUAAAAAUCAACUAACAAGCACAAAAUUUACUUAGAUAAUGGAGAAUUAAACCUAAAACUUCACUUUAUGCUUCAAUUAGAUUAUCACACUUCUUUUUAAUCCAAUUUAAAUAUUCCAAUUCAUUAAUAAAGAACACGAAAGUAGAAAUAGUCAUCUCUCGAUGCACUAAACCCAUAUCAACUUAAAUUCAUAGAUGAUAGAAUAAAGCCAAACACCCUAAUUAACUAAUUCAGUAUAUCUCUAUGUGAAUUAAAAUUAGAGAAGGUUUAAAUCCCAAGUUCUUACAAAAUUACAUUCGAUGCAUAGGUAUAUCUCUAUCCUAAACAUGAAUCUAGAAUUCCAUCAAAAUGCAGAAAUCACAAACACAUGCUAUUAUGACUAAGUCUAAACUCAUAUUUCAUCUCUCGAAUUCAUACAAGUUCACACAGAGUUGGUGAUCAAGCAACUCAUAGAAUAUGCACAAAUCAUAAUAGAUGAACUGAAAAAUAGCAUUAUUAAAUUAAAACCAAAGCAUGAUAAUCAUUGUUACACUUAAAGAUCCAGUAUAGGCAUAAUAAGUUGAAUUAGUUCAUAACUAAUGAAAUAAACACUGAAUAGAUUAAAGAAAUCAACACCCCAAUUAUAAAACUGAAAUUAAAGAACAAGAAUACUAAUAGAACCACCCUUCUCUUCACUCCAAUCUGUAAUCUUCGUGUUCUUUGCUUAUUGCCUCUGUUACUCCAAAAUCUUCACAAAUUAGGGCUUGAAAGUUGUUAAGGAUUGAUUGAUUGUUGAAUUAUAAAUCAAAGUUAGUAAUUUCUCUGCUUUUGUAUCUAAAAACGUCCUCUUUCCGAUCCCAAUCGCGUCCAAAGUCCACAAAGUCACGCCACCACAGUAGUGAAAUUGCAUCAGAACUCUUCUUUCUUAGCCGCGUACCCCAGCCCCAGCGGGCAUUUUGUGCUUGGGAAAUCCCACCCCGGCGGGAUAUUAAGCUUCUAGAGAAUGUACACCCUCGCCGUCUACUCUUCAUACCUACUAAUUUUUGCUACUUUGCUGCACUUUCUUGCCAUAUUGCCACCAUCCUGGCCUUAGCCAACACGUACUAACCCUGCACACAAACACAUACAAAACACAUAAAACCACACUAAUAUAAAUAGAUUAGCAACCAUUUAAGGUCGAAUAGGCAUCCGAUUCGUAGGUAUGAAACCCACUCAUCAAAUUCCCCCAAACUUAAACCAUUCUUGUCCUCGAGCACAACAGAAUGCAAUGCAAUGCAACUAACUACAUGCCUACGAAUCCCGCUUUCAGACAGAAUAAAGUCUAUUCAAAUUGCCUCAGAGAAACCACAAUAGACAUGUGAUGAAUGAGUUUUAUACCUACGAAUCGACUUUUAAUUUGGACUUAAAUGGUGUUGAUCCUGUCUAUUUUUGUUCAUUUUUACUUAUUUUGUGUUUGUUUUAUGUGUCAGUUGCAUUCCAUAGCAUUCGUGGCAUACUGGUGGCGUUAUGGUGAGAAAGUGGCACAAAAUGAGCAAAAUCAGCACUGCAAAAACAUCCCCCCGCCGGGGUGGGAAUAUUUGCAAAGAAAACCCCCGCCGGGGCAGGGGUACGGGGAGAGAAAAAGUGUUUUGUUUUGAUUAGACUUCUGCAGCCGCGUGGUUGGAACAAUUUGGCAUGGACUUGGACUUUAUUGGGCGUCUAUUUAUCAGCUAUUACAGAGCCUGAAGGAGGCUAGUUGAGGGGAUUCCAGGAGAUUAGAUUUAGAGUAGAUUAGGACCAAAAACCCUAGUUUUUAGGAGAUUUGGAGAAUGAAGCAACUUAGAGACCAUUGAAGAUCAAGAGCAGGAGGUUGAUGAAGAUGGAGAUUUGUUGACAACAGAUUUAUUCUUCACUCUACUCUUAUUUUUGUCUUUUAAUGUUUAUUCAAUUGUGAAUUCUUGGCUUUAAUUCAUUAAUCAUGAACUAAAUCUUUUGUUUAAGAUUACAAUAGAACUUAUUGCAUAGUUUAUUUUUAGUAUGCUUCUCUAUUAAUUAUUGUGAUUAUUCUCGGAUUGUCUAUUAUGAUUUGUGAUGAAUUGCUUAAUUGCCUAGCUAACAAUUACCGUGAUAAUCUAUAUGAACUCGAGAGAUGAAUUAUAGAUUUAGUUUUGAUCAUAAUAGCAUGUGAUUGUGUUUUCUGCAUAACAUCGGAAUACAUAAUUUAUGUCUAGGAUAGAGAUAUACAUAUACAUCACACGUAAUCUGAAAAAGAACUUGUGCUUAAAAUCCUCUUUAAUUAUAAUUUACAUAGAGAUAUAGUGAAUUAGUUAACUAAGGUGUUCUUCUUAAUUCUAUCAUCUGUGGAUUUAAGUUGAUUUGAGUAUGAUGCAUUGAGAGAUGGUCAUAUUUACUUAUGUGUGUUCUUGAUUAACAAUUUGAAUAGUGAGCUUAAUUGAUAAGAAGUGUAUUAAUUUAAAUGAAGUAAUAAGUGAAGUUGUGAUCUUAAAUCUCCAUAAUUUGAUUUUUAAUUAGUGGUAAUUAGAGUUAGUUUAAUUAAAUAAUUUACUUUAUAACAUUAAAUUGAUUGUUUAAAUAAAAUUAGUUUGGUUAAGAGUUAGUAUUUGGUAAUUUGUAUUAAUAAUUUCUUGUAGGAACGAUACUCUACUUUCACUUUAUUACUUGUUGACCACGUAUACUUGCGUGUUGUGAGUAACUAGAUUUUACCCAACAACAUGAUAGUACAUCUUUCCAAGACAAAUCAAUAACCUCACGUCAAUCACCAGAUCUUUCCCUGUUAUGACUGAUAUAGUGCGUGUCCAUGCUAGCUGAUAGAAACUUAAACAAAACACAUAAUACACCUCUUUAAAGGAGUCAAACAACUUAAAGUCAAGAAAUCCAUAAACAAGCAAGAUCUGGCUAAAACAAAAUAGUUACCAAAUUUAAAAGUAAAAAUGGGACACUUUUGCUUUCUUAUUCACAUACGAGGGCUUUUCGCUCUUUUUCUAGUUUUUCACUAUUUAUUAUACUCAUGACUGUGCAAUGUCUAGUCCUUUUAGGCUUUUCAGUGCUACCCAUUAGCGAGCUUUCGACCAACGACUCCCAAACCAGAUGGCUUUAGGGCGCUGGGUGUAGAGACAUCCCCUUUGGCAUACUUACUCAAGUAACAAAGACCACAAAACUAGACUAGCCACGAUGUUUAUUCAUAUUUUCUUUCUUUUCAUUCCUUUUUUUAGAUAUAUCCCAAAUCUUCCCCCAAACUUAGGUUUCUGUCUAAACUUAACCAUCACCACUUAUUCAUGACUUUCUUUCAUUCAAACUAAUAUUAUCCUUAAGAAAUCAAUUAUGUGUACAUUUAAACCCAAUCAGUCAACAUAGUCAUUAUUAUGGCGCUAUCCUGAUUAUACUAGUUUCAAACAGACAAAGAUUUAAGUUAUGAUAAGAAAACUACAUCAAAGCCUUGACAGUAAAUACUAUUCUUGUCUACGCAAUUCCAAUCUCAUCAUUGGCCCAAACAAACUUCAACCAUCUAAAAGCUGAAAUCAUGCAAAUAUGAACUAAAUGCAACACAUAAAUAGUAAACUAACUAAUAUUUUUGAGAUUUUUGAUUUUUCUGUUUUUUUAUAUAUAACUCAACAAAAACAAAAAAUAUUAUUUACACAACUAAACUACUAAACUACAAAAACAUAACUACACUAUACUAAUGAUGCAACUAAAGUGUAAUGCAAACAUGAACUAACAAAAACUAACAAAUGCUAUUAACACAUGCAAAAUAACAUAUUAAACAUAAACAGAACUAAACAUUAAACCAAUAUUAAAACUCCCCCAAACUUAACAUAAACAAUGUCUUCAUUGUUAAAAUACAACGAUAAGGCAUAAGAGGACUUCCCUGUAGCAGCUAAGCAGGAGGUGGCACCUCCUCAACAUCGUCUAAAUCUGAUGGUGGAUGGGCUGGUAGUGGUUGUGGAACUGGGAGUUGGAACUAGUCAGCAAUGUUGGGAUUCAUUCUAGCAAACGCCUCUGCCAAAGAAGCAUUGAAAGCAUUUUCUGUGGCAAAGGCGUGGUCUUGCCGCACUGCUAUUCUCUUCAACUUCCUAUCCUCCUGUCUGUCCCUAUCAUCAAUAUGUCUCUACAUGCUUCGAAACUGAGUGCUGAACAUAUAUUUUGUAGACUGAUGACCCCUUGCAGCCUCCUCAGUACCCUCAUAUAUUUCGUCAGCUUUAAAUUCAUCAUCCUCGGAGCUAUCUUCAGCGUCCUCCUCCUCAGGAGCAUCAGGAAAUAUAAAUCCUAGCCCUCUAGGAUGUGACAUUCCUCCAGGACAAACUGAGUAUCGAGCAAUAAGACGUGAGUCUAGCAACUAGAGUGGCUACUGUAUAGGUUCAUCCGCUGACCAUCGAACUCUUGACUGUCGCACAAUCCACAUAUAAGGGAGGGGGUGUGGCAACCCCCCAGAGAAUGGCCCGUGCAAGCAGCGUUUGAUAGAAGAGAAACUGAUAAUGGCACCAACGUCAAUAUCAAAGUCUUUCACAAUUGCAUACAAUAGUAACACCUUUUCUUUAGUCACCUCACUCGUGUGCGCGGAUGGAAACAGUUUUGCGCAAAGAAAGGCAUACCAAAUCUUUCCAUACCAACUUAAAUCCUUACUCAUGAAAAGAGUCCCACCUUUCUUUCCUUUCACCCAUGUUGUGCCCGGCUUUGAUAUCUUAGUUAGUAUUUAAUCAUAAUUGGGGUUGCUAUCUCGAAGUUGAGCAUAUUGGCAGACGGUUGGGGAAACCACAUUGUAAAAUUCAUUAAUCGCCUCGGGACCAAAUGGGAUCUGUUUACCGCGGACAAAUGCAAUGAAUGGUGCUUUGUCGUCUACAUUUGUGUAGAACUCCUUCACAACUGUCACUACCGCAGGAUCCGAUUGAUCUGUGAAUGUGUCCCAACCUUGUUCAUUAAUUUGGCAUCUCAUCUUCCCAUCAAAAGAAUCAGGCCAUAACCCUCUCUCUGGUGUCAAUGCCUUCGGUGUAAAAUAUGUUAAGUUUGUAAGAUUCAUGAACACAAUCAAAUUUCAUCAAAGUAAAGCGGAAGUGUAAAGAUAGAUUUUAAAAUUUUUACAAACCAUAUACCCUGAUCAUCCUUUAUGCACAAUUAUUAAUUAAACGAAAAGAUGAAGAAUAAGAAGUAUACCCUUCAAGAUUCGAGCUUCCUCAUGUACUAGUUCACCUCCAAAUCCUUUUCGCGUUCAACUUGAAUCCAUCGGGUUAGAUUCUUUCCUUUGAUCAACAUUAGCCACCUCUAGAGGUGAUCCACCAAGGAAGAAGAAAGAUUCAAGAAGAUGGGUGUUUGGCAAAACCCUAGUUUUUCUAUCUCUCAUAGAAAAUGUGUACUCUCCAACAAUUGGAAUCACGUCACAUGAUAUCUGAUAUAAGACUCCUCUUAUAAAGAUAUCAGUUAACUCUUCUAAUCUAAUUAGAAAUAGGGUUAUAUUUAAUUAAUUAAAUCCUUUUAAUUAAUUAAGCUCCCUAAUUGUAUUAAGGAUAAUUAAUUAAACUCUUUUAAUUAAUUUGCCUCAUAAUCAUAUUAGGAAUAAAUGAGAGUAUAUUAAUUAAUUUCCAAACUCCUUUAGGAAUUAACUAAUAAUAAUAGUAAUAAUAAUAAUAAGACUCCUCUUAUUAAUUUAUAUUUAAUAUUUCCAAAAUAUUAAANNNNNNNNNNNNNNNNNNNNNNNNNNNNNNNNNNNNNNNNNNNNNNNNNNNNNNNNNNNNNNNNNNNNNNNNNNNNNNNNNNNNNNNNNNNNNNNNNNNNUCACGGAGGCACAAUAGUUAUCUAGAAGGGGAGGGGAGGGGGGGGGGGUUUAAUAAAUAUUUAAAAUUCUUCCUUAAAUACUUUGUUAGUUUUGUUAAUGAUUCAAACUCAGCGGAAUUAAGAUUUGUUUGAACUUCCUCUUAAAUAUGGUGAGUUAAUGAGAGUGAGGUAGUAAUAACAGUUAUAGCAGUUAUGGCAAGAAUGUAAUAGACACAACAGUUUUAAGUGGUUCAGAGCACUUAAAGCUCCUAAUCCACUCUUCUACUCCUUGAGUAAGAAAUCCACUAAGGAUAUCUUUUACACUUUCUGAAUCCCACAGAUUCAUUCUAGAUCAGAAGUCUAGGCACUUCUUAGUUCACUUUUGGAACUCUUCAAGUCCAGCAUACUUGGUUCUUUACAGUUCACUUAGAACUCUUCAAGUCCUUCUGACUUGGAACUUCUUACUUCACAUGGUUGGUAGUUGAUGAGUUCUUGAUUGGUGCUACUCAGUUGCCAUUAUGCUCUUGUUCUAAAGAACUGAGUAGCUGAGCAAGCUUUCUCCUUUUUCAGAUCGUAGAGUUAAGCGUUGAGUGUCCUUCAGCGUUUUGUUCAAUGCUUGCUUGCUUUUCAUCUACAGAAUGUUUUGCAUAUAUGUGAUCCUUGAAAAAUAUCAGUAGAAGAUAUCCGUUGAAGAAUUAAAUGCGUUUGACAUUUCUGAACUUUGAUGAAGACUUUUCUGCACAUCUUCUGAUUUGUAUUCUGGCCCACUAACACAGCAGACUGCCAUCUCACCUAACACCUAAAAAGGUGUUUUCCUCUGACCCAUGGUACUUUCCUUAGCUUCUUCAAUACGUUUCUUUGUUGUAUACUAAGGAUAUCUUUUAUGUCAUUGGGACUGGUGAGUACUUCAACAUUUAUAACCUAUUCCACAUUUGUUGGGAUUUAUCUUUAAACAAAUGGGCAAUGCUCGAUGCUUCUGACAUAGACAUAUGAUGCUCUACGAUUCUGAUCGUGGUGUCUUGCCACUUUGACGUUUGAGCUAAUACUUAGCAAACAAGAGCACUACGAUUUCUCUUAAGCACUAGGCACACUACGAUCUUCACUUGCUUGUCUUGUAGAUUCUCUGUUUUUGAGAGCACACUACGAUCUCUGAGUUGGCUCGCCAAACGUUUGGACCAUUCUACGAUUUUCAGAGAGGCCCUUCAAGGCAGACACACUACAAUCCUCGAUACUCUACGAUUCUGCCUUGGCUUCUGUAAAUUCUCGAUCAGCUCAAUAGAUUACGAUUUUGUUGAAGCCUAUCUAUUACAUCUCAAGACAUAGAUCAACCUAACAUCUUUGAUCUCCUCAUAAAUACAUUCUUUUACAGAAUGAUAAACAUUAAAAGCUUAGAUCAACUUAACAGAUUUGAUCUAUCACUAAGUCCUUGUACAUAUAUUCCUUGAAGGACUAUACAUAAAAUCAUGGACAUUUACUUUAAACAUCAAAUCAAAAUAUGCAAUUUCCCAACAAUCUCCCCCUAUUUGAUGUUGAUAUAACCCAGGAGAUUUGUGCCAUGAUUAUCAAUUUCUAGAUGCAAAUGCUAGAAAGUAAAUAUGACUUAAUAUUUCAGUGAGCAACUAAAAUUUUUAGAGAAUAAGCAUGAAUUUAUUGAUGUUUGAAGAUAGAUAUUACAUUUAAGUUCAGUUACAUUAAUAGGAAUUAAAUUUUAACUUAUCUCUGUUUCUUUGGCCUUUUGCCUCGUGGAGGAUUGGCAUACUUCUCAGCUCUUCUUUUCCUGCUCGCUUCGUCUCUCCUUGCUAUAUCUUCCAGCUCACUUUGACUUAGUCUUUCAUUGUGAUCAUGCCUAUUCAUGAAUGCAGGAUCUCCAAUUGGCAUUCUUAGGCCUGUGGUGGUCACUUCUUGUGAGCUGGGAGUAGGCCCUUGACUCGUUAAUGGUUGAGCCAUGAUAAUUGGCUGCUGAUCAGAUCGUUGAGUUUGAUGGCCAGAUCGUGGAGUCUGAUGGUGAGACUGCCUUGAAGGAGGACUCCUUGAUGAUUGAGCUAAGAAUAUGCCUCUGCCUCUGCCUCCGCCCUUACCUUGAUCUCCUUUCCCUUUAUUCUCCCCCUUUAUGUCAGCAUCAAGGGUUCGAAUGUCUUCAGAUAGGCGAGUCAUGCCUUGAACAAGCUCGUUGAGCUGACUUUGGGAUUGAGCAAUGUCUUCACGGUUCUCUUGAAUGAGAGUAUCAGAUUGAGAUUCCCUUUGUUGGAGGAUGGCCAGAAUAUUGUCGGUCUGAUUCAUUUGGCCCAUGGAGAAUUCUUGAAAUUCUUUCAAUGCCGUUUGGAGAUUUGUGAUGCUGUUCAUCAUAAGGUUGUUCUGAGAUUCCUGAGUCUUGUGUAAGAUCAAAACAACAUCCCUAUGUCUCUUAGCAGCCUGAAAGUGGAUCUGAUCCCGGUCAUUUAUGCUCUGAAGCAUCUCUUUUAUGAUUUCCCUAAGUCACUUUGUGAGCUCGGAACUUAGGGUGCCUGGGAGAGCAUUGCAGCAUUGAUCAUAUUAGUCAGUCUCAUUUGAACGAGUUCAGUGUGAUCUUCAAGGCUGUCUUCUAUGUCCUUGGUCACUUUCUUGGUCGCUGCUGACAACUCAGUUUUGGUGGGCAGAUCUGAAAUGAGUUCAAUGAGUUGCGGACUAUUUGGAGGAGGGGCCCUUGUGUAUUGAUCUUUCAGGGUGUAGAGAGCAAGAUCAAGGUUGAAAUAUUCAUUUGAGGACGAGGAAGGAAUAUCUGAUGGAGGGGCUGGUGUUUGGGCUUCAUGAAGAGGUGACUCUACAAUUUGAACGUGUGACUCUAUGAUUGAGCUCGAGUCAGUAAUCGUAGAGAUGAUAGGAGAUUGGAUCAAAAUAAAAUUGGGCAAAUUUGGUUCAUCAAUUACAAAAUGUUGGGAUUCUGUAACUGGGAAUUGAUUAAGUGGAUGUAGGAUCACUUCCAACCAUCUUGGCAGUUCAUAAAGUUGGUUGAAGAAUAAUGGUGGACAUUGAUUACUUCUGAAAGAGAUUGGGAUAGAUUGUACCUCAUGCUCAUUCUUUGAAGAAGAGCUAUUUGUGAUCAGCUUUCUGGAAAAGGUAAGGUUGCCUGGAAAUCCAUGAGCUAGCACUAAGAUUGCUGGAUAUGCUUUGAAGCUCCAGAACAUGUGAUCCCAGGAGUUGAGAAUUUGAGCUCUAUGGAAGGGCAUCAUGGGUAGAUAGGAGAACAACUGAUUGUAGUUGGCUCUCCUAUACCCAUCACAGCCCACACCUAUAAUUUCUAUCUCAUCAUCUUCUUCUUCUUCACUAUCUUCUUUUGAGGAUUCCACUAUAUCAAUUACCUCUUUUUGACUUUCUUGCUCUGGGGCUCUCUCAUUCUCUUCAGGAGCAGCUUCUUCUGAUAUAGGGAUAUGACGAGGCUCUCCCUCAACAUGAUCAUCCAUUUGCAUCUCGAAUGGCUCCCCCUUAGUUGGAGCUUUGUCCUCUUGUCUUGCUUCGGAUAGCCCCUUUUCAGUAGCUAUCUUUUUGUCUUCUUCUUUAAGUACUUCUUUAUUGACAAGGAUGUACUUUUUGACCAAUUUCCUUCUUGGUUUCCUGGGCUGAGCCACAGCCUUAGGACUUUCUCCAGCUUCAGCUCUGAUUGGUCGAUCAAUUUGAGAAUCUGUUGUAGUAACUUCUUUGGGAGAGUUGUCCUGGUCUUUACGAUCGGUAGAGACUCUAUGAUUGAAGAGACAGAGGGCCUCUUGGAUUUGUGACUGUGUUUACUCUUCUUCAACAGCUGAGAGAUGGUAGCUCUGUCUUCAUCUGCCUCAGCUUGUUGUUCUUUUCUUCUCAAGAUCCUCAGAGUUUCAAUGUCAGAACAUUCUUGAGGUACAUCAGUGGUUGACCCCUGGGGUUCUUCUGUCAUUUGAGCCUUCAGCUUUCUUUUGCCCUUGCUUUUUCUGAUUAAAGCAAUGGGUUCUUCUUUGUUGAUUUCUUCCUCUUCUUCUUCAGUCUCCUUGACAACAGACAUGUUUCCUGGAAUCCCUGAUUCCUUUGCAUCACCAGUCCUUCCACUGGACUCAGACAUCAUUCUUACAUUCUUUGCUGGAUUCCUUUUCCAGUUCUCGAACAGCUGCUGAGUCAUUCUUCUGUUUGGAUUUAUGGAUUCACCUUCAUCAUCCCCAAUUUUAUCUCCCAACGUAGACUAUAGGAUGAUGCUAAUAAAUUGCCCGUAAAGCAUCUUUCCAAAGCUCUUUAAUUUCUUCGAGCUUAGUAUCCAUUUCCCAAUACAGUCAAGUAGUAGAGCUCCAUAGUUGAGUUGAAUUCCACAACUUAUGUCUGUCAUGAGCUUGAGCUGUACUUCGUUUACAGAGUCAUGGCCGGAGCUUUUGCAGCAUAUGCAUUUCCCAACAAUGUCUGCCAAGAAUUCAUACCUCUGAGGGAACUCUUUCUUCUUGUAUCCUUUGACAUUCUUGUGGUGCAUUCUCUUAAGUCCUUCAUGGAAAUCGAUGCCCUUUAUGGACGAAAACCCUUUUGAUUUGAAACCUAGGGCUAGAUUUAUGUCCUCAGCCUUGAGCUUGAUUUCCACGUCCCUGACCCUCGUAGUGAUGACGUCAUUCUCGAACGCACCAUUUCUGUAGAAUUCCUUUAUCAGCUUAGGGUAGGUAGAUCCACGUGCUUGUACCCAGAGCCUCUUCAAGACCAGCUUUCUUUAUCAGAGAUAGAGUUUUGAGAAAUUUAGGAUCAGCUGUCUUGAACUCAUCGAAACAGAGUCUGUAACCAGAGAUGACAUUUGAGGCUGCCAUUGAUUUCUUUGCACUGAAUAUGGUUGUUUGAGUUUUUUGGAAAGUUAGGGUUUCAACUUGUAGAGAGAGAGAGAUGAGUUUUGAACUUCUAAUUUCAAAAAGGUGUUUUCAAACUGUACUUGUAACUUCCCUCUCUCUGUUUGCUUAGUGGGGCAUGUGUCAAAUUCGGUUUGGCCCUACGAAUUUGACUGAUGAGGAAUGUACUAAUUUGCCCUUAGCUCCUUUUGAGCUAAUGUGUCCUUUGGGAGGACUACGAUCGUUGAGGUAGUCCUUAUGAUCGUCAAGUAUGCAAUGCGAUUGUCAAGUCUGUUCUGCAAUCAUCGAGUCUGCUCUGCAUUCUUCGAGUCUAUACUGCGAUCGUUGAGUCUGCCUGUGUCCUUGUGAUGAACUUUUGACUUAGCAUUCUUCUUGGUUUAAAGUAACUCAGGAAGUGUGACGCCCCCAAAAUAGGUAUACAUCGCCCAUUCUGAGUCGCCAAAUACAUGGUACAGAACUUAAAUACAAACUUAAAUAUACAACAAGAGCUGUGAGUUUUAAUACAAAUAUUGUCUUCUAGACAAUAUUCAAACUCAAAAUAAGUCCUCAAUACAUUUAUUAUCACACUAUUUCACAGAAUAGUGAGGACUACUAAUGCAAACAUCUGGACCGUCAAUCCAUUCCCCGACUAGUCCCAGCUAUAUUCUCAUUUCCGGAAGAGAACAUUGAAACAAAGGGUGAGCUCAACUAGCCCAGUAAGAAAUAUUAUGACUAAGAUAAUGCAGAAUAAAUUAUCCUUAGCCUUUAACAGUAUAUCAACUGAUAGAAUAUAAUAGACAACAAGUUUUAGAUCAACAACUGCAGCGGAAUAAGCAAUCCAUUAGAAGAGUCAAGUAGAGCAUAAAAUCUAUUAUCUUCUAUGAUUUAAAAGAUUUAUCAUUAAUUUUAUCGCUGAGACUCAGCUUAAUAAAUAAUCCACAUCAUCGAAUCAUCCCUGCACUACGGGCCAAGGAUAUUCUUUAGUAUCACGACCACGAAUUAUCCAUGCACUACGGGCCAAAGAUAAUCGUGUUUUCAUCAACGGUCAUGAUCAUGCCAUAAAACAAUUCAUCUUUGCACCCUUGGCCGAAGAGAAUCCGUGGCCAUAAUCAUACCAAAAACUGUCCAUCAAUGCACUACGGGCCAAUGAGGACUUUUAUCACAUCAUUUGUAACAUUACGGUCAUGAUUAUACCCUGGUCAUAAUCAUAUCAAGUCCAUCUAUACACUACGGGCCAAAGAUGACUUUCAUAAUAAUAUAAACAUGAGGAUGAUGACAAUGACAUAAUAAUUCAAUAAAACAAGUUCAAGGAUAAAUUUUAAAGAUUUAUAAUUUAAUUUAUCCAGGAUUCAAUAACGUUCAAAUUGUCAACAUGAUACUGCUUUGUGGAGUAAAAUUCAAGAAUAAUAUUGUACCAAAAAUGAUUUGAACCGAAAACGAAUCAAUUUUUAUCAUGAGUAGUACCCCGGGUGAAUAGUACUCGAGUGAAUAGUACCCCGUGAAUAGUACUCCGGCAUGAAAAAAGUUAAAACUUAUCAAGAAUGCUCAGAAUAAUAUUUUUAUGAAAAGAUACUGGAUGAAGCGCAAAUAUCAAGGAUAUUCUACUAAUUUCAUGGAGUAUAGAAGCCAAAACUUUAACCAAUGAGUAUAGAAUUUGAAAUCUGAAACAAAAUAAUAUUACUUACAUACUACAGAGUAUGGAAGAAAAUAUUAUUUCAAGUGAAUAUUGAACAAAAAUAACAUCCUUUACGAAUAUUAAACGAAAAAUAAUAUUCAUUUUGAAUAUUGAACGAAUAUAAUAUUUCUUCCGAAUAUUGAACGAAAUAAAAUUUCUUAUGAAGAUUGAACGGAAAUAAUAUUCAUACGAAUACGAAAAAUAAUAUCUCUUCAGAAUGUGAAAUAAUUAAUACCCCUUACGAGUAUUGAAAGAAAAUAAUUCUCUUCAUGAAUACGAAAGAAAUAAUAUCCCUUACGAGUAUUGAAAGAAAAUAAUUCUCUUCAUGAAUACGAAAGAAAUAAUACCCCUUACGACUGUUGAACGAAAAUAAUAUUCCUGCGAAUAUUGAACGAAGAUGAUAUUUCUUACGAAUGUUGAACGAAUAUAAUAUUCAUACGAAUACGAAAAAUAACAUCUCUUCAGAAUAUGAAAUAAAUAAUACCCCUUACCUCAAAAAGAAGAGUAUUCCAACUGGUAUAGCGGAUAUAUUCUUGAAGAAAACUUUCACUAUUUUCUACACUCAAAGCUUUUUUAAACUUGAAAGAAAUACGCUCAAUAUUAUAGAAGAAGAAUUCUCUGAUUCUGGUGUGUUUUUCAAUUCUAAAUAAGCAUCCUAUUUAUAGGAGAAUGGAAAGGAUACUAUUUGAAAUUUCUCACGGACUGCACAGUUUUAUAACUCACAGACUGAAUUCAUAUGCCAGAUUUUCAAUAAUAUUCACUAAAACCAAAUUCUAUAACACAUGCUAUAUUGGAAAAUCCCACCACGCGUGAAUCAUUUUUCAAUUUCCUCCCCACAAAAGUCCUCCACACGUGCCCCACCUGUUCCCUUCAUCCACAUAUCACCAUCACAGGUGGAUCCCAUAUAAUAUAUAUACAGAAUAAUCUUCUACCGAUUAUUUUGAAAAAUGGGUAAAUGGGGGUCCAUAAAAUAAGCAAAAUUUACACAAAUACUUCAUAAAAAUCCUCUCAAUAUUUUUAACAACAUUUAUCAUCAUUAUUAUAAUUCACAAUAUUUAACAACUAGGUCGUUCCCAGGAAAGAGGGGGCUUUCCAUUAAGGAUUUUUUCCUAUUGGCGCGCAAUUAGGUGACCAAACCUCUCCAUGACAGAACUUCUAGACAUCGUCAAUAUUGCAAAUUAUAUGAAUAAUUUGUCAUCUCAAUUAUUGGUUUAAUAAUAUAUAAAAUAUUGACAAUAAUUGAAUCAAAUAACGUGAGAUACUAUGCAGCAAUUAUUGUAACAAUAAUUGAACAAAACUGAGUGACCUCUCACGUAAGCAUCAAUAAUCAAUACCGCAUGCUACUAUGCAACCACACGUAUUACUGUACUUUUAUCACCGGGUGAUUCAACAGUUAACGGUAAAACUUCCGCCCUUAUUUUCAUAAAAAUAUAUUUUUAUCAUUUUCUCAUUUCGAUAGUAAUUCCGUUGUGGGGUCCACCAAUGAUUGUACCGUCGUACGGAUAUUCCCCGACACAAAGUAUAUUUUAUAACCACUUGCUUACUUUUCAAAAUUUAUAAAUAUUACCCAAAACUAUAACAUUAUCUCAAAUCCACACCAUAAUAUAAAAAAAAUAUUUCGACAAAAUUAAAUCUUUAUUCAUAAAUUUGGGGUCUCACAAUCUCCCCUCCUUAUGAAAUUUCGCCCUCAAAAUUUAUGUACGUACCUGGUAUGCCGAAUAGAUGAGGACACUUCGUCAGAUUCUAACUCUUGAGGUAUAACCUUUGAGCAUAGAAUAUAUUCCUUCUCAUCCAAAAUUUUAACAAGUACCUCUUCAUACGUUUAAUCUUCCGCUAUCUCGUCCGGUUCAAAAUCAAUAAUGUGGUUCGGGUCGAUCACAUAUUUACGUAACAUCGAUACGUGAAAAACGUUAUGAAUACGCGACAUACUUGGCGUUAAGGCGAGUCUAUAGGCCAUAGUUCCUACUCGAUCGAGGAUUUCAAAUGGGCCAAUUAAAUCGAGGGUUGAGAUUUCCUCUCUUCAUCGACUCUUGCUUCUAGAAUAACGCCCUCUUGAACCUUCUUUUUCGUGUUCAUCAACUCCGAAUUUGUAGCUUUAGCGGCUUUAACAUUAUCGAUUAACGUCGGUUCUAAUCGUAUAUUCCCUAUCUUUACGUAGGUUCGUAUAUUCGCACUCGCAUACGAUCUUCUACUCAACGCGUCAACUACCACGUUCGCUUUUCUAGGAUGGUAUUGAAUGGUAUGGUCGUAAUCUUCAACAGCUCGAGCCAACGUCUUCAGCGCAUAAUACGUUCGUUUUGGGUGAAGAAAUACUUGAGGUUUAAGAAAUGGGUUUUGUACUGGGUUCAAUACAAAAUUCGAUUUCACGCUCUGGGGUAGGCUAAGAAGUCUUCAGGGAAUUCGUCAGAAAAUUUAUUAACAAUAGAAAUAUCAUUCAAAACUAUGACUCUCAUCCCAAACUUGGAUAGCACGUCAACUUGCCAACGUUAUUCACGGCGUCUCAUUAUGGAAAGUCUGGCUUCGGUGCAUUCCACACAAGGAAGUCUCACCAGCGAAAGGUUCGGGGCUCUUUACUUAUGGCUUGAUAUAACAGUGAUUGACUUUAGUGGUUUGGUUACUUGAAUUCGUAUAACAGGUUGGUUAGGAAUAUGAAAGCUAAUAAUAACCUUAUGAAAAUAAUCAAUUUUAGCAUGAAGAAUAGUUAACCAGUCGAUUCCUAACAAAGAGAUAAGAUCGACAGGUAACGUGGAAGUGUCGAUUUGAAUCAAGCAAGAUUUAUAAACAUUGGAUGUAACGAAGGUUUCUCCCAACGGAGUUUCAACAGAUAAGUCAAAGUAUAAUUUCUCCGGAGUCAAAUUUAAACAUUGAACGCAAGUAGGAGAAAUAAAAGAAUGGGUAGAACCGGUAUCGAAUAAGGUAUAGAUUUCACAAGAGUUUAUGAUUAACUUAUCCGUGACAACUUCGUUCGAGUUCCUCGACAAACGCUCUCACUUAAACUACUGGCUUUGACUUGUUUGAGAAAUCCUUUGGUGUCACCAUCCCAGCUGGACUUGACUUCACCAUACGACAAAAUCGAGCUAGGUGACCUUCUCUUCCGCAAUUAAAACACGCUUUGGGUUGCUGCGUACAGUUUGGACGGAUGUGUCCCUCCUGUCCGCAUUUGAAACAUAUGACCGGUGGUCGUUCUUCUUCCUUGGAAACAGGUGCUGGUGUUGCUGUCUUUCCAUAAUUAUUGAACCUUCUCUUAUUGAAAUUUCCACUUCUAUUAUCUUGGCCAUGAUUACCACCGAAGUGGUUACCAUUCUUGGCAUGAUAAUUUCCCCCACGAUGGUUAUCAUUGUUCCGAUGGCCGUUGCCACCGGUAUGAUUUUUAUCGUGUUGUUGGUCGUUACCUUUUGGUUGAGCUGACUCAUUAUCGCGUUCCACUAAUUGAGCCCUAUUCACAAUAUCUGAAUAUAUACAAAGUUUGUGAGAAAUGAGGUAUUGACGUAUUUCGGGUUUCAAACCUCUUAGAAACAUUCGCGUCAUUCGCUCCUCAUUAUUAACCAAAUGGGAUGCAAACCGGGAUAACUCGGCAAACUUAGCCUCGUACUGCGAUAUAGUCAUAUUGUUUUGCUCCAGCUUGAUGAAUUCCACCUCCUUCAUGUGACGAAUACUUUCGGGAAAGUACUUGUCGUUGAACAAUUCUUGAAACUUCUCCCAAGACAACUUGAGUGCGUCAGGCUGGGUACAUUUUACAGAUUCCCACCAAUGAUCUGCUUCUUCACGCAACAUAAAGGUGGCGAAUGGAACCUUUUUCUCCUCUGAGCAUUCCAAGACAUCAAAUAUCUUGGUGAUCUCUUUAUCCACGUCUCUGCCUUAAGUGGUUCUGGCUUUCCCAAAAACUCCGGUGGUCCCAGCUCCUUGAACUGCUUAGCGGUGACCAACCGUGGGUUGCCAUUGUUUUCACAUGCAUUAUGAACAGGAGUCUCUCUCGUUUGCAACAUGAAUUCUAAAAAGCUCCUAAACGUACCGUCGUUCAUCAUUUUUAUUUUGUUAACCGUGGGUUUUCGAUCCGCAGGCUAAUACCCCGAGCCCGAUACCAGAGCGGUUUACAAGAGGAUUAUUACAUUCUUGAUCACUACAAGAAAAAGGUUCAUCAGCGACCGCCUAUCAGCGACCACAGACGGUCGCAGAUUGCCAUUGUUUUCACAUGCAUUAUGAACAGGAGUCUCUCUCGUUUGCAACAUGAAUUCUAAAAAGCUCCUAAACGUACCGUCGUUCAUAAUUUGGUCGGUGUCGUUGUUUACAAGAGGAUUAUUGCAUUCUUGAUCACUACAAGAAAAAGGUUCAUCAGCGACCGCCUAUCAGCGACCGCAGACGGUCGCAGAUAGCCAUCAGCGACCGCACGCGGUCGCUGUAGUCGUCGCAUAAAAUCUAGUCGCUAGGAUGCACAUCAGCGACCACUAUUAGCGACCGCCUUAUCUGCGACCGAUAUGAGCGACCGAAAUGACAAAUUCGGUCACAAAGUUGAGUCAGCAUGGUCCAGGGACAAAGCUGACGUGGUCCACGUGGCAGCGACUGCUAUCAGCGACCGCAUGCGGUCGCUGAUAUAAAAAAAAAUGAAAACCAAAUUUUUGCUAUUUUGCAGAAUUCCCAAAAACAUGUACCUAUUUUAUACCUGCUUUAUCCCAACACACAUACACAACAAGAUAAACAGCAUACACAACAAUAUAAACAUCCAUCGUCCACCAACACAUACACCAAACUAGUAUAUAAACCUUUAAAAACCAAUAUGAUUUGAAUAAAUAUAAUAACAUUUCAAAACUUGUAUAAGUAACAUUCAGACAUCCAAAGAAUGAAUAUACAAGUACAAGCUUAUACUAUAACUACAAAACUGAUCUAAAGCAGGUACGUCAAGCAUCAUCGCCUCCUUGAUCACCCUGUAAUUAACAAAAUAAUAAAACAAGUUACAAAUAUAUACUAACUAUGUUAAUAUUGGUAUAUUACGACAAUAUAUACAACAAAUUGAUUUUAUACCUCGUCGCCAUCCCCAUGUUGUGAUGCUGCUGCUGCUGCUACUGCUUCAGCUAACUCCUCAGCACUUAGAGCCCCUAGAUGCCGGCCCAGUAUCUUCAGAAGAUCUCGAUCUCGACAUAUAGCUCUCACACAGUCAGCCAGAGUAUGAAAAGCUGGAUGGCUCGAUGACUAUGUAGACUGGGUAGAAGAGCAGCCUGAGCCACUGAAGGAUGGUGUCGUCGUUGUCCUUGACCUUUAAUGUAGUUCUUCUUCACAACAGAUGCCCUCUCCCACAACUCUUGAUCAAUAGGCGGACGUGGAGUGCUUUCAGGAUAACGCUCAUUCAAUAAACGCUUAUAAGUAUCCUGUCAUCAUGUUAACAAUUAAAUAGUUAAAAAUAAAUUAAUUCUGUAAGCAUUGAUAAACAAGAUCAAGUUGUUAAAAUUUAUUACCGCUAUCUGGAUAGCAUCAGGCAGACCAUCACGGGUGCCCACGUACACAUCCAGCCAAUGGAUAGGCUGACCUUGAGACUAAGACUCCUAUACAAAAAAUAGCACAAUAUUACUAAGUAAAAAUGUGAUAUAUUUUCUACAAUUCAUGACUGUAAACAUAUUAAAACUUGUAAAUACGUAUCCUGGCAGUGAUAUGCUGCAACUGUGAAAUACUACCGCCCUUGUAUGUCCCUUUAGCCUUUUCGCCAUCGGGUACACCCGAGGAUCUGUUGGUGGCGGCAGUCUUUCGUUUUUUCACCCAGCUCUCAGCUCUCCAUUGGGCACACAUCUCAGCCCAUAUGGACUGGGUGCACCACCAGGGGCUAUGCUCGUGCAUGUAAUCCUCUCCCUGGCCUGGAUGGUCGAUCUCGGCAUUGUGAAGGGCUUUUUGUCUUUCUUUGUUCAAAUUGUCUUUGGUGCGAACCGCGCACUUCUGCCAGAAUAAUGUUUGUAUCACUGAAGCCUGUGCGUCCUCCUAUCUAUACCGUUUCUGCAAAUAAAACAACAAUAAUAAUAUUACUAAACAAUUAUCCUUUGAAUAAUAUUAUCUGUCAUAAUUAAAAAAAACAUACCUGAAAUUCAGCCUAAACAACAUCCUUGUGGGCAAUAGGUGUGCUCGCCCACGUAAUCACAAGUGUAGGCCAAUUCUGUAAACAUAGCUGUGAUAUGCACUUGACGAUCUUAUUAUCUAAAAAAUCACUAUAAUAUACAACAUCAAUUAACAUAUAUUAAAGCAAUUUACAUCUAAGUUAUAACACUUAAGAACAUUUUUCAAACUUAUACUUAUAAUACUAAAAAAAAAUUCGCCAGAGUCUCCCCUACAAUAUAGACUAGCCACAUGCACGGCGGCAUGCAUAUAUGGACAUUUCUAGGCACCCAAGACACAAACCAAGAGAAAUAUACAAAUUUUCAAUACAAUAAGACCAAAACAAUAACGAUUGAAUGCAAAUUAAAGCAGUAAAAAAUUCAGACCCAUAUACAUUACCAAUAUAAUAUCAAUCAAAACAUUACCAAUAUACAAUUAUACAUGAAUUUUAGUUUUAACAAACAUACAUUAUAAAUGAAUUUUAUAAUUAACAUCAACGAUAAGUAGAUAUAUUAAAGCAAUUUACAUCUAAGUUCUAAUACUUAUGAACAUUUUUCAAACUUAUACUUAUAAUACUUAAAAAAAAUUCGCCAGAUUCUCCCCUACAAUAUAGACUAGCCACAUGCACGACAACAUGCAUAUAUGGACAUUUCUAGGCACCCAAGACUUGUCCAAGAGAAAUAUACAAAUUUUCAAUACAAUAAGACCAAAACAAUAACGAUUGAAUGCAAAUUAAAGCAGUAAAAAUUCAGACCCAUAUACAUUACCAAUAUAAUAUCAAUCAAAACAUUACCAAUAUACAAUUAUACAUGAAUUUUAGUUUUAACAAACAUACAUUAUAAAUGAAUUUUAUAAUUAACAUCAAUUAGCAUAUUAACAUCAAUUUAAAUCAACGAUAAGUAGAUAUAUUAAAGCAAUUUACAUCUAAGUUCUAUAUAUCAUGUAUAAAUGGAAUCUUAAAUGCUUAUAUAUAAAUGAUAUAUGCGGGACGUACGUGCUAUUCGGAGGAGGGCGGAUCUGAAUAAGAAUCAGAUCAUCCGGAUUAGUAGGGGCCUUGGGCACAUGAUUAGGCCCCCUACCCAAGCCACGCUUUUUUUGCGCUGCUUUAGAAGCUAUCUGUAUAUUACAAAUUUCAGGAUGUUAUUAUGAGUCAAUAUUUGAUUACAUGUAUAUAUGACAAUAAACAUGACAAUGAUAUAAACAUGUAUAUAUAUGAAUAUAAAAUGACAAUAAACAAAAGUUGCAUUUAAAUAGUUUAGUACAUAAACAUGACAAUGAUAUAAACAUGUAUAUAUAUGAAUAUAAAAUGACAAUAAACAAAAGUUGCAUUUAAAUAGUUUAGUACAUAAACAUGACACUGAUAUAAACAUGUAUAUAUCACUAAAGUAAGCAAGAAACAAGCAUCAUUACUUCUUAACAAGCACUAGCUAAAAAACAUAUAUAUACAGGAGAAGGAGGAGGUUAAACCAUGCACACUUUGGCUAAAUUUGUCAAAUCAGGUUGGCCCCAACCCAACCCAAAUGAGCCAAAUCUCAUGUAAGAUUUCUUUUCAUUGUCGGUAUAAAUCAAAUGUUCAGAAGCAAGGCUUUCUAUCAUCACUACCUUUCCCUACCAUCUAUCUAAUAACAUAGAAAUAUAUCAAUACUUACCACUCAACUAAUUUAUUUCCCUAAGUAGAUCUAACAUAGAAAAACAUAAUGAACCAUUUUUGUCAGUCAGUACGCACGCGGAUACAAUACUUCACCAGUUUACAUUAUCAAAAUAUAUCUCAUCAAAUAUGCCCCAAAAAAUCCAACACUGCACUAAUUAAAUUAAUGAACAGGCAAGUGCUUGUUAAUCCAACACUGAACUAAUUAAAUCCAACACUGCACUAAUUAAAUCCAAUAUUGCACUAAUUAAAUCCAAUUCAAUAUGUAAUCUAAUCUAACAUAAGAUAUAAAUAAUAGAAAUGUAAUAUUGCGAGAAAGAAAUAAAAAAUGAUACCAGUGCUUAGUGGUGGCGUCGGCUGGCCGGUGACGGCGGUGUUCCGGUGGCGAUUGCUACCCCUUUCUCCCUCUUCUACUUCUUCUCUCUCCCCCUUUCUCCCUCUUCUCUAUUCUGAGCUCUCCCCCUCUUUUUUUUUCUUUGCCUGUUGUGUUGAGCGAAUGAGUGAAACUGAUAACAUUAAGUUUGAUCAGCGACCGGUAUCAGCGACCACAUGCGGUCGCUAAGUUUUAAUGACAUGGACUUAUCAGCGACCGCAUGCGGUCGCUGUUUUUACGUAGUCGUAAAAAACCUUGGCGCCAACAUUUCCUGCCAAAUUUUGGGAGGCAAAUUAAUCGUAGCGACCGAUCAGCGACCGCAUUCGGUCGCUAAUAGUGCAUAGCGACUGGAUUAAUUUACAGUCGCAGAUAUCGGUCGCUAUUACUACUAUCUGCGACUGUAUUUGCGGUCGCUAAUACUGUUGGUCGCUGAUAGGAUUUUUUCUUGUAGUGGAUGCACAUUAUCCUGGUUAUUAAUCUGUGGUGACUCAAUGGUCUCCUGUGCUCCAUUGCUAUUCUCAACAUUCUCAGAUGUCAUUUUCAAAUACUGCCAAAAAACAAGGGUUAAUUGACAUGCCAUAUAUUAUCCCUAUAUUCUGACUGACCAAUUAAAUAACAAUUAAACUUAGGUUGGUCAUACUAGCGAAGGACUUCCCCGUCUCUCCCCUCCUAGUUCUUGUCUCACAUCUUAGCCAGGGAUCAUAUCCCUAAGCUUUGAUACCAACUGUGACGCCCCCAAAAUAGGUAUACAUCACCCAUCUNNNNNNNNNNNNNNNNNNNNNNNNNNNNNNNNNNNNNNNNNNNNNNNNNNNNNNNNNNNNNNNNNNNNNNNNNNNNNNNNNNNNNNNNNNNNNNNNNNNNGAUCGCCCAUUCUGAGUUGCCAAAUACAUGGUACAGAACUUAAAUACAAACUUAAAUAUACAACAAGAGCUGUGAGUUUUAAUACAAAUAUUAUCUUCUAGAUAGUAAUCAAACUCAAAAUAAGUCCUCAAUACAUUUAUUAUCACACUAUUUCACAGAAUAGUGAGGACUACUAAUGCAAACAUCUGGACCGUCAAUCCAUUCCCCGACUAGUCCCAGCUAUAUUCUCAUUUCCUGAAGAGAACAUUAAAAGAAAGGGUGAGCUCAACUAGCCCAGUAAGAAUAUAAUAGACAACAAGUUUUAGAUCAACAACUGCAGCGGAAUAAGCGAUUAGAAGAGUCUGUAGAGCAUAAAAUCUACUAUCUUCUAUGAUUUAAAAGAUUUAUCAUCAAUUUUAUCGCUGAGACUCAGCUUAAUAAAUAAUCCACAUCAUCGAAUCAUCUCUGCACUACGGGCCAAGGAUAUUCUUUAGUAUCAUGACCACGAAUUAUCCAUACACUACGGGCCAAAGAUAAUCGUGUUUUCAUCAACGGUCAUGAUCAUGCCAUAAAACAAUUCAUCUUUGCACCCUUGGCCGAAGGGAAUCCAUGGCCAUAAUCAUACCAAAAACUGUCCAUCAAUGCACUACCGGACAAUGAGGACUUUUAUCACAUCAUUUGUAACAUUAUGGCCAUGAUUAUACCGAAUAAUCCCUGGUCAUAAUCAUACCAAGUCCAUCUAUGCACUAUGGGCCAAGAUGACUUUCAUAACAAUAUAAGCAUGAGGAUGAUGACAAUGACAUAAUAAUUCAAUAAAACAAGUUCAAGGAUAAAUUUUAAAGAUUUAUAAUUUGAUUUAUCCAGAAUUCAAUAACGUUCAAAUUGUCAACAUGAUACUGCUUUGUGGAGUAAAAUUCAAGAAUAAUAUUGUACCAAAAAUGAUUUGGACCGAAAAACGAAUCAAUUUUUAUCAUGAAUAUUACCCUAGGUGAAUAGUACUCACCGUGAAUAGUACUCCGGCAUGAAAAAAGUUAAAACUUAUCAAGAAUGCUCAGAAUAAUAUUUCCAUGAAAAGAUACUGGAUGAAGUGCAAAUAUCAAGGAUAUUCUACUAAUUUCAUGGUGUAUAGAAGCCAAAACUUUAACCAAAUGAGUAAAAAAUUCGAAAUCUGAAACAAAAUAAAAUUACUUGCAUACUACAGAGUAUGGAAGAAAAUAUUAUUUCAAGCAAAUAUUGAACAAAAAUAACAUCCCUUACGAACAUUAAACGAAAAUAAUAUUCAUUUCGAAUAUUGAACGAAUAUAAUAUUUCUUGCGAAUAUUGAACGAAAUAAAAUUUCUUAUGAAUAUUGAACAGAAAUAAUAUUCAUACGAAUACGAAAAAUAAUAUCUCUUCAGAAUGUGAAAUAAAUAAUACCCCUUACGAGUAUUGAAAGAAAAUAAUUCUCUUCAUGAAUACGAAAGAAAUAAUACCCCUUACGACUGUUGAACGAAAAUAAUAUUCCUACGAAUAUUGAACGAAGAUGAUAUUUCUUACGAAUAUUGAACGAAUAUAAUAUUCAUACGAAUACGAAAAAUAACAUCUCUUCAGAAUAUGAAAUAAAUAAUACCCCUUACCUCAAAAAGAAGAGUAUUCCAACUGGUAUAGCGGAUAUAUUCUUGAAAAAAAAAUUCACUAUUUUCCACACUCAAAGAUUUUUAAAACUUGAAAGAAAUACGCUCAAUAUUAUAGAAGAAGAAUUCUCUGAUUCUGGUGUGUUUUUCAAUUCUAAAUAAGCAUCCUAUUUAUAGGAGAAUGGAAAGGAUACUAUUUGAAAUUUCUCACGGACUUACAGUUUUAUAACUCACAGACUGAAUUCAUAUGCCAAAUUUUCAAUAAUAUUCACUAAAACAAAAUUUUAUAAUAUAUGUAUAUAUAUAUAUAUAUAUAUAUAUAUAUUUAUAUAUAUAACAUAUGCUAUAUUGGAAAAUCCCACCACCCGUGAAUCAUUUUUCAAAUUCCUCCCCACAAAAGUCCUCCACACGUGCCCCACCUGUUCCCUCCACCCACAUAUCACCAUCACAGGUGGAUCCCAUAUAAUAUAUAUACAGAAUAAUCUUCUACCGAUUAUUUUGAAAAAUGAGUAAAUGGGGGUCCAUAAAAUAAGCAAAAUUUACACAAAUACUUCAUAAAAAUUCCCUCAAUAUUUUUAACAACAUUUAUCUUCAUUAUUAUAAUUCGCAAAAUUUAACAACCAAGUUGUUCCCAGGAAAGAGGGGGCUUUCCAAUAAGGAUUUCUCCAUAUUGGCGCGCAAUUAGGUGACCAAACCUCUCAUUGACAGAACUUCUAGACAUUGUCAAUAUUGUAAAUAAUAAUAUGAAUAACUUGUCAUCUCAAUUAUUGAUUUAAUAAUAUAUAAAAUAUUGACAAUAAUUGAAUCAAAUAACGUGAGAAUCGUAAUAAACCAAGCCAAGUACAUUAAAGACUUACUUAAAAAGUAUGGCAUGGAAUCAGCCUCUGCCAUGAAAACACCAAUUGCUCCAACAACCAAGCUUGACAAAGAUGAGAAAGGUAAGAGCAUUGAUAUAACUCAAUACAGAGGUAUGAUAGGCUCUCUUCUAUAUCUAACUGCCAGUAGAGCAGACAUAAUGUUUGCAACAUGCAUAUGUGCUAGAUUUCAAGCUAAUUCUAAGGAAUCACACUUAACUGCUGUAAAAAGGAUUUUCAGGUACCUCAAAGGCACACCUCACUUGGGACUUUGGUAUCCCAAGGAGUCCUCCUUUAAACUAACAGGAUUUACAGAUGCUGAUUUUACAGGCUACAAGUUCGAUAGAAAAAGUACUAGCGGCACCUGUCAGUUACUAGGAAACAUACUCAAGUCCUGGUUUAGCAAGAAGCAAAACUCAGUAUCUACCUCAACAGCGGAAGCUGAAUACAUUGCUGCUGGCAGCUGUUGUGCUCAAAUCUUAUGGAUGAAAAAUUAGCUAGCAGACUAUGGGUUUGAUUUCAAAUCUAAACCUGUUCAUUGUGAUAACACAAGUGCCAUAGCAAUAACACACAAUCAUGAUAGUCAUGUAUGUACCAGAUGUGAUGACUUCUCUCUCUAGAUUUUUUUCUCCCCCCUCUCUCUAUAACUCCCUUAACCGUCCUACUUGGCUAUCCCCUCACCAUUAACUCUUUCUUUCCUCUUUUAUCUCCCGCCUAACUUCAACUAAAUUUUCGGUCUUCACCUAUAUUCUCUGUUUUCCUUUUUCGUCCUUCGUCCCCAUCUCUACCAUCUUCUCCGAGCUCGGAUCACCCUGUCCUCUUCUACCAUCAUCUACUUCCUCAUCACCCUGUCCUCUUCUCGUUCAUCUUCCAUGGUUGAUUAUUCUCACCUCUCGGCUGGCAACUCUGAGAGUAGCCAGUCACAUGACCUUUUCGCUGAAUUCGGGGUCUCCAAACCCAACUCUCCUGCUGGUCUCUCUCACGUUGUUGAGGAUAUGGUUGAAUCGGAUGCUGUCCCUCUUGCCUCUGGCCUCAACGCUGUGGAGCUUUCUUCCCUCACUCCUUCCCUAGCCAGCUCUAACGACUCUUCCCCCUUUGCUCUUGAGCUAAAUGGUAACCUUGGUCCUGCUAUGGAUAAUAACAUCUCUGACAUUUUCAAAGCUGUCCAACAUUUCUCCCAUUCUGAGAGAAAUGAGGCUGUGCUAGAGCGUAAGAAGAACCUUCGCCUUAUGCAUUUCAUCUCUACUCAUGGGUUCUCGGUUGUUGAUCUCAACGAGUUUGUCUCCAACGGUAGGAUGGCUAGCCACAAAAAUCUGGAUUUGGUGGGCUUGGGCUCUUCCGGGGUUCCCCCUCCCCCUCCUCCUCCUCCUCCUCCUCCUCCUCAAAUUCCUUUGGGGUCAAACUUUCAUGUUGGUGAGCCUUCAAUAGUAUCGCGAGUUUUGAAACCUCCACCCCCCUCUGCUCCUAAAUCCAUGAGCACGGAUGAAUCUAAUAUUAACUCUGAAGUGACUAUUAAUGCAAACGCUGAACUUGCACCCAGCCCGACCCCCCCUUUCGAGGAAGGUGAAAUUUUGCGCAAAAAAAUCUUGAUGUGACGUUGUCACCAAAAUCUCUGGUAAACCAUCUAGAUCUAUCCUUUUUACCUACCUCUUCUGAGAAUGGAAAUCUUGUUAAACCUCCUGCGGAUGCUCUCAAGUGUGGGAACAAAUUAUGGUCUUCUAGUCUAGUGGGUUACUUCUUGCAUUCUACCCUCCUGUUCAAGGUAGUUGAGCCUAUAGCCAGGCGUCUUUGGGGGAAUAUGGGGCUAUGCAAUGUGAUUCUUCAUAGCAAGGGCUACUACAUUUUCAAAUUUUCCUCUAUUUCUGAUAGGGAUCAUAUCCUAGCUUCAGGUCCUUGGCACUUCACUUCUAAAACAAUUGUUCUGCAAACUUGGCAAGAAGGUUUGGAAUUCUUGAAAACGGGUCGUGAUAGGUUUCCUAUUUGGGUUAAAAUAAGCCAGAUUCCAUUAUUUUACUGGUCUGAUGAAGGCAUUAGUUAUAUUGCUAGUCCUAUUGGUAAACAACAUCUUCACUGAUGAGAUGACAUCAAAGAAUGAUUGGAUGGCUUUUGCCCGGGUAUGUAUCGAAGUCCAUGCUUCCUUUUCCUUCCCUACCUCCUUGAAUGUGUCCUCAAUGAGGAGAUGUCUGAAGAAAUAGUGGUCCUUAUCGAGGUGGAAUACCAAAGUAGGCCACCCUCUUGCAAGGUCUUUGGCCACUCACCUUUGAAAUGCCCUAAGUUAAACUACUAAUGGAUUCCCAAGUCUAAAACUUCUAUAAACCCUUUUCCUCCCCUUGAUGUAGACUCCUUGGCCCUUGAGGCUCAACUCUUCUCUGCUGAUAAGUCUACUCCUGCUCAGAACCCCCCUCCUCUAUUGAGCCUAAUCAAAAUACUGAUGAUUGGAUUACAAUCUCAAAAGGUGGGAAAGUUGGGCAACCCUCUUCAUCAACCCCUCGUAAACCUAUGGACUCUGUGUUGGCUUCCACUAAUGCCUUCUCACCAAUUGCAAACUUCACUGAUCCGGAUGCUACCCCCUAUUCUGAGAACGAAUCCCCACUAUAAACAGUUAAUCCUUACGCAAACUGAAAGCCUAAUAAUUGUGUUAUUUAUGUUAAGUUUAGCUUCUUAUAAUGUUAGAGGGUUAAAUAAAAAGCCUAAACAGGCUUAUGUUGGAUAGCUUCUUUUGGACAACGGUAUCUCCCUUGUUGGCCUUUUAGAAACUAGAGUUAAGCAACAUAAUGCUUCAAAGAUCUCGCGUUCUAUGUGUAAAAAUUGGACUUGGAUACUUAACUAUGAUUGCCACCUUAAUAGUCGUAUCUGGGUUGGCUGGGAUCCAUCUGUGUGGAAGGUGGAUGUCAUUUUUGUAUCCUCCCAAACUAUCCAUUGUAAAGCUAUGCAUAUAUCCAUAGAUUGUACCUUCUUGGUUUCUUUUGUUUAUGGUUCGAACUCUAUCACAGAAAGACAAGAAUUGUGGCAUGACCCCAUCUCAGUUAGCAUACCCCUUUGCCAGUGCCUAUUGGGUGAUUUCAAUGCUAUACAAAAUCUCAAUGAAACGGACAGAGCUGACACCUUAUGGGACUCGGGUAUGGAUGAUCUCAAAACUUGCUUCCAAUCUAUUGGUGUGGCCGACAGCACAUUUGGAUCAUUUCACACCUGGUGGAACAGUCAAAUUGAAUCCCCUAUCCAUAAAAUCCUAGAUCGAGCUUUGGGAAACGAUGCUUGGUUUAACCAAUUCUCACUUUCCCAGCUUCCUUUGGACCUAGGGGAAUGUUAGACCACUCUCCAGUGAUUCUCUGCACUGGGCUUAAUAACCAUAAACCUCGGAAGCCAUUCCAGUUCUUCAAUCACAUGUUCCUCUUGGAGGGGUUCACUGAAUGCGUCUCUACUACAUGGCGGCAGGUGUGCAUGGGAAUCCAUUUCGUAUCUUCUCUGGGAAACUCAAACUUGCAAAGAAAGCUCUUGUUACUCUCAACCAGUCGGCAGGGAAUCUCUCUUCCUCAGUCAAAUCGAACAGAGACGAUCUUCAUUGGAUCCAAUCCUUACUAUCAAACUCCCCUUAUAACCCCACACUCAUUGCUCAAGAAAAAUCCUAUCUUCAAUGGCUCUAGAAUGCCUUGUCCUUAGAGGAAACCUUAUUGCACCAGAAAUCUUGAGCUACUUGGCUUGCCACUGGCGAUAGGCAUUCAAAAUUCUUUUUCAACUUGGUAAAGAGCAGAUGGAACACUAAUAAAGUUCUAGCCAUCCACAACUCUAUUGGUGAGACCGUCUCAGGUCAUGAGGGAGUUGCAAGGGUGGCGGUCGACUACUUCAAGGAUCUUUUCAACCCUUCCCAACCGCCCCCUACCCUGGGUUGAGAGUUUUGGGAUUAAUCCCUCUAAGACUUUGUCUUCUGACCAAACAUCUAGCCUCUCGGCACCGGUUUCUGCCAUAGAAGUCUUUAAUGUUCUUAAGUCAAUGAGGAAAAACAAAAGCCCCGGACCGGAUGGGUUCAAUGUCAACUUUUUUCUCACUUGCUGGGACAUUGUCGGCGAGGAUUUCACUAAUGUUGUCCUUUACUUCUUUUCCUCUUGCAAACUUCCGAAGGGAUUUAACUCUACCGCCAUCGCACUCAUUCCCAAAUGCCAGAAUCCCUCCUCUAUGGCUGAUUUUAGACCCAUUGCAUGCUGCAACACCAUUUACAAAUGCAUAUCUAAGAUCCUUGCUAACAGAUUGAAACUGGUGCUUCCAUUCCUCAUUGAUAAAGCCCAAGCUGCCUUCGUCAAAGGAAGACAAAUAAGUGACAACAUUCUUCUUGCUCAAGAACUGCUUCGAAACUACCAUCGCAGCUCUGGACCUCCAUGAUGUGCUUUUAAAAUUGAUCUGAAAAAAGCCUUUGAAGUCAACUGGGACUUUUUAUUUGAUGUCCUAAAAUCCUUCAGAUUCCCUAUUAUCUUCAUCAAAUGGGUACAGUCUUGCGUUACCAUUGCCAUGUUCUCUAUCAAAGUUAAUGGCUCUCUUGCAGGCUAUUUCAAUAGCUCGAGGGGUCUUAGACAAGGCGACCCUCUCUCCCCCUACCUCUUUAUCCUCAUCAUGGAAAUGCUCUCCAUGAAACUUCAUUGGGGUUCCAAAUUAUCUGACUUUAAACCUCAUUGGCAUACCAACAACUUAGACCUUACCCACCUCUUCUUCGCCGAUUACAUCCUUGUGUUUUGCCAUGCUAGUAUCAAACCUAUCUCCAUCAUAAACUCAUGCAUGUCCUUUUCCCUAAUUUCUGGCCUCAUUCCCAACAUCCACAAAAGCCAAUGCUUCCUAUCCUAUGCAGACCUCGCAACCACCUCUUUCGUCACCUCUGCACUAGGAUACACCUUGGGCUCUCUACCAACCAAAUUCUUGGGUGUGCCCCUUAUCUCCACCAAGCUCACCUUCCAAGAUUGUCUGCCUCUGGUUCACCGUAUUACGCAUAGAGUCACAUCCUGGACAACUUCUGUGCUCGCGUAUUCAGGUCGCCUUCAGCUCAUUAAAUCUGUGCUAUUUGCAAUUCAACACUAUUGGAGCUCCCAUUUCCUUCUCCCUAAAGUUGUCAUUCGUGCAAUUCAAUCUAUAUCCUUUGUCGGUUCUUAUGGAAAGGUACUUUCUUAGACCAUCAUGGGGCCAAGGUUUCAUGGAGGAAAAUUACGCUGCCAACCAAUGAAGGUGGACUAGGAGUUAAAUGCCUCCUAGACUGGAACAAGUCCCUUAUUCUCCUGCACCUUACACGCAUCCUGCAAGUCAAUCCGAGAUCACUAUGGGCUAGAUGGGUGCAAACUUCAGUCCUAAAAGGGAGAUCUAUUUGGCAAAUUGACAUUCCCCCUGACUGCACUUGGAUUUGGAGGCAGAUUCUCAAGUUGAGACCCAUUGCCCAGCAGCACUUGCGCUAUAAAGUUGGACCCGGGAAUAGAUUUAGUCUAUGGUAUGACCCCUGGCUCAAUGAUGUGCCCAUUAAUCCUACUCAAUCACUGCUUGCAAGUUCACAAAUCCCAACAAAUGCAAAAGUCGAGGACAUCAUUGGUGAUUCAAACUGGUUUCUACCCCACUCAAACCAUCAUGAAGUCAUUAUGUUCCGCCUAUCCAUUUCUGCUACUGCUGUUCCUUAUGGCCCAAUUGACUCCAUCCUUUGGACUUCUAAAGAUAUCCUUAAUAUCAAGACCUACAAUAUUUGGGAUAGUAUCGGUAUAAGCAAAGCAUGGUCGACUGGUAUAAGACUGUUUGGAAUAAGCUUCAUGUUCCAAGAUAUUAUUUCCUACUUUGGCUUGGAUUUCUAGGUAGAACACCAACAAAUGACAUCACGAAGGGUUAUUCUGGCCGGGUGUUCAAUUGGCCUCUGUGCAACAAAUGUCCAGAAACCUUCAACCACCUCUUUUUCACUUGUGAGUACUCCACAAUUAUCUUGAAAGCUGCUUUCUCACUGGGGGAUUGGUCCUCCUUCCCUUUGGAUUGGACCGACUUAACUACCAAGAUUAACACCUUCAGAGGAUGGAAACUCUCCAAACAAAUAAUGGGGCUCUCCCUUGCGGUUGCUUUCUACAAAGUUUGGGAGGCAAGGAACAAGAGGUUGCAUUCUAACACACUCAUUCCUCCACACUGCCUUGCAACUGAUGUAGUCCAUAUUAUCAAAUCUAGGUUGUCUACCUCUUUUGCCUUUUUAACCAAGCCACUGGUUCUUGUCAAUUCUAUUGUAACUGGCUUGUCUAACAAGCUGCACCUUGGUUGCAUACCAUGGCUGCCUGUGACUGUUCAUGUAAUCGUUACAUACUUUAGCUAGCUCCCAUGGGGAUGGCUUUAGAUGAUAUUGCUUUAAUCUGGGGUAUGCCCCUUUGCUUUUGUAUUUAUUUUCUUUCUUAAUACACAAACCAAAUUAGCAAAAAUAAAAAUAAAAAUAAAAAUAACACACAAUCCUGUCAUGCAUUCUAGGACUAGGCAUAUAGAAAUAAGAUAUCAUUUCAUUAGGGAUCAUGUUUAAAAUUUAACUAAAUUUUUUGCAGUACAUCCCUACUAAAAAUCAACUUGCUGAUGUGUUUACAAAGCCUCUAGAUGAAUCCAGAUUUAAUAAAUUGAUGAGUUAUAAGAAGAAGAUAAGAAUGCAAAUCAUUAAAAAUGAUGAACGUAUGAGUAAGACAUCUCCGUAUGUCAUGAAGCCAUAAAUCGGUAAAGAAAGUUAGUCGCAUAAACUUAGGUUGCAAGAACGCGAACCCUAAGAAGUAAAGUUAACCUUAAACCAAUGCAUAAGUCAAGUAUAUGACUAAUUGGUGUAUGUGUUAUUUUUUUUUUUGUUGCUAAAUUUAGACUGUAAUAAAAGAAAGAAUAAGUACAUGGGUUAGACCAAAACAGUAUACCAUAGCCAUCAUAGGACAGGCCCUAUGAUAGCAGUAGUAAACCAAAGCUAGACACUAGCAAACAAGGAUCCAACAAGGAACAAAGGAACAAUAGAAAACAACCAUCAAAAAGGCUUGAAACCAGUCAAUAAAACUGCAUCAAACCAAUCUGAAGCAAUAUUACAAAUUUUAGCUACAUGGCAACAGAAGCCAAACUGCCAAGACAUAACAGCUCAACCGCCCAGUAGACCAAAACCCGCUGCAGCAGUAGAAAGUGUAUCAACUAUAGCCGCUCGAAACCACAUCAACAUUAGCAUAGUAGCAGCCAUCAGUACCCGAGCAGCAACAAAGUCUAUAUGAGCCAGCAGUACAGAAACCUACCCAGCAACACGGCACUCGGCACAGCACAAAGCAGCACACAGCCCAGCACAGCACAUAGCAGCACACAGCUGCAAAUGGAAGUGCAACAUAGCCAGACAAAUGACAGCAGCAGCUAGCCCAAACCAACAUCUGCAUACCCACAGCAGUAGGAAGCACCACACGCAGCAAAGAUGACAACUAAGUGCUGGACUGCAGUUGCUCAAACCACAACAACAUCCGAAGAUAACAACAGCUGUAGCAUAGCAGCCCCACUAGCCCCCAGUACCAAGCAACAACCAGCAAUAGCAGACCACUCAAGCACAAACUGCCCAGACUAGCAGCUCAACUCAACUGCCUAGACAGACUAACCAGCUCAUUGAAAGCAGCACCAGCAGAAAACCCAAAACCCAAACCCAACGCAGAAGAAGCAAACAGUUUUGGCCAUCAAAUUAGCAGCUGCAGCAACAAGACCAACAACAAAGACAAUGUAGGUAGAUCAGCCAGCAGCACCACAAACAGGUAUAGCAUCAAGGAUAACAGUAGCAGCAACACAAAGCAUAGCAACAACACAGACCCCAAAAUGUCAACAUCCCUAACCCAAACAAUGGAAUGGCAAACUAUCCCUCACAGCUGCAAGGUACCUAGCAACACCGUCUAUAGUAGCAAUAGCAGCUGCAACUACAGCAGCAACACAUAUAACUGCAUUACAGAAGCCAAACUGAAACCAUACUCAUCAGCAGUAGCCCAAGCCCUCAUGCAGCAGCAAGUUGACAACCACUCCUGCAACCAAGCUGUCUAGCCCACACCAAACUUCCAUAGCAGACCACACCUGCAACCCAGCAGUCACUGCAGCAGAACUCAAGACCAGCAGUCUAAACAUCCAUUUUGCAGCAAAGGACUAGCCCAAACCGAGCUAUCUAGAGAACACCUGCAACCAAGCUGGCUAGACCACACCUGCAACAGAACGCCCAGACCAAACUACCCCAAACCUCUCUAGGACAAGCAAACUUACAACCAUACACAGGCUCUGUAACAAAAUCCAUAGCAAAUGAGUAGGGAAUGUAAAUGUUAAUGUUAUAAAACCAAAUGUCUGUAGCAAGACUUCUCCUUGAGUCUUUGAAAUCUGCUAUAAGAAUAAAGUUUACAUUUCAGCAAGUUCAUAAUAUCUUGCACUACAGUCCUGACAGGAGUAGCUUUAUGAGAAAAGAUCCUUGCGUUACGCUCAGUCCAGAGACGAUGGACCACAGCCGCAAACCCGAGAUGAAUAAGACUAUGAUGAAAUUUAGGACACGAGUAGUGAAUAAGAUAAUUGGUAAUAGAAGACCAGUGUGACGCCCCCAAAAUAGGUUCAAUCCAUCCAACCUAUUCUGAGUCGCCAAAUACAUGGUACAGAAAAUAACUACAACUUUAUUACUACAAUUGUCGUGCAAAAUACAACAACGCAUAUACUGUGAGUUUUAAAUACCAACUGUGACUCAUGUCCUAACUAUGGACAGCACCUCACAUUGAUACAUUACAUAAAGGUACAGUCAAUAACUGUUUUAGAAAUUAAAAUCUUUGGGAAGUGCUCAAGGAAACCUUCGUACAUAGGAGGCCAUGAAUCUAAGUUAUGAUAGAUAUCAUAUAUCCAGAGAAUUAUCCUUGGUUGAUCCAAUAGACCCCAAAGAAAAACGAGAAGAUUACUAUCAUGUUCCUUCCAAUGGUGAGUCUUCUCUUGACAUAUAACUAUCUCCACCGUCUGCAAUUGAACAUUAUGUUUCAACCAAACUCCAAGAUCAUAUAGGUAGUGCUCGUAGAUAUACUCAGCAAGUGGAUAUGCACAACCCUGUCUUGUGAUAACACAAGGUUGUAUGUCAUUAGACAUCUUAUAUGAUAGUGGCAAAACACCCUUCCAAAGUUGGGUUCACCUCACCCUAUUCGGUUCACCAAAAUUAAAUAUCAAAUGACAUAUACAAUACGACACACUUAUCUAAAGUUCUCAAUAAAAUUAUUUACAUACUAUUUAGGGAGAACCUCAACAGCUAUAGACCACCGUUCUAUUUCCCUGUUAUCCCCGCUCGACCCAGCUACACUCUUAUUACCUGAAAGGAAUUGUGAAGCAAAAGGGUGAGCACAACUAGUUUAGUAAAGAAUAUCAUGACUAAAGAUAAUUAAAUUAUCAAUAGCCUUCAUCAGUAAUAAAUCAAAGAUUUAGAACAUAUGGUAGAUGAUAAAACUUUUCAACCAUAGUUGCAGCGGAACGAACAAUCCAUUAGAAGAGUCAAAUAGACCAUAAAGUCUAUUAUCUUCUCCAUGUUAAAAGUCCAGCAACAAUAUUUUAUUCCUGUAACAUCCAUCAACAGUUCCUUUCCACAAUCAUAUGAAUAACUCAUAAUCAUAAUUGUGAUUCUAAUUUCCUCUUCGCACCCAGGAUGAAGAUAAUUUUCAUCACCUGUCUUUACCUGAAACAUCAAAGAUCAUGGUUAUACCAAAUCACAGUUCCUGUUCAUAAUCAUACUAAUAAAUUCAUCUUUGCACCAUGCCAAAGAUAUUCAUUAACAGUUCAUCUUUGCAAUACAGGCCAAAGAUAUUCAACAACAGGUCAUCUUUGCACUACAGGCCAAAGAUAUUCCUCAACAGUUCAUCUUUGCACUACGGGCCAAAGAUAUUCAACAACAAGUCAUCUUUGCACUACGGGCCAAAAGAUUUUCAACAACAUGUCAUCUUUGCACUACGGGCCAAAGAUAUUCAUAUCUCAAAGAAACAUACAAUCAUUUCAGAAUUUAUAUAAACCAUAAUUAUAAUCAUGUUGAUCAAUUCACCUUUGCACUUAAGCUAAAAAUAUUCAAUUUUAAAUUCAAUGGUCAUGAUCAUACCAGUCAACGAUUCAACUUUGCACUACUGGCUAAAGAGAAUCCAUAGUCACGAUCAUACCAAUAAUCUACCCAUCUUUACACUUAAGUCAAAGAGAAAUUUCAUCACCGUGAUUAUAAAAAUGUUAUAUAUGAUAAUAAAAAUAAUAUGAUCAACAACUGCAUUUAAUUUCAAAAGUAAGAUUCAUAAAUCAAUGAUUUCAUAACACCUUAAUCCAAAUGUUAUAAAUCACUUAAUAAUCUCAUAAUCUAAUAUCAUUAAUAUUACCACAAUACCUUUAUCAUUUCUUAAACUUAUAAACAAUUUAUUUUAAUUGUUUACACUUUACUAAUUAAUGCAUUUAAUCAUCCUAAAAUGCCAAACUCAUAAGAUUUCAUCACCAAUAACCAAAACCUUCAUCAAUAGUCUGCAUAUACAUAGGAUUCUCAAGCCAUAAAAUCCUAUUUUCUAAUUUUCUUACUUCACAUAACAUAUUUAAUUCAUUUACUCAUAACUAGUUCAUUUUCAUGAAAAAUAUCAAAUUAGUCCCAAAAAUAUUUCUUUUCUGGGAUUUAGCAGAAUAUAGUCCCAUGUUGAACAUAUAUUUUUCUCAGAAUUUUUAAAAUUCAUUUACUAUUUUUCACAUGGCCAAAACAGCCGAAUAUUUAGACAUUUAUCAUAAAUUGUACUUUUAUCUAAAAAUUCCGAAAUUUACAGGGUAUACUGAUAUUAUAUAGAUGUACUUCCAAUAAAAAUUUCACCAAUUUUGGAGUUAACCACAAGAAGUUAUAAGGGUUUACUUUUAAAAUAGUCUUUUCUCAUAAAAUUCAUAACUCCUAAUCUAUACAUCCAAAAAUCGCCAUUUUUGGACACAAUCUAGAAAACUCAUCAAAUUAUCAUUUUAAAUUUUUUCAGAAUUUUUGAAUGUCCGAAAAAAGUACGAAACUGAAAAACAUAAUAACCCUUAAAAAUCUCUUACCUCAAAAGAGUAGUAUUUUUGAUUGGAAUAUCGGAUGUAAAGCCGAAGGAAACUUGCACUGAAUAGCAACUCAUAAAGUAUCUAAAUACUCACAAAAACAUGUUCGAUAAUAUAUAGAGAGAAAACUUAUGUUUCUGAUGUGAUUUUCAAUUCUAACUUGAGCGCCUAUUUAUAGGAAAAUGCUAGAACGCCAAAGGAGACUAAAUAAUAAAAUAUUAUUAUUUUCUUUUCAUUUCUUCUACGCACCAACCUCUUGAAAUUUUAGUAGCCAACCAUCACUUUUGAACAAGAAUUCAGCACAUGUUUUCAACAAUUGACAAAAGUGGGUCCCACCCAAUAAUUUAAUAAAAAUAUUUUAAUUUUUGAAACUUCAAUAAUUCAUAGAAAAUAAUCCGUUUAUCAGAAAAAUAUGAAUUUUAUGUCCAUUCCACACGAAAUCGAAUUCUCUACAACUUUGUAGCUUUAAGUUUUUCCAAAUUCCAGACAGAAAAUAUUCAAAAUCCAAAAACGGACAAUUUUCAACACCUUUUAAAAUUCAUAACAAAUCAUACGUUAAUUUUUAACGGUUCAAAAUUUGUGGACAUAUACUCAACUUAUAUAUGUAUAACAUAUCCAAAAAUCACAACGAUCUUUAAGAACACUAAUUUGAUCUUUUAAUGCCUCCAAUCUGACAAAAUACUGAUAAAACACCUCAACAUUAAUUCCUUCAUUUAUAACCACACAAAUAAAUCCAUCAUUUAUAUCCGCAUCUAAUAAAUAUUUCCUUAUCAUAUAAAUCAAUAAUUAAUUAUUCACAAAUAAUAUUACAGAAUCACAAUAAUGACAACCAGGCAGUUCCCAGGAAAGAGGGGGCUUUCCGAUAAGGAUUUCUCCUUACUGGCGCGCAAUUCGGUGACCAAACCUCUCAUUGACAGAACUUUCUAGACAUUGCCAAUAAUGUUAUCUAAUAAUAUUAUUCAAAUGAAUUAUUGAUCUGAUAAUGGGAAAUACUGUGCAGUGACAAUUAUUGAAACAAUAAUAAUAUAAAAUAUCAACGCAGCAAUUAUUGAAUCAAUAAAAUAAAAUAUUGAACAGUAAUUAUUGUAACAAUUAUUGAGUAGUGCCUUCUUACGUAAGAAUCAACCGAACAAAAAUACUGUGCAAUACCAUGUGCUACUGUGCAACAACGCGUAUUACUGUAUUUUAACCACCGAGUAUUCCAACAAUGUUAAUGGUAACAAUUACGUCGUUAUUUAUAAAAACUCAAACUUGUUGUUUUCUUCAUCCGACAGUUAUUCUGUUAUGGAGACCACAAAUGGCUGCGCCGUCGUACGAAUAUUCCCUGACAACAAGAAUAUUCCACGACCAAACGAAUAUUCCCCAACAGAAAUGAGUAUUUUAUAACCACUUGCGUAAUUUUUUUUAUAUAUAUCCCUUAACUUUAAACUUUUAUCAAUUUAACCAUUUACUGAAUAAUAAUUAUAAGAAAAAUUGAAUACUUUUAUUUCAUAAAAUUCGGGGUCUUACAACCAAUUCCUGCUACUACCUCUCCAACCACAGUGUCUAAGAAUAGAAACCAGAACCCUAAAGGAAUAGUCACAGUGAAAGAAUAAGUGAUCAAAAGAUUCUAAGUUAGUUUUGCACAGCACACACAAAGGGUUAACCGUGUAUAUGUUAUUUCCUUAUGUGUUAUAUAGGAAUUGGAAUGAGCAAUUCACAUAUUCUAAAUGAAUGCUAGUUUCUUAAACUUCUCAGAUGUUGAACUUGAGAAGUUUUGUCUAUGUGCAAAUGUGCGAUAUUUGUACAAGGUGGUAGAAUGUAUGAGGCCUUGUGCCACAAUUUGAACACUUCGGUGUAUCUAUGAGAUGAACCGUUCUGUGAUUAAACUGUUCAAUAUGAGAAUGUUCUGUUUAUACAUAAACCGUUAUUGUUAAGUGUGCUAUCGAUUCUAGCCAGACAGAACGUGUAUGAAAAAGGUAGAAGAAUAAAAGUAUUUUAAAAGUAAAUGUGACUAAUGUUUUAAAAUGAUAGGAAUCAGGGUUUAUUCCUAUUAUUCAAACUGCUUCAUAACCUUUGUUCGGUUAUUGAAGUUCUAAAGGAAUGUUUGAAUUCUUGAAGUAGUUUGUUCAAUUGCUAUGACUUGUUGGGCAAUUGAAUGCUCACACUUGCUUUAAAUGAAAAACAUUUUCAGCGUACAAGUAGAAGAACUUAAAGAUCCCGUAAAGAUCAGGCUGAUCGUUAUCCAGAAGAAGUGCUUUUCAUUAGAUGAAUAAGCGUGAAGAUCAAGCGAAGACUUGUAAUGAAGACUAGUUAAUUGAACUAUAGAUUAGUUUAAUGAACUGUUAUGUAUCCUUAGUGGCAGAUGAAAGUCACACAUGUAAGAUGUAAAGAAUAAUGUAAUUAUCAUUAUUUGUAAUAAAAGAGGUUAUAUGGUAUUAGAACAUGGGAAUUGAGAAUGUAUGUUGUUAUAUUUUACUAUAUAAUGAUGUAUGUUUAGAAGAAUAAUGUACUCGUGACGCACAAAAUUCGGGUGUGAAGAUAGACCGGAUUUCAGGGCGUUACAAUAGGGUUGUUCAUCUCAAUUUUAAAGUACAAGUCCGCACCAAAGAAGGUUUGGUUUGGAUAAGCUUCAAGGGUAAUUUGGAGUUUCACGAUCAUCAACUACGGGAUUAGUUGAAUCAACAAGUCUUAACAGUACUACGAGUGAUCAAUAAUAAUUUAAUGUAAAAUGAUUAAGAAGCAUAGGUGAACCAACUAUACAUUAAACUCAUGCUUAGAAAUAACUAAAAAGCAUAAAAGCAUUGAAUAGAACAAUAAACCUUGCUUGAACAAUAGUAAGCUAAGGCAAUGAUCUUGUUAAAUAAAGAAUUGAAUUGUUGAACAUACAUUAACUGAUAACAAGCUGGAAACAAAGCUUGCUCAACAUGAUAAUAACGUGUGCAAAGUAAAGGAAAUAUGGUAGCUCAAUAUUAGAAAUUAGAGUUCAAGAGGUUACAUUCACUAUAAAAGAAUGAAACUAAAGAAACUUGCUUAACUAUAAACAAGUUAGAAUAAUUCAACAAUGAUUAGAAUUCAAAAACUUGCUCAAUAAAAGUUUAGAGUAAGGAACUUACCUCGUGCGUAAGCUAUAGCUAGAUUACAACUCACGUUCACAUACACACAUUAUUAGAAUCACAGUAUCUAUUAGAUAAACUAAUAUCCACUUUUCCAAAAUAAAACUCUCUUUUAGAUAAACUUGUUAUUUUAGUACAAGAUUUACUUUACACCAUAUGUAUUUCAAAAAUCUCAAGUGUUAACUUUACAACACUUAUUCACUAUUCAUUGGGUACCUUAAAUCCUAACAUAUCGCUUUCAUAACUUACUAAUCUUUUUAUAACUUUGAAAUUAUUAAUGUCAUGAUACAAUUCUGUUUUAACCUCUUCAUGUGCUUGUCACAUUAACACAUCAUUAUACUAAGUUAUAAUAGGUCUCCAAGGUCUGUAUAAAUAACAGGCAUCACUGCCUCAGAUCAGGGUAUGGAGCAGCUGCGCCACACUUAAGCUUGGGACCGGCGUAGCUGCGCCGUUUCUGGCCUUGACACCAGCAUAGCUGCGUUGAUGCACAGACAGAAACUACGCAGUCUGUUAAUAGUACUCUGUUUAGCCCAACUAACACAAAUUUCACCCACAAAACAGUAAAUUUAAACAUAUCCAAUUGACAUACAACUCAUAUAAACAUGAUUCCUCACAUAUUCACAAACUUAGAAUAAUUAAACAACACUACAACCAAUUUAAAUUCUUUAAAUUCCAUGUUUUAUACCAAAAACUCCAUUUUUGACAUCCUUCACAAAAAUUAUCACUGUGAUCACAAUUUUUGUCCAAAUUAACUAAUUCAAACUACGUUCUCUUCGUUUCUUAAUGAACAAACAUAUUAAAGGCUCAUUCUGUCACUUUUUUUUCUUUUUUGCUUAAAAUCUUUACCUUUUCCCUCUGGUCCUUUCUUCCCCGAUUACUUUCUUUGCUAAUCUAUUUUUUCCUUCCCUCUCUACACCUCCCCUCCGUUGCUCCUUUGUCUGUCUCCUUUUCGGUUCACUGCCCGGCCCCUGUUCUCUACCUCUUGCUUUACCCUAGUGCUGUUUUGGCCCUCAACAUGGUUGAUUAUUCUCAUCUCUCGGCCGGAAAUUCCCUAAGCAGCCCUUCUCGGGAUCCUUUCGAUGAAUUUGGGGUCUCUAACCUCUACUCCCCGGGUUCUGAUGAUGCGACCAUGGUGGAAUCGAAGCCUAUUUCGGUUCAGAACACUUUGAUUUCCGUCAGCUCAUCUGGUUCAGAAAAUCAUAGUUUUGAGAAUGUAAAUGAAGGAUCGCAGCUUGGCCAUGCUAUGUCUGAUAUCUUCAAAGCAGCCCAACAACUUUCUCAGCAGGGCCGUAUUGAUGCUGCUGAUGAGCGUAGGCGUAGCAGUACCCUAAUGAACUUCAUCCGAUCGCAAGGUUUUUCUGUUUAGAAUAUCAAUGACUUUGCUAACAAAGGUAAAUCGGUCAGGCAAUUUAAUGACCAUGACCUGUUCGAUAACAGUACUCUGAGAGGGUCUCUCGGGCUACCUGUCCUAGCUCCUGUUUCUGGGCUAAUAUCUGCCACUGACUUAUCUAGACAUCUACGGGGAGCUGAGAGGGCUCCUGCUAUGCCUUCCCCUGAUUCUACUGGGCCAACGUUUAGGGAGGGGGCCAUCAAGUCUAGUGAGGAGGUUCCUUUUCCUAUAGAUUUGUCUGAUUCUAAGUCAAAGACUGAGGCCGAGAGGGCUAUGCCCUCUGAUAUGGUGGAGAAGAAAAAGCACUCUUGGAGCGAAGUGGUUGCUCAAGAAGUGAAGCCUAGCUUUACUUUUGAUUAUUUUAGCCCUUGUCCUCCUUCCUCUGAAAAUGGGAUUAUUCGUAUUAAGCCACCUCCUGAUAUUCUCAUUCAUGGUAACUCACUGUGGAACUCCUGCCUUGUGGGUAGUUUCAUCACCUCACGACUGCCUUUUAAACUAGCCGAGGAAAGUGCCCAUAAGCUUUAGGACAAACAUGGGCUGCAAAGGGUAUUCCUGCAAGAUAAGGGGUACUUUGUGUUUAAGUUCUCUAGCCCACAAAAUCGUGAGAAUGUGCUUGCUCUCGGCCCUUGGUACAUUUCAAACAAGCUGCUAUGCCUUAAACAUUGGAAGGAAGGGAUUGACUUCCAUGCUGAACCUUGCACAAAGCACCCGUUUGGGUAAAAUUUCACAAUAUACCUCUGUCCUUAUCUCUCUCCGGCUGGGCUCAGCUAUUUAGCGAGUGGUAUUGGCAAACCCCUGUUCGUUGACAAGCUAACUGAGAAAUUGGAACCUACGACUUUCGCCAAAGUCUGCAUUGAAAUUACUGUAUCUUCUCCCAUGCCUGACUGUCUGGAAGUAGUUGUUAUAGAGGAUGAGACUCUAUCUGAAAAGGUUUGCACGGUAAGGGUGGAAUAUCAAAAUAAGCCUCUAUUCUGCCCCCACUGUAAAUCUUUCGGUCACUCCCUUGCUAGGUGCCCAAAUGAAAACUUUAAGUGGAUACCCAAAGGUCCAGUGAUGGCCCCUUCCCUUCCGAAGGCUGAUAUGGUUCUCUGCCCUGAGCCUCCUUCACCUCUUAUCGGUGGUUCUGGCCCCUCUCCCAAGGCUUUAAAUCUGCUUGCCCCCUCAUCCUCGGGGAUUAUGGACGCGUGGACUGUGGUGGCUAAGGGUCCUAGACUGCCCCAUUGUCCCAAGCAACCCUUGACUGGUGCACUCCCACCAUCUAUGAUUGACUCAAAUUCGUUUGGCCUACUAUCUCCACUGGCUGAGCCUCAACCAGAUCCUUACUCUGACACGGAUAUCACACCUCCCCCUGGUCCUCUGGUGGGCAAACUAAAGCUGGUUGACGAAAAGGAUGGGAGGGACCUAAAGCACAAAGUAAAUAACUCUUUUGUCACUAACAAAAGCUCCAAGAAGAAGAAAAAGGGGGGGGGNNNNNNNNNNNNNNNNNNNNNNNNNNNNNNNNNNNNNNNNNNNNNNNNNNNNNNNNNNNNNNNNNNNNNNNNNNNNNNNNNNNNNNNNNNNNNNNNNNNNGGGGGAACCCCAUCUCACAAUCUUAAUUGUUUAUGAUCAGUUUUUACUCUAUGAAUAUUAGAGGUGUAAAUAGUAGGGCCAAGCAAGCUAGUGUUAAAGACCUUAUUUGUAAAUAUUCUAUCUCUUUAGUUGGCCUUCUGGAAACUCGAGUCAAAGCUCCCAAAGCCAUUCCUAUUGCUAAGGCUAUAUACAGGGAUUGGAAAUGGUAAUUCAACUAUGAGCAUCAUGAUAAUGGGAGGAUAUGGGUUGGCUGGGACCCUUUUGUUUGGGAUGUUACUUUUAUUUCCCAGUCCUCGCAAUUUAUCCACUGUAUGGUUACUUUUUUGGAACUCAACAUUAGUUUCUUUGUUUCCUUUAUCUAUGGGCUCAACACUGCCGUGGAAAGGAAACUUCUUUGGGGGGCCUCAAGGGCUUCUCUUGUGCCAACUAAUAAGCCAUGGUGCAUUUUAGGUGAUUUCAAUGAGGUUUUGAACUUAUCUUAGAUCAAUGGGGGUAGUGAGUUAUGGGAUAGAGGCAUGCAAGAUUUUAAAGACUGCAUUGGUGAUUUAUCCCUGCUGGACCUUCGGGCAGUGGGCCCCUAUCACGCGUGGUGGGACUCUAACAGUGUGAAUCCUAUUUAUAGAAAAUUGGAUAGAGCCAUGGUUAACUCUCUCCAGGGUUGUAUAUUUUUCCUCUAUCACAGGCCAUCUUUUCACCUCGUGACCUUUCUGACCAUUGCCUGGUGAUAGUCCAGACUGGAAUGCAAUUGCCUCGUAUCCUUAAACCUUUUCAAUUUUUCAACUUUAUGGUGGACAUGGAGAAUUUCCAUGAGGUGCUUAGGACUUCUUGACGUAUCCCUGCGUUUGGUGACCCUCUACAAGUCCUCGCUAGGAGGCUCAAAUAUGUUAAAAAGGCUCUUAUUGGUCUGAAUAGGAGCAAUGGUAAUUUGACUUCAAAUGUUGUUUAAAUUCAGUCACUUCUUCAUUCCACUCAGACUUCUAUCGCUCAUAACCCAAAUGAUCAUGUCUUGCUCGAGAGAUAGAAGGAUCUCACAAAUAGCCUUUGGGAAGCCCUCUUAUGGGAGGAAAAGCUCUUCAAACAAAAAUCCAGGAUACAAUGGCUUAAGGAAGGUGAUAGGAACUCUGGUUUCUUUCAUAACCAAGUAAAAGCUAGAUGGAAUCAUCACAAAAUUAUGUCUAUUACAAAUGACGAGGGCAUCCUAGUGAGCGGGCAAAAUAACAUUUAGCAGAUUGCAGUGGCCCAUUUCCAAUCACUUUUAGGUUCCCCAUCUCAUGCAAACUUCUCUAAUAUUCAGCUCUUGGCAAGCUCUUUUAAGAAGUUUAUUACCCCUGCGGAAGCUACUGCUAUGGACAGGGACAUAUCCGAUGCCGAAGUCCUCGCAUCACUCAAAAGUAUGAAGCCAAAAAAAGUCCGGGCCCUGACGGCUUCAAUGUCAAUUUCUUUCUUGCAUGCUGGGAUAUAGUUGGCUCAGAUUUCUCACUUGCCGUUAAGUCCUUCUUCUAACAGGGUUGUCUUUUACGGGGAACGAACGCUACGGCUAUUGUACUUGUCCCAUAAACCCCAAACCCCACCUCUAUGAAUGACUUCAGGCCGAUUUCGUAUUGUAAUACAACCUACAAAUGCAUUUCAAAGAUCCUAGUGAGACGGAUGAAGGGUUUUCUUCCCAAGAUCAUAUCUCCCUACCAAGCUACUUUUGUCCCGGGUAGGAGGAUUGGCGACAACAUCCUUAUUGCUCAGGAGCUUUUCAGGAACUACCAUAGGAAAUCUGGCCCACCUCGAUGUGCCUUAAAAAUUGAUCUCCAAAAAGCCUUUGACUCGGUUUCUUGGGAGUUCAUUCUGGAAGCUCUGAGAAUCUUCAAAUUCUCUCCAAAGUUCAUCUUUUGGAUAAAGGCAUGCAUCUCCACCCCUACCUUCUCAGUAAAAGUCAAUGGGGGAUUAUAUGGCUAUUUUAGUGGUGCAAAAGGGCUUAGGCAGGGCGAUCCACUAUCCCCUAUCCCCUAUUCUAUUUGUCCUUGCUAUGGAAGUUCUUUCCAUUUUUUUCAAAAAGGAGUCAAAUGGGCCUAAUUUUAAUUUUCAUUGGAAAACCAAGCAGCUAAGGAUAACCCAUUUGUGUUUCGCUGAAGACCUUCUACUCUUUUGCCAUGGAGACCACCGAUCAGUAAGCAUCCUUAAAGAAUGCCUCAACAUGUUCUCCUCUAUUUCUGGCCUGUGUUUGAACCCCUCAAAAAGCACUUGCUACCUGGCAAAUUUCCUUCCGGAAAACUCUGCAUCCAUCCUUUCCUUACUGGAGUUCCAAGAGGGGACCUUUCCUACAAAGUUCCUUGGGGUUCCCCUCAUAACCUCAAAGCUUAGCCUGGCCGAGUGUAGACCUCUCCUUGACAGAAUUACAAAAAGGAUUUCCACAUGGACCAAUAGAUUCCUAUCUUAUGCGGGACGCCUACAGCUUAUCAAAUCUGUACUUUUUUCUAUCCAAACUUUCUGGUCCUUUAAUUUCAUUCUCCCUGCUGCUGCCUUAAAAGACAUGAAGUCCACCUUUUGUCGAUUCCUAUGGAAGGGCCCUACUCUUUCGAAACAUGGUGCUAAAGUGGCUUGGAGCAAAAUCGCCCUCCCCACUCCUGAGGGAGGGCUGGGGAUUAAACAACUUGAUGAGUGGAAUCGUGCCUCCAUUAUUCAGCAUCUGUGGGAUAUCAUCAACCCAUGUUCUUCUUCUAUUUGGGCUGAAUGGGUUAGGAUUUUUGCCAUAAAGGGAAAACAUUUCUGGUGCAUGGGCAUCCCUAGAGACUGCUCCUGGAUUUGGAGGAAAAUCCAUAACCUUAGGCAGAUUGCUAUGAGCCACACAUCAUACCUCAUUGGAAAUGGUUGCCGCACUAAACUUUGGUUUGACCCAUGGAUCUUGAGGAAACCACUUGCCUACUCCACCUCCUCUUCUCUAAUAUCCAACUCUGGAUUGGGCCCUGACGCAAUGGUUAGUAGCAUCAUCAGCAAUUCCGAUUGGGCCCUCCCAAGUUCUAACCAUCACUCAGUAAUUGAAUUCAGACAGCUAUUCUCUCUUGCCACAUAGGCUGCAAUCCCUCAAAAGAGGACUUGGUUCUAUGGGACAACACCAAUACCUUUGGGAAAGCAACUUCUUUUUUUUUUUGGAAAUCCAUCCGAUUCUAUAGAAAUCUAGUGACUUGGGAAAAUCUGGUGUGGCACAAAUACCUCCCUCCUCGAUAUUCUUUCUUCUUAUGGCUUGCGUUCCAGAAUGGGUUACGUACCAAGGAUCGGCUCUUAAAUUAUGGGCUCGUUGUAAACCAAACAUGCCUUCUAUGUAACUCCCAUAAUGAGACUUUUGGCCACCUAUUUUUCAACUGCCCUUUCUCCUACAACAUGCUUUUUUCUGUGCUCAGGAACUGCGGGUGGAAGGGGUCCUCAAGGUGCUAGACAUCCAUCACUUCUUUCCUCAUUGCCUAACCUAACAUCUCUGUUCAACAGGGUAUUCUUCACCUACGUUUUGCCACGGUCGCUUAUCACAUAUGGCAGGAAAGAAAUGCCAGGCUCCAUGAUAAAGGUCCCAUGCCAGUCAGGACUAUCACCCGCAAUGUUAUGCAGAUUUUGAAAUGCAAGCUCCACUCCAUUCGAAGAUUCCAAAAAGUGAAAGAUAGGCCAUGGUUUUCUAAUCUGGCCCUCUAGAGGCCUGUCUAUUCUAGUUUGCUAAUGUGUAGUGAAACAGGAAAUCAGUCCCCUUGGCUGAGUUUUGCUUUUUGGCUGCAAGGGAAACAUAUCUGAUGUGCUAGAUGUGUUGUGCUAGGGUCAUUCGAUCUCGGGCGAGCUGUGUUUUCAGUCGAGCUAUGCUUUGUUGUGAUGUGCUCGGUCACUUGGACUCGGGCGAGCAGUACUCAUUCCCGGGCGAGCUGUGAUGGGCGUGCUGUGCUCGGUAUCAAGGCGAGCUGCUGGACAGUGUGGUGUGCUUUGGGCAUUUGCUGCUGUUCGGAUCAGGUGGGCGAGCUGCAGUUGAGGAGGCAGCUGCUUGGUGAUGCUGGAAAGGUCUUGAUGACCUGGGUGAGUUGCUGCUUGAUGACUUGGGGGAGCUGCUGCUAGGUGCUGCUGGUACAUGAGUUGGUCAUGCUACUGCCGGCCUCGCUCGUGGUUGUAACUUUGCCUCGGGGUUUGCUGAAGAAUUGAUGCAGCUGCUCAGGAGCGGAUUUGCUGCACUAUGGACUGUUGUUGAUGGACUGCUAUCUUUGGUUAGCUAAACGAGGCUUGGGGGACUUCACACCAUCUCCUGUGCUCCUGUUGCUGCUGCUAGUGCUUAUGAUUCGUUUCCUUGCUAAUGGUCUAAAAUGUUGUGGUUGCUUAAAAGAUAGUUUGUUAGACUAUGUCUGUAUCUGAUGGUGAGCGUUUCUUGUCUGCUUCGUUGGGCUUUUGUCCUUGUAAUCUUUUAUAGUUAUGACAUCAUAGGGCAUGUCCUAUGAUGUCUGUGCUAUAUUCUGAUUGGGGUUUCCCAUGAGGCUUGUAAUCUCCUUUUUUUUAAUACAGUCUAAAUUUAGCAAAAAAAAUAGUUUUUUUUCUUUUUAACGUAAUUAACACACUAAUUCUUUAUCCAAAUGUAAAUUCUAACAUCAUAAUUACUUACAAAUGCAAUAAUUCAGUUGUAUAACAACAAUAAAUUUUUUUUGGAAUUCACAACAGCUAUAAAACUCGUGAACAUAGAACAUCAUGUAUAUAAUAUUAAAGUGUUGGAAGAAUACCUUCACUUGCUUGAACAAUCUUGCUAAAACCCAGAAAUUGUUUUGGAAUCACAGAUUUUUCUCUCAAACUCUCUCAAAUUUCUCUGUAACUUUCUUCUCUCUUUCUCAGUAUAAGCCAAUUCACGUAAAACCAACUAACCCUUAAGCGUAAAUAUAAUAAACUGAUAGAGCCAUAAUACGCACACUUAAUUAUAUCAGUUACAAAAACUUAACGUACAUCAGUUAUAAAAUAUAUUUUAUAUUUUUAUUUAUUUUAUUUAUUAAAUUUUAAAAUUCAAAAGCCAUUAGACUUUGUUUGGCAAACAUACUUUUAAAAUAAAGACUUAAUGUAUUUAAGCUUUAUUUGGUUAAAUCAAUUUAAAACUACUUUAAUUUAUUUUAAUAAAUCCUUUACACUAUAGUUUAUAAUCUCAUAUUAUUUAUUUGGAUCUCUAUCUCCAACAUUAGUUAAAUAAACUAAUUACAACAUACUAAAUAAAUUUUCCACUUAAUCCAAGUAUCACAAAAUUAUAAUCUCAUUAUAAUUUUAUUUAAUAACUUAACAUACCAUUUUAAAUUAUUAAAUUAAAACAACAAUAUAACAUUUCAUGUUAUCUUUAACAUCUCUCUAACUAUUAAAUUAAAUUAGAUUAUUAUCUAAUAAAUUUAAUUCACAAUUAUCUACGAACAACAAAUACAUCAAUAAAAUAUUCAAUAAAAUAUUUAUUCAAUUUAAUAAAUAUUUUAAAUUACAAAUAAAAUCUUGGAUUGUUACAAAUUCACCAGCAUCUUUUCAACAAUCUUUUCACCUUUAAUUUUUGUUGAAACUUUUACACCUCGUUCUAUUGCUAGCCAGAUUUUGAUUCCUUGUGACUUGGCAUAGAUUUUGAAUCUAUUUUUCCAGGUGGCAAAGUUUGUGUCAUCAAAUAGUGGAGGUCUAGACAUUGACAGUCCUUCUCCGCAACUAGUAGCAUUAUAGGCCAUAGAUGGAUUUACUAUUAGAUAUGUCUGUAUUCACUUAACAAACAAGUUAAAGAGCACUGCUCUGAUACCAAUUGAAAGUCUAAUAAUAAUCUAGAAGGGAUGUUGAAUAGAUUAUUACCGUUUAAAAAAAAUAUCUAUAACAUGUUUGAAUUUUUAGUAGAUUAACUUGCAGUGUUUAGAAAGCAAUAAGCAAGCUAGUAAUAAUUCAAUCACACAAUACACAGAUAUUUAUCUGGUUCAUAACAUACAACUUGGGUACGUUGCUACGUCCAGUCUCAAGCUCCUCUCUAGGACUUGUGAUCCUAUUAUUCCCUGUAAUAAAUACUCCUUCAAUAGGCGGAGAAGUCUUUACAAAAUUUUAUAGAUAAAUUUACAACUAUCCACAACUAACUAUCUCGGACAGCAAACUCCCAGCUCCUGCCUCAAGCUUAGUUGUAUCUUCCUUUUGAGUUCAGAACUAUUUUAUGAUUUGGUCUUGAAACAACAAUCUCUUCCUUACCUCACAAGUACACUAGAGACCCAACUCCCAGCUGACAUCUCUAAGACUCUGGUCUUGGUCAAAGAAUUUUUUUCUUUCUCACAGAUACAUAAAAUAAACUAAUUCUACCAUUUUCCCUUUUUAUAAAAGAUUGUUUUGACUUUGCUUCUGAAGUAAGCAAAUAAAGUUUAGUACAGACACUUCUCAAAUAAGCAGAUAUAUAGAUUAAGACCAAAUAUUUAAAUAAAAGUUCAAUACUUUUAUGUGUUAAGCUUCUGUGUAUACAGAUAUGAAACUUGAUAGACUUUUAUAAAGAUUUUCCUUUUCUUUACUAAAGAAUGUGUUUCUAUGGUUUAAACUGAUUAAAAAGGGAUUUUUCUUUAUAAAUAAAGAGUGUGUUUCUAUGAUUUAAACAGAUGUAAAUGAUGAUUUUGAAUCAUAGUUUAAAUCACUUAUGUAAAACCCCAAAUUUUAUGAAAUAAAAAUAUUCAAUUUUUUUCUUAUAAUUAUUAUUCAGUAAAUGGUUAAAUUGAUAAAGAGUUAAAGUUAAGGGUGAUAUAUGUAAAGUUUACAAAAUAAGCAAGUGGUUAUAAAAUAUUCAUUUUUGUCGGAGAAUAUUCGUUUGGUCGUGGAAUAUUCUUGUUGUCGGGGAAUAUUCGUACGACGGCGCAGCCAUUUGUGGGCCCCAUAACGAAAAAUUAUCGGAUGAAGAAAACGACAAGAAUGAGUUUUCUAAAAAUAAUAUGGGCUUAAUGAAUGGAGUGUUCAAGCCGUUUUUAGACAAAUUCGUAGUGGUAUGCACUACAAGCCAAAGAGAACCCAUAGUCAUGAUCAUACCAAUAAUCUAUCCAUCUUUACACUCAAGUGAAAGAGAAAUUUUCUCACUAGGAUUAUAAAAAUGUUAUAUAUGAUAAUAAAAAUAAUAUAAACAAGAAUGAGUUUUCUAAAAAUAACGACAAGAAUGACUUAUCAGAUCAAUAAUUCAUAUUAUUUAAAUAAUAUUAUUAGAUAGCAUUAUUGGCAAUGCCUAAGGAAGUUCUGUCUAGAAAAGGGGUUUGGUCACCUAAUUGUGCGCCAGUAAGGAGAAAUCCUUAUCAGAAGCCCCCUCUUUCCUGGGAACAACCUGGUUGUCAAUAUUGUGGUUAUGUAAUGUUAUUUGUGAAUAAUUAAUUAUUGAUCAAAAAUGAUAAGAAAAUAUUUAUUUUAUGUGGAUAUAAAUGAAGGAAUUAAUGCUGAGGUGUUUUAUCAGUAUUUUGUCGGAAUGGAGAAAUUUUUAGAAAAGUGACAAUUGUUGAAAUUUGAUAUUUUAUCUAUAUUAUUAAGAGUUGAUAUUUUUUUCGAUAAAAUAAUUCAUUCAAAUAUAUUAUUGUAAUAUUACAUUAUAAGUGUAUGAUGUAAUAAUAUAAUAAUAUAAUAACGGUGAUAUUUUUACAAUGAAUGCACGAUAUAUGACUACAUGAGGAGCAAGAGAGCAAAUUGGGUCCAGAGUAUUUUUGUUACAAUAAAUGCUAAAAACAUGUUUUGUGUGUUGCUGGGCUCCGUUUUUGACUGAAAUUUGAUUAUAGUCUGCAAGAUCAUCCAUAUAUAAAUUUCGGCCAUUAUCCCUUUAGAAUUUGGAAAAACUUUCUUCUACAAAGUUGUAGAGAAUUAAAUUUCCUAUGGAAUGGACAUAAGAUUCAAUUUUUUUUGAUAAAAAUGCUAUUUAUUAUGAAUUAUUAAAGUUUCGAAAUAAUUGAUUUUUGGAGUUUUAAAUAUUUUUUUAAGAAAAACAUUUUUUUCAUGUUGGUAGGCCCUACUAGUGUACUGAAAUUAGAUUUUUAAGGAGGUUUGCGGAAUUUUUUUUUAUAAAAUAUUAUUUUAUUAAAUUUUUUUUUUUGGUGUUCUAAGUAUUUUUCUAUAAAUAGGGUGCUUAGGUUAGAAUUAAAAAUCACACCAGAAUCUGAAAUUUUUCUCUCUAUAAUAUCGAGCGUAUUUUUGUGAGUAUUUAGAUACUUUGAGUGUUGCUAUAAAGUGCAAGUUUCUUUCAGCAUUAUAUCCGAUAUUCCAGUCAGAAGUACUGCUAUUUUUUUCAAGUAAAUGAUGGUAAGGGAUGGUAAUGGAUGGUAAGGGAUGUUAUUUUUUUCAAGUAAAUGAUGUUAUAUUUCUUUUAAUAUCAUUAUACCAAAAUAUUGAUUUGAAUUUUAUUGUGAAACUUUAUCUUUUUUGUGUCAGGGUUACUAUUUAUAUAUACGGCACUAUUUACAUAUACGGUACUAUUUAUGAAUACGGGAUACUAUUCAUGAAGUACUAUUCAUGGGGUAAUAUUCACAAAGUACUAUUCAUGAGAUACUAUUCACAAAAUACUAUUCACGACAAAAAUUGGUUUCUUUUUCUGACCAAAUUAUCGUUGAUUUAUGAAUCUUACUCUUGAAAUUAAAUUCAUGUUUACGAAUCCGUAGUGUUAAUUUUCAUGUUUUAUGUUCAAAACCUUCAAGAACAGUGAAAUUUGCAUGUUUAAAUUCUGUAAUUAUGUGUUUUAACUUGUUAAAAUCAUGCUUGAAGGCUUUAGUAUUAGUUAUUUGUGUAUUACAAUGUUUGGGUAUGUCUAAAUUCGUGUAAAAAUAAGUUAAUUGGAGUUUUUUUGGUCAUGUUCUGCAAUUUUCGCGAGUUACAGAACUAAAACUGGAGUCUCGCGCCGCGGCGCCAACUCCAUGCCUUAGUACUCGCGUCGCAGUGCCAAAGACCACGCCGCAGCGCCAAGAAUAAGCCUAGCAGUGGCGCCACAGCGCCACUUAGCAGAAUGGUCCAGAAAUGAAUUUUUAAAUACUCAAGUCUAGCAAUGUGUUAGUAACUUAAUCUAAUGAACAUAAAAACAUGUUAGACAUAUAAUGAGGUGUUAAAAUAAAUUCUUAACAUGUCAAUAACACAUUUAUGUGUGAAUUGAACGAUUGAAUGCAUAGUUAGCUUAUUGUUCAUGAAGUGUAAAUUAUGUGACAAUGAGUGUAGUAGUUUGACUAAGUAUAGUCAUAAUUCGAGUUAGACAAAAAGAAUGAACUUGUGAUGGCUAGUACGUUAUAAUUGACUGGUAUUGUGAACGUAAAUGAUAUGUAGGAUUUAAAUCAAGGAACGAGUAUAAUUAACGUGUAAUCUACGCAUGAGACAAGUUUCCUAACCCUACUCGUUAUCUUUAUAUGAGCUUAUAAGUUGUCUCUUUACAUCGAGCAAAUUCUCGUUAUUAUUGAUCAAGUACAUUUUAUUAUAUUAAAAUGUAUUAAUCUUUCAAAGUAUGAUUCUGCGAUACAAUAAUUAUUUUAUUGUAUGCCUUUUGAGAUUGCCAUUCAAUUUUAAAUUAUCAGUUACUGUUGAACUUUGUUAGACUAGUGAACCCUUAAUGAUUCGACUAGUCCAUAGUUGAUGAGCGUUCUAAAUUUCAGAACCCUUGAUGAAUUAUCCAAACCAAACUUCCUUUGGUGUGGACUCUAAUGUCAAACUGAGAUGAACAACCCUAUAUAAGGGAUUUCUUAUGCGUUAGCGUUAAGAUAUUGUGCACAGUAUGGUACUACGGGCUGAUCCCCCUAAGUACGAGAAGAACUCCAUAGUCUUAUGACUGUUAAAGGUUUCAAGUAUAAACACUUGACAACCUAGGACAUAGUUCAAGGUCUUAUGACCCUCAGAAGUUCUUUUGUCUCUUGUUAUUCAUUCUUGAUUCAAAAACCGAGUUUCCUUUUUCAGAAGUCUUUGAUUUAUUCGCAUGUUAUUAUUCAUUUGUUAUAUUGUUAUACUUGUGGGCAAUCGUGCUCACUCUUGCAUAAUAAUAACAUUGCAGUUAAGAACGAAAGAUCAGACGAGCCUUCCACUAGUAAAGGCAAGGGCAAGNNNNNNNNNNNNNNNNNNNNNNNNNNNNNNNNNNNNNNNNNNNNNNNNNNNNNNNNNNNNNNNNNNNNNNNNNNNNNNNNNNNNNNNNNNNNNNNNNNNNNNNNNNNNNAGAAAUGAAUUUCUUAAUUCAUUGAAGAUAAUAAAAGACUUUAUGUGCUUAUGUGUUAAACUAUGUGCUCGCUAGUACGUAUUAGUAACUAAAACUUAAAAUUUUGUUGUCAGGAUGUCGGAUGUUGUAGGAGCUAGUCGAUCUGGGGAGACCCCGAGUACUACAGAGGAGGAGCCCUGAGACAUUCAUGUCGUCAGGGAACAGUUGGUACAGAGAGAGCCAUCUCCGUUGAUCACUGUUGUUGGUCAGGAGCAUGAGCCUGAGACUGAUCCAGAGGAGGAUUCUGAUGAAGAAGAGGAGGAAGAAGAGGAGUUCCCACAGAACUCCAUUGAUGCUGAGAUGUAUGAUGCGCUUUAUGAUCGUAACAUAGAGUUGCAAGACACUGUUCAGGAGCUGAAGGAGAGGGCUGUUAUUCAACAGAGUACCAUCGAGCAGAAGGAUGAGGAAAUUGUGACUCUUCACACACGUUUAGGAAACGUGGAGUGGGAUUUGUGGUUCACGAGAAGGGUCAAACUGAGGAAAAGUCCGAAGAAAUAGAAAAGUUGAAGAAAGAUCUGAAAGAGAGCUCAGAAAGACUGGCUAUAUCAGAGGAGGGUUGGGUAAGAGAGUCACGUCGUGCUGAUCUUGCAGAAAAGGAUUAUCGUGCGAAGAAGGCUAAGCUUGGGGACACUUCAAAAUGCAAUGGAUGCGGCCCAGGAUCGAGUUAUGAAGUAUCCAAUCCAGUUUGAAGGUCUACCAUCAUAUAUGCUAGAUCGCAGGACGAUGUUCUGCAUCAUGGAAGAAGAACGUGGCAAGGCUAUUCAGCGCCUUAACAGGCAGUGAUAGGAUUAGUUUAUUUAUGUGAAACCUACCUGGUAGUUUAAGAUGUAAAUUCCGAUGUGUUUAUAAACAAAGGAAAUUUUAAUGCUUUAAAUCCUGUAGAUUCUUUAUCUCAGGAUAGUUGAUGUAAAUAGCAGUGAUGCUAUCGUAUGAUGUUAAAACUUUUGAUUUGAAUAAAAUGUCAGAGUUUAUUCGAAAUAAUGUGUUAAGUGAAUUAUGAUUAAAUGUUUUAGUUAAGCCUUAAAUGUUUAAGGGAUUGAAUAAAGACUUAAUAAGCGUAUAUUCUUAACAGAAAUAUGCCGCCUAGAAGAAGAUAAAAUCGUCAACAAGCUCAAGGAGAACCAAUGAAUAACAACAACGACGCCAAUGCUAACCCUGUUCAGCAAUUGGUGAACCUAUUAGCUGGAGCAAUUAACAAUGGGACUGCCAGAGUUUAAGGGUUCCAUAAACCCAAUCGAAGCUCAAACAUGGGUUAUGGAGAUGGAGAAGGUGUUUGACGUCGCCAGAGUAAGGGAAGACCAGAAGACCGCAUAUGCAACAUUCAUGUUGAAGUCUGAAGCCAGCUAUUGGUGGCAGGCAAACAAAGUACGGGGAAGAGAAGGUGUAAUAACCUGGGAGAGAUUCAAGGAGAUGUUUUUCGAGAUGUAUUUUCUGACCAGUUCGCAAAAUCAAAUGGAAGUUCAGUUUCUGGAAUUGAAACAGGGGAGUAUGUCCGUAGCAUAUUAUGCGGAAAGGUUCAACGAGUUGGCUAGGUUCGCCACAUACCAAGUUCAUACUGAUGAGAGGAAGGCAAGACGUUUCGAGCAGGGACUGAAGCCCUGGUUGUAUAGCAAGGUGUCAAUGUUCCAAUUGAACACUUUUGCUGGAGUGUUAGAGAAAGCCAUACUCGCUGAAGGUGGAAGAGAUGCGGUAACUAAAUAUAAUCAGGAUCAGAAGAAGAAAAAGAGUGAAAAUGAAGGAAUUAACAAGACUGGUGGAAGUAGCACGGGAGGUAGUAAUAAUCAGAAGAGAAAGUGGUCUGAUAACUCGUCAACUGGAAAUCAGCAAGGAGGUCAGAAGAAGAGAAUCAAAGCAUGCCCGACCUGUGGAAAAGCUCACCUGGGGGUUUGCAUGAAGGGAAAACGUGUGUGCUACAAUUGUGGUCAGGAAGGCCAUAUAGCACCUAACUGUCCUAACCCAAAGAAAGGCGCCUGCUUCACUUGCGGCUCAAAGGACCAUUUGGCAAGGGAUUAUCCCAAGAAGGGAUCUGGAGGGGCAGGAUCAGGAAGGAACAAGGGAAAUAGUGGUGGAAGUUCUUUAACUAUCACGGGACCAACCGCAACCAACCGACCGAGCGCCAGGACAUUUAACAUGACAGUGCAGGAUGCUGUGCAGUCUCGCGAUAUGGUGUCAGGUAUCAUUCCGAUCAAUAAAGUUAAUGCUUAUGUAUUAUUUGAUUCGAGUGCUACUUGUUCAUUUAUAUCCGAUGACUUUGCUAAGAACUUAGAAUUGCCUAAGGAUGAGUUAGAAUACCCCAUGAACAUAGAAAUUGUGAAUAGAGAAAUAAUCCCUGUUAAGUACGUGCAUAAGAACUGUAGAGUGGAUAUUAAGGGUAAUAUCAUGAACGUAGAUCUUAUCCCUAUUCGACGUUAUUUUGGUUAUGGACUGGUUAUCUAAUUAUGGAGCGGUAAUUGACUGCCAGAAGAAGUGUAUUAACCUUAUGACUCCGUCAAAGGUUGUGUUUUAUGGCAGCAAGUCGCCUAGACAAGCGAGUUGUCUGACGAUGAUGCAGGCCAGGAGGUUGUUAAGGCAAGGCUGUGUAGGAUAUCUAGCUUACAUAGUCGAUAGUCGUAAAGAGAAUCCGAACAUAGAUGAGAUACCAGUAGUGAGAGAUUUCGCAGACGUAUUUUCGGAUGAUUUGCCAGGACUUCCUCCAGAUAGAGCAGACGAAUUUGUGAUCGAUUUGGCUCCAGGAACGGCUCCAAUAUCGAAGGCACCGUACCGAAUGGCACCGGUAGAGAUGAAAGAACUGAUGGUUCAACUACAAGAAUUAUUGGACAAGAAGUAUAUCCAACCAAGUGUAUCGCAGUGGGGAGCGCCGGUUUUGUUCGUAAAGAAGAAGGAUGGGACAAUGCGGCUCUGCAUCGACUAUAGAGAACUGAAUAAGGUCACAAUUAAAAAUAGAUAUCCAUUACCGCGAAUCGACGAUCUGUUCGUUCAGUUAAAGGGAGCAAGAUACUUUUCAAAGAUAGACUUGAGGAGUGGUUAUCAUCAACUGAAGGUGAGACCAGAGGAUGUACCGAAGACAGCGUUCAGAACACGAUACGGUCACUACAAAUUUUUGGUAAUGUCAUUUGGUCUAACGAAUGCUCCUGAGAGACUUCAACACUUAUAGUUUUCUUAUUGAACACCUUGUAUAGGCUUUGCUGUCUGUGGCAUAUCCAAGAAAUAUUCUUUCAUCUUACUUUGGCUAGAACUUAGUUAGAUAUUAUUUCCCAUUGUUGAGGAUAUAACAAGUACAACCAAAGUCAUAGAAAUAGCUGACAUUUGGCUUUCUUCCUUUCCAUAGCUCGUAGGGUGUCUUCUUGAAAGUAGAAUGAACAAGAGAUCUGUUAUGAGUGUAGUAAGCAGUGUUGAUGGCUUCUGCCCAAAAAUAUUUAGGUAGAUGAGCUGCCGCUAGUAGUGUUCUUCCUACCUCAAUCAGGGUUCUAUUCUUUCUUUCAGCUACUCCAUUUUGCCGUGGAGUUCUUGGAGCUGAGAAGUUGUGAUUGAUAACAUUAUCUUCAAAGAACUGAUUUAUCUCAGAAAAUUUGAAUUCUCUUCCAUGAUCACUUCUAAUGGCUUUGAUCUUUUCUCCUUUCUCAUUCAUGACUAGCUUGAACAUCUUGAUAAGUUAGGAGCUAAUUUCAUCUUUAGAACUUAGAAAGAAUAUCCAUGUGAAUCUGGUGUAGUUGUCUACUACCACCUGUGAGUAUCUCUUCCCUACAAGGCUUACAGUUGGAAUAGGCCCAAAAAGAUUAUGUGGAGUAACUGUAGAGGCUUAUCAUUAGAGUUGACUAUUUUACCUUUGAAUGAGCUCUAUGUCUGCUUUUUUAGUUGACAAGCAUUGCAUGGUCUUUCUUUGAUGAAGUUGAAUUUAGGUAAGCCUGCUACUAGGUCUUUGGAGGCUAGUUUCGACAUGUUUUUGAAGUUUAGAUGAGAUAACCUUCUAUGCGAUAGCCAACUUAUUUCUUCAGAGGCUUUGGCAAGAAAACUCAUUGUCUCAUCAGAACUUAAUUCAGCAAGGUUGACAACAUAGACAUUUCCUUUUCUGGUUCCAGUUAGCUUUAGGGAAGAAGUCUUCAUAUCUCUAACCUGGCAUUGAUUGUUGAGGAAGGUGACUUGAUGUCCUUUAUCACACAGUUGGCUGAUACUCAGGAGAUUAUGCUUCAAUCCUUCAACAUAGGUUACUUUGCUGAAGGACACAACACUGUUUCCAGCUGAGCCAUAUCCUCUAGUAUUUCUAGAGCCAUUAUCUCCAAAGAUGACUGUAGGACCCUCCUUCUCUAUGAAUUUAGACAAAAGAGCUUUGUUUCUAGUCAUGCGCCUUGAGCAUCCACUAUUAAGGUACCAGGUUGUCAUAGUGAAGCUAUGUUCCUGCAGUAAGAUUUAACUUUCAUUUCGGUACCCAGACUUGCUUGGGUCCUACUCUGUUAGUUCCAUUAGGGACCCAAAUCUGCUUGACUUUAGGUCUAUGGUUUACAUGGUUAUAAUAGCAUGUUGCAGCUUUGUGACAGUAUUUAUCACAUAAAAACAUCUAGUAUGAGGCAUGCUUAUGUGUGUUUAUGGAUUCUUUCUUAAUAUGGACAUAUGUGAGUAUAUGGUAGCCUUUUCCUUAUGAUGAUUCUUCUUUUUCUAUACUACUCUGUGAUUCAAAGAUUUUGUAGAGUAAACCUCAACUCUACGAUUCUUUCCUGGUUGGUUUGUGGAGCUGAUUUUAUUUGACUUCAUAAUCCUUUGAGGUUGGAAAGUCUAGAGACAUUACUCUGAUCAGAAGAGCAAGGAUUCAUUGGCUCUAUGCUCUGUGUGGAUUUCACAAACGUAAUGCUUCUAUUGAGAUUUGAAGCACUGUUGAUGUUAGUUUCUAAUAUUUUUAUCACACAUGAUUCUGAGGGAAAAUCCCCAAAACUUAGACCUGGUUUGUCAGAAGAAAUUAUCUGAUUGGAGAUCAGAGAGUCCAUAGAUGAAGAAGACAUGUUGCAUAUUAGGAUUGUCUUUUCUAGCUCCUCAAAUUUAGAAGCUAGAUUUACAAUCUCUUGGCUGGCUCGACAGACUACGAAUCUGUUCUAGCAUAUCUAUUACAACACAUAAGAUCAACCUAACAAGCUUGAUCUUUCUAUUACCGAGGUCUUUACAACAAGAUAAUCAUUUAUCUCAGAUUAACUAAACAUUUAUGAUCUUUAAUCUAAGUCCUUGCACAUAUGAUCUAAUAAGGACUUUACAUCUUUUUGAUAAUGCAUGCACAUAUAUUUAUUUAUUCCAACAUCAAAUUUAAAUAUGUAAUUCCCAGCAAUAUCAAAAUAAUCUGUUUCAUUUUGCAUGUAUCCUUUGAUUACAAGUCUUUCUUUAUGUUUAUUUAUAGAUCCAUCUACUUUCAUUUUCUUCUUGAAUAUCCACUUGUAUCCAAGAGGUUUAGAGCCAGGUGGGAGAUCUACUAAUUCUCACAUAUGAUUAUGCAAUAUGGAUUCUACUUCAAUAUUUAUAGAAAAUCCAAUAUAGAGCUUCGAGACUCGACACCGCUUCUCUAUAAGUUUGAGGCUCAUUUUCUAACAAAUAAGUUAGAAAAUCCGAACCAUAAGAUUUUGAUAUUCUAGCCCGUUUACUACGUUUAGGUUCAUCAAUAUCUUCUAAUCCAUGAUUACUGUCAUUAACAGUGUCAUAAGUUUUUUUGUUUGAACUUGUUUCCUGUUCAUUAGAACUUUGUUCUUGUUCUUUUUUUAUUAGGAAACACUAUUUCAAAGAAUUCAACAUCUUUUGACUUGAUAAUACUAUUUUCAUGCAUUUUCUCUAUUUUUAAUUUAUUAACCAAAAAUNNNNNNNNNNNNNNNNNNNNNNNNNNNNNNNNNNNNNNNNNNNNNNNNNNNNNNNNNNNNNNNNNNNNNNNNNNNNNNNNNNNNNNNNNNNNNNNNNNNNNNNNNNNNNNNNNNNNNNNNNNNNNNNNNNNNNNNNNNNNNNNNNNNNNNNNNNNNNNNNNNNNNNNNNNNNNNNNNNNNNNNNNNNNNNNNNNNNNNNNNNNNNNNNNNNNNNNNNNNNNNNNNNNNNNNNNNNNNNNNNNNNNNNNNNNNNNNNNNNNNNNNNNNNNNNNNNNNNNNNNNNNNNNNNNNNNNNNNNNNNNNNNNNNNNNNNNNNNNNNNNNNNNNNNNNNNNNNNNNNNNNNNNNNNNNNNNNNNNNNNNNNNNNNNNNNNNNNNNNNNNNNNNNNNNNNNNNNNNNNNNNNNNNNNNNNNNNNNNNNNNNNNNNNNNNNNNNNNNNNNNNNNNNNNNNNNNNNNNNNNNNNNNNNNNNNNNNNNNNNNNNNNNNNNNNNNNNNNNNNNNNNNNNNNNNNNNNNNNNNNNNNNNNNNNNNNNNNNNNNNNNNNNNNNNNNNNNNNNNNNNNNNNNNNNNNNNNNNNNNNNNNNNNNNNNNNNNNNNNNNNNNNNNNNNNNNNNNNNNNNNNNNNNNNNNNNNNNNNNNNNNNNNNNNNNNNNNNNNNNNNNNNNNNNNNNNNNNNNNNNNNNNNNNNNNNNNNNNNNNNNNNNNNNNNNNNNNNNNNNNNNNNNNNNNNNNNNNNNNNNNNNNNNNNNNNNNNNNNNNNNNNNNNNNNNNNNNNNNNNNNNNNNNNNNNNNNNNNNNNNNNNNNNNNNNNNNNNNNNNNNNNNNNNNNNNNNNNNNNNNNNNNNNNNNNNNNNNNNNNNNNNNNNNNNNNNNNNNNNNNNNNNNNNNNNNNNNNNNNNNNNNNNNNNNNNNNNNNNNNNNNNNNNNNNNNNNNNNNNNNNNNNNNNNNNNNNNNNNNNNNNNNNNNNNNNNNNNNNNNNNNNNNNNNNNNNNNNNNNNNNNNNNNNNNNNNNNNNNNNNNNNNNNNNNNNNNNNNNNNNNNNNNNNNNNNNNNNNNNNNNNNNNNNNNNNNNNNNNNNNNNNNNNNNNNNNNNNNNNNNNNNNNNNNNNNNNNNNNNNNNNNNNNNNNNNNNNNNNNNNNNNNNNNNNNNNNNNNNNNNNNNNNNNNNNNNNNNNNNNNNNNNNNNNNNNNNNNNNNNNNNNNNNNNNNNNNNNNNNNNNNNNNNNNNNNNNNNNNNNNNNNNNNNNNNNNNNNNNNNNNNNNNNNNNNNNNNNNNNNNNNNNNNNNNNNNNNNNNNNNNNNNNNNNNNNNNNNNNNNNNNNNNNNNNNNNNNNNNNNNNNNNNNNNNNNNNNNNNNNNNNNNNNNNNNNNNNNNNNNNNNNNNNNNNNNNNNNNNNNNNNNNNNNNNNNNNNNNNNNNNNNNNNNNNNNNNNNNNNNNNNNNNNNNNNNNNNNNNNNNNNNNNNNNNNNNNNNNNNNNNNNNNNNNNNNNNNNNNNNNNNNNNNNNNNNNNNNNNNNNNNNNNNNNNNNNNNNNNNNNNNNNNNNNNNNNNNNNNNNNNNNNNNNNNNNNNNNNNNNNNNNNNNNNNNNNNNNNNNNNNNNNNNNNNNNNNNNNNNNNNNNNNNNNNNNNNNNNNNNNNNNNNNNNNNNNNNNNNNNNNNNNNNNNNNNNNNNNNNNNNNNNNNNNNNNNNNNNNNNNNNNNNNNNNNNNNNNNNNNNNNNNNNNNNNNNNNNNNNNNNNNNNNNNNNNNNNNNNNNNNNNNNNNNNNNNNNNNNNNNNNNNNNNNNNNNNNNNNNNNNNNNNNNNNNNNNNNNNNNNNNNNNNNNNNNNNNNNNNNNNNNNNNNNNNNNNNNNNNNNNNNNNNNNNNNNNNNNNNNNNNNNNNNNNNNNNNNNNNNNNNNNNNNNNNNNNNNNNNNNNNNNNNNNNNNNNNNNNNNNNNNNNNNNNNNNNNNNNNNNNNNNNNNNNNNNNNNNNNNNNNNNNNNNNNNNNNNNNNNNNNNNNNNNNNNNNNNNNNNNNNNNNNNNNNNNNNNNNNNNNNNNNNNNNNNNNNNNNNNNNNNNNNNNNNNNNNNNNNNNNNNNNNNNNNNNNNNNNNNNNNNNNNNNNNNNNNNNNNNNNNNNNNNNNNNNNNNNNNNNNNNNNNNNNNNNNNNNNNNNNNNNNNNNNNNNNNNNNNNNNNNNNNNNNNNNNNNNNNNNNNNNNNNNNNNNNNNNNNNNNNNNNNNNNNNNNNNNNNNNNNNNNNNNNNNNNNNNNNNNNNNNNNNNNNNNNNNNNNNNNNNNNNNNNNNNNNNNNNNNNNNNNNNNNNNNNNNNNNNNNNNNNNNNNNNNNNNNNNNNNNNNNNNNNNNNNNNNNNNNNNNNNNNNNNNNNNNNNNNNNNNNNNNNNNNNNNNNNNNNNNNNNNNNNNNNNNNNNNNNNNNNNNNNNNNNNNNNNNNNNNNNNNNNNNNNNNNNNNNNNNNNNNNNNNNNNNNNNNNNNNNNNNNNNNNNNNNNNNNNNNNNNNNNNNNNNNNNNNNNNNNNNNNNNNNNNNNNNNNNNNNNNNNNNNNNNNNNNNNNNNNNNNNNNNNNNNNNNNNNNNNNNNNNNNNNNNNNNNNNNNNNNNNNNNNNNNNNNNNNNNNNNNNNNNNNNNNNNNNNNNNNNNNNNNNNNNNNNNNNNNNNNNNNNNNNNNNNNNNNNNNNNNNNNNNNNNNNNNNNNNNNNNNNNNNNNNNNNNNNNNNNNNNNNNNNNNNNNNNNNNNNNNNNNNNNNNNNNNNNNNNNNNNNNNNNNNNNNNNNNNNNNNNNNNNNNNNNNNNNNNNNNNNNNNNNNNNNNNNNNNNNNAAUCAUUAUGAUUUGAGGAAGGGAGAUGCCAAGAGGAAUCUCUGAUAAUACCACUCACAGUAGCAUUUGGGCCCAAAUUAGAGUUAAGGAUCAAAGAAGAACGAGAACUGGAAGCUAGGGGAGUCGCAUUUAACCAAGGGUCAAACCACAAGCUAGUACUUUCCCCAUUACCAAUAUGAAACCGAAUAUACUUUAUAGCAAGAGAUCUCAACUGCAGAACCUUUCUCCAUAUCCAUGAACAGUCAUUCAGAAUCUUCAAAACCCAAAAGUGAUGAGAUUUUAAGUGAUUAUUUCUUACCCAAGUAGCCCAUAGCGACUGGGAGAGAGGAUUUACUACUCUCCAUAAUUGAAGCAAAAUCAGAGCUUUAUUCCAGUCCUCCAAAUUCUUAAUAGCCAAGCCACCUUCAGAGUACAGUAGAGCAAUUUUGCUCCAUGCGACUUUGGCCCCAAACUUCAACAUGGAGGGACCUUUCCAUAAGAAUCUACUCAUAGUGGACUUUAGAUCUUUAAUCACAGACGCUGGGAGAAUGAAAUGAGCAGACCAAUACGAUUGUAUAGCAAAGAUAACCGAUUUAAUAAGUUACAACCGACCAGCAUAAGAGAGAAACUUGUGUUAGUCCAUGAAGUAAUUUUGGAUUUAACCUUUUCUAAGAGAGGAUGACAAUCAGCAAGGCUAUCAAAGGGACCCCUAAGAAUUUUGCAAGGAACCGUCCCUCUUGAAAUCCCAGAAUGUUGAAUAUGACCUCAGCAUGAUCAGGAGAGACAUUGCAGAGGAAACACAUACUCUUCGAGUCAUUUAUGUGUAAGCCCGAGAGAGACGAGAAGAGGUCUAAACAAAGUUUGAUAACCUUGACCGAAUUCGCAUCACCAUGACAGAAAAUAAGCAGAUCAUCAGCAAACCAUAGGUGGGAUAAGGAAAGAGAAUUUGUUUUCCAAUGAUGCUUGAAACUAGGAGUCCUUGUUUACUUUGUGAGAAUAAUAAAAAGCACUUCCAUAGCAAUAACAAAGAGAUAAGGAGAGAGAGGAUCCCCUUGAUGUAAACCCUUGGUCCCUUUAAAAUACCCACAAAGGGCACCAUUCACUCUAACUGAGUAAGAGGGAGAACACAUACAAACCUUAAUCCAGUAAAUGAACUUGGGGGGAAAUCUGAAAAGCCGCAAAGCAGUAAGCAAGAAAUCCCAAGAGACCAAAUCAAAAGCCUUACGGAGAUCUAUUUUUAAGGCACACCUAGAUUGGCCCGAGGGCCUAUGGUAGUUCCUGAAAAGCUCUUGAGCCAACAGAAUAUUAUCACCUAUCUUCCUGCCCGGAACAAAAGCAGACUGACAAGGAGAUAUUAAGGAAGGAAGAAUACCCUUAAGCCUGACAGCAAUUAUCUUUGAAAUGCACUUGUAAGUUGUGUUACAGCAAGAGAUAGGCCUAUAAUCUGACAUGGAUGUAGGAUUUAACGUCUUAGGGACAAGAGCAAUAGCAGUAGAGUUUGUACCCCGGAGAAGGCAACCCUGUUUGAAGAACGAUUGAAUGGCCAAAAUAAAAUCACUACCAACUAUAUCCCACACAAGGAGGAAAAAGUUCACAUUGAAACCAUCAGGACCCGGACUCUUGUUUUUCUUCAUAGACUUCAAAGUUGACAAGAUUUCAGAAUCAGAAAUGUCUCUCUCAAUCAAAGAGGCUUGAAGAUCAGUAACAAAUUUAGGAGCAUAAGAAGCGAGGUCUGGUAAAUAGGACUCCCCCACCAUAGCAGGAGAACCCAACAAGGAACGAAAAUGGUCCACCGCAAUAGUUUGAAUAUCCUUUUGACCGGAACAGAGAACACCUUCCUCAUUUUCAAUAGCAAGGAUUUUAUUUUGAUUCCAUCUGUUUUUUAUUUGAUUGUAGAAGUAGCCUGAAUUUUUAUCCCCAUCCUUAAGCCAUUGGAUUCUAGAUUUUUGCUUAAGUAGCUUCUCUUCACAUCUCAAGGCAUACCAUAGAUUUCCAGAAUGAAGCCUUUGAGCCUUUAGGAGUGAGAGAUCAGUCGGAUCAGAGGAAAUAGCAUUCUGAGUGUCAUGGAGAACAGCUCUAGCCUUUUCCACAUUUGACUUAAGAUUACCAUUUUCUUUGUUCAAGAUGGAGAGAGCCCGUUUGACCGAUCUAAGCUUGCCAGCUAAAACCUGAAGAGGAUCCCCAUUAACUAAGAUAUUCCAAGCAGAUUGAACUACCUCAUGAAAGUUUUCAAGCUCGCCCAGGAAAAUAAAGAAUUGGAAUGGCUUUGGGACUCUAGGUAAGGACAAACAAGUUAGAACCACCGCUGGACAAUGAUCCGAAAGAUCACGAAGAGUGAACAUGACCUGAGAGACAAGGAACUGAUGCAGCCACUCACAGUUAACCAUAACCCUAUCAAGCUUUUUAAAUUGGGGUUUAGAGUUACUAGAAUUCCACCAAGUGUGCAUUGGCCCCACUGCACGAAGAUCAGACAGUAGCAGAUCAGUAGAACAAUCUAGGAAGUCCUGCAUGCCUCCAUUCCAGGAUUCAACGCCUCCCUUAAUUUCAGUAAUAGACAAAACCUCAUUAAAAUCCCCGAGCAGACACCAAGGCAUAUUGAUAAAAUUACACAGGGAAUGAAGAUCAGUCCAAAGAGCUUUCCUCUCAGAGGGAGUAUUUAAACCAUAAACGAAGGUGACAAAAAACUGCAUGGAAGAAGCAGCAGACAAAACUAAGCAAUGAAUAUAUUGAGAAGAUUUAGAAAUAAUAUUUACAGUCCAAAGCGAAGGGUCCCAACCAACCCAAAUUCUCCCAUUCACAUGAUGCUCAUAGUUAAACUGUCAAUUCUAUUUACUACAUAUGGCUUUGGAAACAGUAUUGGCUUUUGGGCAUUUGACUCUAGUCUCAACUAGGCCAACAAAAGAAAUACUAUGCUUAUACAAAAGAGCAAGGACACUAUCCUGCUUGGACUUCAUAUUUACACCUCUAAUAUUCAUAGAGCAAAAAUUAACCAUAAAAAGGUUAAGGUUAAAAUGGGGCAGGCCUCCCCCCUCCUUUGAUCUUUUUCUUUGAAGACUGGCCAGAUUCCGAACCAGCUCGAGCUUUCGCCUUAAGAUCACGACCUGCCUUUUCAUCAACCAUUUUCAGCUUUUCCCACAAGGGGAUUUGGAGAAGGGGAGCAGUCAGAAUCAAAAAACCCCUCCAUAGCCUCCCCACUAGCAGCAAUAGGCUUGAAGACAUUUGAGUUACCAACCAAAGAGAGAUCACAAUAGGGAACCUGCUGUUUAGGUCCUUUAGCCACCAAAGUCCAGUUGUCGGAAGAAUUUUCUGUAACGGGCUUUGGGAGAACAGGAGAAAUAGGGGCAGCAGCCAUAGAGUCUGAAGAAGAUUUUUGGACUUUAGGCAGCCAUUGGUAGUUUGCUUUAGGACAACGCAGAAGAGAGUGCCCAAACGUUUUACAGUGAGAACAAAUUUGAGGUCUAUUUUGGUACUCCACUCUGACAUUUACAAUCUUUUCAGAGUUAGUUUCCUCAUCAAGAACUACCACUUCCAGAGAGCUAGGCAAAGCCGAAGAGGGUGUUAUUUCAACACAAAUCCUAGCAAAAUUCAUAGGUUCUAGUUUUUCUGUGAUUUUAUCCACAAACAGUGGAACACCAACCCCACUAGCAAGGUAACUGAGCCCAGCUGGAGACCAAUAAGACAUGGGGAUGUUAAGGAAUUUAACCCAGAU
rnacentral:lncRNA from 1 species